UGUCUUGACCUGUACGUAGACUCCGGCAACGGUGCCAAAAAUGGCUCGUUGCUGGGAGUCAAAUCUUGACUUGACUUGGCGCGAAUCUCCCCAGCAACGGCACCAGAAAUCCUUCUUGCUACCUCUUGAGCACUGCGUUGGUUUUCCCUUGAAGAGGAAAGGGUGAUGCAGCAAAGUAGUGUAAGUAUUUCCCUCAGUUUUUGAGAACCAAGGUAUCAAUCCAGUUGGAGAUCACGCUCGAGUCCCACGCACCUACACAAACAAAUAAGAACAUCGCAACCAACGCGAUGAAGGGGUUGUCAAUCCCUUCACGGUCACUUACGAGAGUGAGAUCUGAUAGAUAUGAUAAGAUAAUAUUUUUGGUAUCUUUAUGAUAAAGAGAAAUAAAGAUGCAAAGUAAAAUAAACAGCAAAAGAAAUAACUAAGUGUUGGAAGAUUAAUAUGAUGGAAGAUAGACCCGGGGGCCAUAGGUUUCACUAGUGGCUUCUCUCAAGAGCAUAAGUAUUACGGUGGGUAAACGAAUUAUUGUCAAGCAAUUGAUAGAAUUGAGCUUAGUUAUGAGAAUAUCUAGGUAUGAUCAUGUAUAUAGGCCUCACGUCCAUGAUAAGUAGACCGAAACGAUUAUGCAUCUACUACUAUUACUCCACACAUCGACCGCUAUCCAGCAUGCAUCUAGAGUAUUAAGUUCAUAAGAACAGAGUAAUUCUUUAAGUAAGAUGACAUGAUGUAGAGGGAUAAACUCAUGCAAUAUGAUAUAAACCCCAUCUUUUUAUCCUCGAUGGCAACAAUACAAUAUGUGUCGGUUCCCUUUCUGUCACUGGGAUCGAGCACCGCAAGAUUGAACCCAAAGCUAAGCACUUCUCCCAUUGCAAGAAAGAUCAAUCUAGUAGGCCAAACUAAACUGAUAAUUCAAAGAGACUUGCAAAGAUAAACCAAUCAUACAUAAAAGAAUUUAGAGGAGAUUCAAAUAUUUUUCAUAGAUAAACUGGACCAUAAACCCACAAUUCGUCGGAUCUCAACAAACACACCGCAAAAGAAGAUUACAUUGAAUAGAUCUCCAAGAAGAUCGAGGAGAACUUUGUAUUGAGAUCCAAAGAGAGAGAAGAAGCCAUAUAGCUAAUAACUAUGGACCCGAAGGUCUGAAGUAAACUACUCACACAUCACCGGAGAGGCCAUGGAGUUGAUGUACAGGCCCUCCGUGAUCAAUGCCCACUCCGGCGGAGCUCCGAAAAAGGCCCCGAGAUGGGAUCUCUCGGGUACAGAAGGUCGCGGCGGUAGAAUUAGGUUUUCGUUGUGCUCCUAGAUGUUUGGGGGUACAUGGAUAUAUAUAGGAGGAAGAAGUACAUCGGUGGAGCAACGAGGGGCCCACGAGGGUGGAGGGCGCGCCCAGGGGGUAGGCGCGCCCCCUGCCUCGUGCCCUCCUCGAUCGUUUCUUGACGCCCACUCCAAGUCUCCUGGAUCACGUUUGUCGAGAAAAUCACGUUCCCGAAGGUUUCAUUCCGUUUGGACUCCGUUUGAUAUUGCUUUUCUUCGAACCCCUAAAAUAGGCAAAAACAGCAAUUUAGGCUGGGCCUCCGGUUAGUAGGUUAGUCCCAAAAUGAUAUGAAAGUGUAAAAUAAAGCCCAUUGACAUCCAAAAUAGAUAAUAUAAUAGCAUGGAGCAAUCAAAAAUUAUAGAUACAUUGGAGACGUAUCAAGCAUCCCCAAGCUUAAUUCUUGCUCGUCCUCGAGUAGGUAAAUGAUAAAAGACGAAUUAUUGAUGUGGAAUGCUUUCUAACAUAUUUCUCAACGUAAUUUUUCUUUAUUGUGGCAUGAAUGUUCAGAUCCGAAAGAUUCAAGAUAAAAGUUUAAUAUUGACAUAGAAAUAAUAAUACUUCAAGCAUACUAACUAAGCAAUCAUGUCUUCUCAAAAUAACAUGGCCAAAGAAAGUUAUCCCUACAAAAUCAUAUAGUCUGGCUAUGCUCUAUCUUCACCACACAAAAUAUUUAAAUCAUGCAUAACCCCGAUGACAAGCCAAGCAAUUGUUUCAUACUUUUGAUGUUCUCAAACUUUUUCAAUCUUCAUGCAAUAUAUGAGCGUGAGCCAUGGAUAUAGCACUAUAUGUGGAAUAGAAUGGUGGUUGUGGAGAAGACAAAAAAGGAGAAGAUAGUCUCACAUCAACUAGGCGUAUCAACGGGCUAUGAAGGUGCCCAUCAAUAGAUAUCAAUGUGAGUGAGUAGGGAUUGCCAUGCAACGGAUGCACUAGAGCUAUAAGUAUAUGAAAGCUCAACAAAAGAAACUAAGUGGGUGUGCAUCCAACUCGCUUGCUCACGAAGACCUAGGGCAAUUUAAGGAAGCCCAUCAUUGGAAUAUACAAGCCAAGUUCUAUAAUGAAAAAUCCCCACUAGUAUAUGAAAGUGACAACCUAGGAGACUCUCUAUCAUGAAGAUCAUGGUGCUACUUUGAAGCAAAAGUGUGGAAAAAGGAUAGUAGCAUUGUCCCUUCUCUCUUUUUCUCUCAUUUUUUUAUUUGGGCCUUCUUUUUUUGGCCUCUUUUCUCUUUUUUUCGUCCGGGGUCUCAUCCUGACUUGUGGGGGAAUCAUAGUCUCCAUCAUCCUUUCCUCACUUGGGACAAUCCUCUAAUAAUGAUGAUCAUCACACUUUAUUUACUUACAACUCAAGAAUUAUAACUCAAUACUUAGAACAAAAUAUGACUCUAUGUGAAUGCCUCCAGUGGUGUACCGGGAUGUGCAAUGAUGCAUGAGUGACAUGUAUGAAGAAUUAUGAAUGGUCGCUUUGCGACAAAUACGAUGUCAACUACAUGAUCAUGCAAGCAAUAUGACAAUGAUGAAGCGUGUCAUAAUAACAGAACGGUGGGAAGUUGCAUGGCAAUAUAUCUCGGAAUAGCUAUGGAAAUGCCAUAACAAGUAGGUAUGGUGGCUGUUUUGAGGAAGCUAUAUGGUGGGUUUAUGGUACCGGCGAAAGUUGCGCGAUACUAGAGAGGCUAGCAAUGGUGGAAGGGUGAGAGUGUGUAUAAUCCAUCGACUCAACAUUAGUCAUAAAGAACUCACAUACUUAUUGCAAAAAUCUAUUAGUUAUCGAAACAAAGUAUUAUGCGCAUGCUCCUAGGGGGAUAGAUUGGUAGGAAAAGACCAUCGCUCGUUCCCGACCGCCACUCAUAAGGAGGACAAUCAAUAAAUAAAUCAUGCUCCGACUUCAUCACAUAACGGUUCACCAUACGUGCAUGCUACGGGAAUCACAAAAUUCAACACAAGUAUUUCUCAAAUUCACAACUACUCAACUAGCAUGACUCUAAUAUCACCAUCUCCAUAUCUCAAAACAAUUAUCAAAUUCACAACUACUCAACUAGCAGCCCUCCGUGAUCAAUGCCCCCUCCGGUGGAGCUCCGGGAAAGGCCCCGAGAUGGGAACUCUCGGGUACAGAAGGUUGCGGCGGUAGAAUUAGGUUUUCAUGGUGCUCCUGGAUGUUUGGGGGGUAUGUGGAUAUAUAUAUAUAUAUAUAUAUAUAUAUAUAUAUAUAUAUAGGAGUAAGAAGUACGUCCGUGGAGCAACAAGGGGCCCACGAGGGUGGAGGGCGCGCCCAGGGGGGUAGGCACACCCCCUGCCUCGUGCCCUCCUCGGUCGUUUCUUGAUGCCCACUCCAAGUCUGCUGGAUCACGUUUGUUGAGAAAAUCACGUUCCCGAAGGUUUCAUUCCGUUUGGACUCCAUUUGAUAUUCCUUUUCUUCGAAACCCUAAAAUAGGCAAAAAAACAGCAAUUUGGGCUGGGCCUCCGGUUAGUAGGUUAGUCCCAAAAAUGAUAUAAAAGUGUAAAAUAAAGCCCAUUAACAUCCAAAAUAGAUAAUAUAAUAGCAUGGAGCAAUCAAAAAUUAUAGAUACAUUGGAGACGUAUCAGGUAUCAGCCAUGGUACAGUAGAAUAAAGUAGGUAUAAUGCAAUAACAAAAUAUGAAUGGGUAUACAUCAGUACUUAAAGUAGUGAUUUGUUUUAUUACUAGAACAUAAAUGUGUGCGUUGCCACGCCCUGUCCCUAAUGGUCAAUACAAAUAUGACAAAAAAGAUGAACAAAAGUGAUAUUCCAGGUAUAGGUGUAUGCCAUACAAAGAGAAAACCCAAUAGAAAUGGUAUUCCAAGUAUAAGUAUACCGACAAAAUACAAUGAGUAUGUCAAGGAUUUUUCUGUGCUCUGAAAUAGCUCAUUGCAUUUUUCCUGAAUAGUUAACAAUUGAAGAUUUCCUUUCUGAAAAAUUUCAUGACUUUAGUUUUUAUUUGUCAAGGUGAACAUAUAUCCUCCAUAUUGGAUCAUGCAUGCACUUUAUUUUUAUGAAUCAGUUUUAUAAUGAGCAGCAUUGAUCAGUUUAUCUGCAUGUCAUAGCAAAUCACACUAAAAUUUUAGCACCAAAACAAGGAAGAGCGUGUCAAACUACAUCCUUUUGGCACAGAAAAGUAACAAAAAGUUUAGUGCUGCUUACACAUAGUUUCAGCUGAAAGAUUAUUGUCCACUGUGACAAAUAAACACACCAAUUACAAUUAGUAAGCAUUACAUACACACAAAAUUUAUGUAAGCAUGACGAAAUAUAUGCACAUAACAACUAUUUUACAUUAACAAUAUCUCCAAGCUCUUGAUUGUGCCAAUAAUUUUCCAGUGGAAUCUUUUUGGUUGACUCAAGAAAUCGAUAGACGUGCAAGCUUGAGAUUUCCUCCAGUAAGCAGUGUACCUAAGUGUGCAGAGUGGAAGCGUUUCCCCAUUUUCAAUAGUAACACCCUGCAUGUGAGGCACAAAAAUGGAAGAUCAGACAAAAAGAAGAACAUGCACUUUAAGCAGAUAGUGUAAAACUAAAUAAAGAUGAUGAUUUAUGUCAUUGUAUUUUUUAAAACCAAUAAUACUUUCAAACAAAGAAAUCAAGGACAGAAUUUAAGCAAUUUAUUUCUAUGUGCACAAAGAAGACAAUACUUCUUUUCUAUUCAGAAUUUCUUAUCCAGUAAUAGUUUCAAGGAAUUAUAAUUAAAUGUGUAUCAAAUGUCCAUCUGAGCUAGGCUGUAAAUGGUUUAUUUUAUCCAAUAAUGCUUUUAUGGAAAGUGGCUAGCAAGUAUUCAUCAGAGAGUAGAUGAGAGCAAACCACAAGACAGAAAACUUACCAUAUGCUUGCAAAGUGCAAGCACAAAAAGUAACGCAAAUUAGGACGUGAAGUAAGAUAGGCCAAUGCCACCAAACAACCAUAUAAAAAGGGACAAUUACAUUUGAGCCCCUAGUUGUGUCACACCCGUGUGUUUUGCCCCUAAAUUCAAAAAACCCUCGUUUCUGCCCGAGCUCGUUUACUCUUCUUAUGCCUUUACCCUUUGACUGUUUGACCGUAACUUUGAAAACUUCAUAAUGAAUUCAUACUAACUCAGAAAAAUGCAUAUAAGAUAUCAAAAUGUUCGGAUAAACAUCACCAAUAUGUUUUGAAUUUGUUUUCAAUUUUUUCAUCAUUUACUAUUCAUGCUGACAUCAUAUGAGCUCAAACUAAGAUAGGGACUUUUGAGCACUUUUGUCAUGAAUGCAAAUGACAUGCACAUAUAGGUGAUGUUUUGCGAUCAUUUUGAUAUCUUAUUUGUAUUUUUCUGAGUUAGUAUGAAUUCGUUAUGAAGUUUUCAAAGUUGCAGUAAAACGGUCAAAGGGCAAAAGCAUAAGAGGAGUAAACGAGCUUGGACAGAAAUGAGGGUUUUUUAAAUUUAGGGCCAAAACACCCGGGUGUGACACAACUAGGGGCUCAAAUGCGAUUGUACCAUAUAAAAACUAUACGACCAGAAUAUGUGGCAAAGCAACAUCAGCUCCAUCCAUCCAGCAAGCAAGCAAACAAGCUACUUCAUAUGUCACCAAACGUCCGUCCACGGGAAGUAAACAAAUUUAUACUGGAGACCAAAGGAGAGAGACGGGCGAGUCUGGAGUAAUGGGGUGACGUUAAUCAAACGCAAGCCAUAUGUAGAACAGAUGCACCUACAAACAGGGGGCAUCGUAGGACAGCGGGAACGGCUUCUUUGGCCGCCAUCCGGGCAAACCCUGAAUUAAGGUGCGCUCAUGACAACACAGGGGGGUGGGGGUCGCCAAACUAUCUAUCUAUACGCAUCAAAGGAUCCGAUGCAGGCAACAUAUAUAUGUACGGGUCACGGAGUAGAGGAGGCAAACAGAUAGUAACGCAUCCGCACUACCAUAGACAUUACUGGAGGACGGACAGCACGUUGGCCCGGUUCACCAGAAAGAGCCCAGAUCGUUCUGAGGAGCAGCGGCCCUUUUGACGUUGGCACGGACGGCUCAUGUAGAUCACGCAGCACAAGAGGGCAACGGCGUUGUGCGGCAUGCUAAAACGAUCUGGUGCGUUCAUGAGCCUGAUCGGAUGGUUAAGGGCGUCAAAACGCUGUGGGAGGCCGUAGCUAGCUGAGUUAUACUGUUUUCUAAUACUAACAGAUCUCACGAAGGUUUUGUUAAGUUUUGUGUGAUUGAAGUUUUCAAGUUUUGCGUGAGAUCACGAUGGAUGAAGGAAUAAGGAGUGGCAAGAGCCUAAGCUUGGGGAUGCCCGAGGCACCCCAAGGUAAUAUUCAAGGACUCGCAGGCAACUAAGCUUGGGGAUGCUCCGGAAGGCAUCCUCUCUUUCUUCUAACGACCAUCGGUAAUUUUACUUGGAGCUAUAUUUUUAUUCAUCGCAUAUUAUGAGUUUUGCUUGGAGCGUCUUGUAUUAUAUGAGUCUUUGAUUGUUUUGCUUUUUAGUUUGUCAUAAUCAUCCUUGUUGAACACACUUGUUUGAGAGAGCCAUAAUGAUAUCUUGAUUUGUUAGAAUUGCUCUAUGUGCUUCACUUAAUUUUUUUGAUCUAGGGAAUUGCUCUAGUACUACUUAUAUCUUUUUUAGCAUGGUGGUGGUUAUAUUUUAAAGAAACAUGCUCUUGUGCUUCACUUAUAUCAUUUGGAGACUUAGUAAAUUUUAAAGAAAUAUGCUCUCAUGCUUCACUUCUAUCAUUUUGAGAGUUAGUAAACUUUAAGGAAAUAUGCUCUCAAGCUUCACUUAUAUUAUUUUGAGAGUUGAAAAUUUUGAAGAAAUAUUUAUGCUCUCAUGCUUCACUCAGAUCUUUUUGAGAGUUAAGAAUAGUAAUGGUAAUUUGUACGAGAUAUGAAUUUGGUCCCAAAGUGAUAGAUAUUCAAGAUGGAUGUAAUAAAAACUUUCAUGAAUAUCAUUGGAUAUUAAAACUUGAUUCCUUGCAAUAGUUUUGCGAUAUGGAGAUAGUGAUAUGUGAGUCAUGUUGGUGAGUAAUUAUGCUUUAGUAAGAAUAUUGUUGUUAAGGUUUGUGAAGAAUCCCAAAUGAGGUGUACCUAAGGCAGGUUAGCCCUGUUAUACAAUUUAUCAAGAAAUUUGAGCGGAAGACCUUGUUUUUGAACUUUCAGAUUGAUGACACCAAGACCCCCAUGUGCCUUGGGACAACACACUCUCUGCCAAGCUACCAAAGAAUUGCAAGUCUCCCCUUGUUCCGAUUUCUUAGUCCAAACAAAUCUUCUUCUUACCUUGUCAAAGUACUGUAUGAAUUCUGGAUUCAACUGCAAAGUGCAUGUUGCAAACUUAAUCAUAGAUGUAGCAAUAGGAUUGACCAAGGUGAUCCUAGAAGCAUGGCAUAGGAGAGAACAUGUACUAGAUAGCCUUCUCACACCUCUGUCCACAAGUGGCAGGAGAUCUGUCAUUGUGGGUUUGGUGGUGCCGAGAGGAAGGCCUAAAUAUGCGAACGGCAUUUUCCCCACUUCACAUCCAAACACAGAAGUAAGAUCAUCCGCUGCUAUUGGGUUUACAUUUAUGGGCACCAAUAUACACUUCUGAAAGUUUAUUUUCUGUCCCGAUGAUAAGGCAAAAUCUGGUAAAACCCUUUGGAGAUGUAAGAGUUGACCACUGCAGGCUGGAAGGAUGAUGAUCGUGUCAUCGGCGUAUUGAAUUAUGGAAAAAUUACCAUGUCUCGGGAUUGGUAAGCACAAAUUUCCCUUAGAAAAUCAUCAUUGAUCACAUAUUGCAAUAGUUCAACCGUAAGGACAAACAGUAACAGCAACACGGGUUCACCCUAACGUACACCUCGUUUGCAGCGAAAGGAUUUACCCGGUACAGUGUUUAGCAGGAACGAGGAAUGACCCAAUUCCAGCAAAACUUUGACCCAAUGUAUCCAUCUGUUAUCAAACCCCAACUUCUCUAUCAUAGAAAAAAUAAGCUCAUGCUCUACCAGAUCGGAAGCUUUUUCAAAGUCUAGCUUAAGGAGAACAAUUUCUCUGCCAGAGUGCUCGUAUUGGUGAAUGUAUUCGAAGGCCCAAGCCAGGCAGUCCUGAAUGGAUCCACCCUUGAUAAACCAAUAUUGGUUCUCAUGAAUGAUCUUUAGGAGUAGUUUCUAUAAGCAAUCAGCUAACAACUUUGUCAACAGUUUUAGAUAACAGUUGAGCAGCGAAAUGAGGCGAAAAUCAUUCACCGUAGAGGGGUUUAAUUCUUUUGGUAUAAGAGUGAUUAGGGAUGCAUUGAGAUAAUCUAGCGAGAUGUUACCUUCCCAAAAACUCUGACACAGAUCAUAGAAAUCAAACUUUAUUAUGUCCCAAUAGGAUUUUAAGAAACAGCCAUUAAAACCAUCCGGACCCGGGGCCUUGUCCAAGGGUAAAUUAUUAACUAUGGUGUGUUUGUUGGGAUCCGGUGAAUUGUGAGUUUAUGAUCAGAUAUAUCCAUGAAAUUUAUUUGAGUUUUCUCGAAACUCUUUUAUGCAUGAUUGUUAUACCCUGGUAUUUCUUCUUCGGUUUAUUGGUUUGGUUCGGCCAACUAGAUUGAUUUAUCUUGCCAUGGGAAGAGGUGCUUUGUGAUGGGUUCGAUCUUGUGGUGCUCAAUCCCAGUGACAGAAGGGCACAUGACAUGCAUCUAUCAUUGCUAUUAAGGGUAACAAGAUGGGACUUAUUCAUAUGUGAGUUUAUCUUGUCUACAUCAAGUCAUCUUUCUUAAUGCAUUACUCCAUUUUUUUCAUGAACUUAAUACACUAGAUGCAUGCUGGAUAGCGGUCGAUGUGUGGAGUAAUGGUAGUAGAUGCAGAAUCGUUUCGAUCUACUAAUCUUGGACGUGAUGCCUAUAUACAUGAUCAUUGCCUUGGAUAUCAUCAUAAUUAUUUGCUUUUCUAUUAAUUGCCCAGUCGUAAUUUGUUUACCCACCGUAUGCUAUUUUCUCGAGAGAAGCCUCUAGUGAAAACUACUGACCACGAGUCUCCGAGGUGCCUGCCUCACCAUUGUGAGUGUUGCAGGCUAGCCAGCUAUCCUCUCCCAUGUAAAAGCGGGUCAUAAGUGAGGCGAGGGCUGCCAUGGUCCUCGGCUUAUCUUGCCCGAGCUGUCGGGUAAGCCAUUCAUCUCGAAUAUUAUUUUUGAACGCCGCGAUGGCCUCGGCGUUGGAGCAGUCUAUGAUAUGAUUCUUUUUGGUGAGGAACAUAUUCCAGAACUUCUGAGCUGAAUUGCCGGAUUGUUGUAUGACGUGGCUAAGGUCGUCGACGUCCGUAGGUUGGACGUAGGUUCCUUAGAAAUUUUCCCUAAAGGCAUCCUUGAGGGUUUCCCAGCUCCCGAUGGAGUGAGGAGGCAAGUUGUUGAGCCAAUGCCUUGACGGCCCCUUUAGCUUGAGCGACAGAUCCUUGAUGGCGUGGAGGUCAUCUCCAUUGGCCACAUAGCUGGAUCCUUGAUGGCAUGGAGGUCAUCUCCAUUGGCCACACAGCUUGAGCGGCAGAUCCUUGAUGGCGUGGAAAUCAUCGAUCCACAUAGCUGGAUCGGUUGUGCCAUCGUAUGAUUCUAUGUUGAUGUAUUUAAACCCGUCCGGGAACUGAUGUUCCAUUACCCUGUCUGUAACACAGAUAGGGUGAGCGGGACCUCGGGUCUGAGUAGUGUCACGUCGGAUAUUGGGGAGAUCCAUGAGUAGGCCUGGUCCUGAGCUCGGUCGUUCCUGUCCAUCCAUGCAUCAUAGCCGUGCGUCCCAUGGGUUCCGCCUUCUGGAUUCGUAAAUGGGUCAAGACGGCGCACGAUUUGCUUCUAUUCGACGUCGAACAUCAUGAGGAUCAAGGUAGUCCAUGGGGUCCUUGCCAUGAUAGCGUGAAGCCGGUUGGGUGUGGAAAUUUUCUCGCACUAGUCUGUCACACCCUCUAAGGUGGCGAUCUUCUUGAGCUUGCGUUGGUUUUUCCCUUGAAGGGGAAAGGGUGAUGCAGCAAAGUAGAGAUAAGUAUUUCCCUCAGUUUGAGAACCAAGGUAUCAAUCCAGUAGGAGACGAGGCACAAAUCACCUAAUACCUGCACAAACAAUCAAACAACUUGCACCCAACGCGAUAAAGAGGUUGUCAAUCCCUUCACGGUUACUUGCAAAAGUGAGAUCUGAUAGAGAUAGAUGAAACUGAACAAAAGGGUAAAAUAAAUUUUGGUAUUUUUGGUUUAUAGAUCGGAAAGAAAAAGAUUGCAAAAUAGUAGAUCGAGAACUAAUACGAUAGAAAAUAGAAGAUCGGAAACUUAUAUGAUGGAAAAUAGACCCGGGGGGGCAUAGGUUUUACAAGAGGCUUCUCUCAAGAUAGCAAAUAAUAUGGUGGGUGAACAAAUUACUGUCGACCAAUAGAUAGAAAAGUGCAAAGUUAUGACGAUAUCUAAGGCAAUGAUUAUGAAAUAUAGGCAUCACGUCCAUGUCAAGUAGACCGAAAUGAUUCUGCAUCUAUUACUAUUACUCCACACAUCGACCGACUCCUGCCUGCAUCUAGAGUAUUAAGUUCAUGAAGAGGAAUUAACUCAAGCAAUAUGAUGAAAACCCCAUUUUUUUUAUCCUCGAUGGCAACAAUACAAUACGUUACUUGCUGGCCCUACUGUCACUUGGAAAGGACACCGCAAGAUUGAACCCAAAGCUAAGCACUUCUCCCAUUGCAAGAAAAACCAAUCUAGUUGUCCAAACCAAACUGAUAGCUCGAAGAGAAUUACAAAGAUAUCAAAUCAUGCAUAUAAGAAUUCAGAUAAGAUUCAAAUAAUAUUCAUGGAUAAGCUGAUCAUAAAUCCAUAAUUCAUCGGAUCUCGGUAAACACACCGCAAAGAAGUAUUACAUCGCAUAGAUCUCCAAGAACAUUGAGAAGAACAUGGUAUUGAGAAUCAAAGAGAGAGAAGAAGCCAUCUAGCUACUAGCUAUGGACCCAUAGGUCUGAGGUAAACUACUCACGCUUCAUCGGAAGGGCAAUAGAGUUUAUGUAGAAGCCCUCUGUGAUCGAAUCCCCCUCCGGCAGGGUGCCGGAAAAGGUCCCUAGAUGGGAUCUCAUGGGCACAGAAGGUUGCGGCGGUGGAAAAGUGUUUUCGUGGAUGCCUCUGGUGGUUUGGGAAUAUAUGUGAAUAUAUAGGCGAAGGAAUUAGGUCAGGGGAGUCAUGGGGGGCCCACAAGAAAGGAGGCACACCCUACCCCCCUGGGUACACCCUCCACCCUUGUGGCCGCCUCGUGGAUCCUCUGACUUGAUCUCCAAGUCACCUGGGUGUCUUCUGCUCCAAGAAAGAUCAUCGCGAAGGUUUUACUCCGUUUGGACUCUGUUUGGUAUUCCUUUUCUAUGAAACUCAAAAACAAGGAAAAAAUAUAAACUGGCACUGGGCCCUAGGUUAAUAGGUUAGUCCCAAAAAUAAUAUAAAAUAGCAUAUUAAUGCAUAUAAAACAUCCAAAACAGAUAAUAUAAUAGCAUGGAACAAUCUAAAAUUAUAGAUACGUUGGAGACGUAUCAAGCAUCCCAAGCUUAAUUCAUGCUCGUCCUCGAGUAAGUAAAUGAUAAAAAUAGAAUUUUUUAUGUGGAAUGCUGCCUAACACAUUUAUCCAUGUAAUUUUCUGUAUUGUGGCAUGAAUGUUCAGAUCCAUAAGAUUCAAAACAAAAGUUUAAUGUUGACAUAAAAACAAUGAUACUUGAAGCAUACUAACAAGGCAAUUAUGUCUUCUCAAAAUAACAUGGCCAAAGAAAGCUUAUCCCUACAAAAUCAUAUAGUCUGGCUAUGCUCCAUCUUCAUCACACAAAAUAUUCAAAUCAUGCACAACCCCAAUGACAAGCCAAGCAAUUGUUUCAUACUUUUGAUGUUCUCAAACUUUUUCAACUUUCACGCAAUACAUGAGCGUGAGCCAUGGACAUAGCACUAUAGGUGGAAUAGAAUAUGGUGGUUGUGGAGAAGACAAAAAGAAGGAGAUAGUAUCACAUCAACUAGGCGUAUCAACGGGCUAUGGAGAUGCCCAUCAAUAGACAUCAAUGUGAGUGAGUAGGGAUUGCCAUGCAAUGGAUGCACUAGAGCUAUAAGUUUAUGAAAGCUCAAAAAGAAACUAAGUGGGUGUGCAUCCAACUUGCUUGCUCACGAAGACCUAGGGCAAUUUAAGGAAUCCCAUCAUUGGAAUAUACAAGCCAAGUUCUAUAAUGAAAAAUUCCCACUAGUGUAUGAAAGUGACAACGUAGGAGACUCUCUAUCAUGAAGAUCAUGGUGCUACUUUGAAGCACAAGUGUGGUAAAAGGAUAGUAACAUUGCCCCUUCUCUUUUUUCUCUCAUUUUUUAUUUGGGCCUUCUCUCAUUUUUUGGGCCUUUUUUUCAUCCGGGGUCUCAUCCCGACUUGUGGGGGAAUCAUAAUCUCCAUCAUCCUUUCCUCGCAUGGGAUAAUGCUCUAAUAAUGAAGAUCACCACACUUUUAUUUACUUACAACUCAAGAAUUACAACUUGAUACUUAGAACAAAAUAUGACUCUAUAUGAAUGCCUCCAGCGGUGUACCGGGAUGUGUAAUGAAUCAAGAGUGACAUGUAUGAAAGAGUUAUGAACGGUGGCUUUGCCACAAAUACGAUGUCAACUACAUGAUCAUGCAAAGAAAUAUGACAAUGAUGGAACGUGUCAUAAUAAAUGGAAUGGUGAAAUGUUGCAUGGCAAUAUAUCUCGGUAUGGCUAUGGAAAUGCCAUAAUAGGUAGGUAUGGUGGCUGUUUUGAGGAAGGUAUAUGGUGGGUGUAUGGUACCGGCAAAAGUUGCAUGGCACUACAGAGGCUCGCAAUGGUGGAAGGGUGAGAGUGCGUAUAAUCCAUGGACUCAACAUUAGUCAUAAAGAACUCACAUACUUAUUGUAAAAAUCUAUUAGUUAGCGAAACAAAGUACUACGCGCAUGCUCCUAGGGGAAUAGAUUAGUAGGAAAAGAUCGUCGCUCAUCCCCGACCGCCACUCAUAAGGAAGACAAUCAAUAAAUAAAUCAUGCUCCGACUUCAUCACAUAACGGUUCACCAUACGUGCAUGCUACGGGAAUCACAAACUUUAACACAAGUAUUUCUAAAAUUCACAAUUACUCACUAGCAUGACUCUAAUAUCACCAUCUUUAUAUCUCAAAACAAUCAUAAGGAAUCAAACUUCUCAUACUAUUAACUGCACUUUAUAUGAAAGUUUUUAUUAUAUCCCUCUUGAAUGCCUAUCAUAUUAGGACUAAAUUUAUAACCAAAGCAAAUUACCAUGUUGUUUAGAGACUCUCGAAAUAAUAUAGGUGAAGAAUGAGAGUUCAACAAUUUCUAUAAAAUAAAGCCACUGUCAUGCUCUAAGAAGAUAUAUGUGAAGCACUAGAGCAAAAUUGCCUAGCUCAAAAGAUAUAAGUGAGCACAAAGAGUAUUCUAAUAAAUCACGAUUCAUGCAUGUCCCUCUCAAAAGGUGUGUACAGCAAGGAUGAUUGUGGAAAACUAAAAAGCAAAGACUCAAAUCAUACAAGAUGCUCCAAGCAAGACACAUAUCAUGUGGUGAAUAAAAAUAUAGCCUCAAGUAAAGUUACCGAUAGACGAAGACGAAAGAGGGGAUGCCUUUCGGGGCAUCCCCAAGCUUAGGCUCUUGGUUGUCCUUAAAUAUUACCUUGGGGUGCCUUGGGCAUCCCCAAUCUUAGGCUCUUGCCAAUCCUUAUUCCAUAGUCCAUCAAAUUCUUACCCAAAACUUGAAAACUUCACGACACAAAACUCAAUAGAAAAUCUAAUAAGCUCCGUUAGUAUAAGAAAAUAAAUCAGCACUUUUGGUACUGUUGUGAACUCAUUAUUUAUUUAUAUUGGUGUAAUAUCUAGUGUAGUCCAACUUUUCCAUGGNNNNNNNNNNNNNNNNNNNNNNNNNNNNNNNNNNNNNNNNNNNNNNNNNNNNNNNNNNNNNNNNNNNNNNNNNNNNNNNNNNNNNNNNNNNNNNNNNNNNNNNNNNNNNNNNNNNNNNNNNNNNNNNNNNNNNNNNNNNNNNNNNNNNNNNNNNNNNNNNNNNNNNNNNNNNNNNNNNNNNNNNNNNNNNNNNNNNNNNNNNNNNNNNNNNNNNNNNNNNNNNNNNNNNNNNNNNNNNNNNNNNNAAGCAAACAACACAUAGAAAACAGAAUCUGUCAAAAAGAGAAUAGUCUGUAGUAAUUUGUAACUCUCGAAUACUUCUGUAACUCAAAAAAAAAUAAAAAUAAGGACAACCUAAGCAAUUUUUUUAUAAAUCUUCUUAAAAAUAAUCAGUAUUUUAUCACGCUUCUGUUAAAAAUGAGAAUUUUUUUCUUGAGCGCAAAAGUUUCUGUUUUUCAGCAAGAUCAAAUCAACUAUCACUGUAAGCCAUCCCAAAGGUCUUACUUGGCACAAACACUAAUUUAAAACACAAAACCCCAUCUAACCAGAGGCUAGAUGAAUUAUUUAUUGCAAAACAGAACCUUAAAAGCAAAUAAAAAAAAUAAAACCGGGUUGCCUCCCAACAAGCGCUAUGGUUUAACGCCCUUAGCUAGGCAUAAAACACAAAUAGAUCUAGGUAUUGUCAUCUUUGGUAUGCAAUCCAUAAGUUGCUCUCAUAAUAGACUCAUAAGGCAAUUUAAUUUUCUUUCUUGGAAAGUAUUCCAUGCCCUUCCUUAACAGAAAUUGAAAUCUAAUGUUUCCUUCUUUCAUAUCAAUAAUUGCACCAAUCGUUCUAAGGAAAGGUCUACCAAGAAUAAUAGGACAUUUAGGAUUGCAAUCUAUAUCAAGAACAAUGAAAUCUACGGGCACAUAAUUCCUAUUUGCAACAAUAAGAACAUCAUUAAUCCUUCCCAUGGGUUUCUUAAUAGUGGAAUCCACAAUAUGCACAUUAAGGAACAAUCAUCAAAUUCAUGGAAACCUAACACAUCACAUAAAGUUUUUGGAAUCGUGGAAACACUAGCACCCAAAUCACACAAAGAAUGGCACUCAUAAUAUUUAAUAUUAAUCUUAAUAUUAGGUUCCCACUCAUCAUAAAGUUUUCUAGGGAUAGAAACUUCUAAUUCAAGCUUUUCUUCAAAAGAUUGCAUCAUAGCAUCAACGAUAUGUUUAGUAAAAGUUUUGUUUUGAUUAUAAGCAUGAGGGGAAUUCAACAUGGAUUGCAAUAAGGAAAUACAAUCUAUGAAAGAACAAUUAUCAUAAUUAAAUUCCUUAAAAUCCAAAAGAGUGGGUUCAUUGCUACUUAAAGUUUUGACCUCUCCAAUCCCACUUUUAUUAAUUUUUGCAUCAAGAUCUAAAAACUCUGAAUCAUUGGGAUGCCUUUUAACUAAAGUUGACUCAUCUCCAGUCCCAUCUUUAUCAAGAUUUAUAUUGGAAAACAAAGAUUCAAUAGGAGCACAUCAAUCACUUUAAGAACUUCAUCAUUAUUUAAAGACUCCGGUUUAGCGGCCAUCUUAUUUACUAAGGUAGCUUGUUUAUCAGAAAUUUGUCCCACUAAAUUUUCAGCAUGAGAAAACUGAGAUUUCAAACCAUAAAAUUCCUUAGACAUAUCAUCGAGCUCUUUAUUCAUGUGCUCCAUAAAACUUUUCUGCUCCUCAAGCUCAUUUCUAAAGAAACUAUUAUGCUCAAAUUGUAAAGACAUGAAGCUCCUAACAUUAUUUUCAAAUUAUUCCAACCUCCUAAAGUGAGGCUCAAUGCUCUUUGGUUGAGCCAUAAAGGAAAGCAAGCACACCGACGCACGGGCAAACAAAAAGCAACGAAGAAGAUGAACGGAAGAGGGGUGUAGAAAAAGGCAAAUCUUUUCGAAAAUCAUUUUAGAAGUGGGGGAGAGGAAAACGAGAGGCAAAUGAAAAAUAAUGUAACGCAAGAGAUGAGAGUUUAUGAUGGGUAAUUGGUAUGUCGUAACUUGGCAUACAUCUCCCCGGCAAUGGCGCCAGAAAUUCUUCCUACCACUUCUUGAGCUUGCGUUGGGUUUUCCCUUAAAGAGGAAAGGGUGAUGAAGCAAAGUAGAGAUAAGUAUUUCCCUCAGUUUGAGAACCAAUGUAUCAAUCCAGUGAGAGACAACGCACAAAUCACCUAAUACCUGCACAAACAAUCAAACAACUUGCAUUCAAGGCGAUAAAGGGGUUGUCAAUCCCUUCACGGUUACUUACAAAAGUGAGAUCUGAUAGAGAUAGAUGAAACUAAAUAAAAGGGUAAAGUAAAUAUUUUUGGUUUGUAGAUCGGAAAGUAAAAGAUUGCAAAAUAGUAUAUCAGAAACUAAUACGAUGGAAAAUAGAAGAUCAAAAACUUAUAUGAUGAAAAAUAGACCCGGGGGGCAUAGGUUUCACUAUAGGCUUCUCUCAAGAUAGCAAAUAAUACGAUGGAUGAACAAAUUACUGCCAAGCAAUUGAUAGAAAAGUGCAAAGUUAUGAUAUAUCUAAGGCAAUGAUUAUGAAAUAUAGGCAUCGCUUCCAUGUCAAGUAGAUCGAAACGAUUCUGCAUCUAUUACUAUUACUCCACACAUUGACCGACUCCUGCCUGCAUCUAGAGUAUUAAGUUCAUGAAGAACAGAGUAACACAUUAAGUAAGAUGACAUGAUGUAGAUGAAUUAACUCAAGCAAUAUGAUGAAAACCCCAUAUUUUUAUCCUCGAUGGCAACAAUACAAUACGUGCCUUGUUGCCCCUACUUUCACUGGGAAAGGACACCGCAAGAUUGAACCCAAAGCUAAGCACUUCUCCCAUUGCAAGAAAAACCAAUCUAGUUGGCCAAACCAAACCGAUAGUUCGAAGAGAAUUACAAACAUAUCAAAUCAUGCAUAUAAGAAUUCAGAGAAGAUUCAAAUAAUAUUCAUAGAUAAGCUGAUCAUAAAUCCACAAUUCAUGGAUCUCGGCAAACACACCGCAAAAAAGUAUUACAUCGAAUAGAUCUCCAAGAAUAUUGAGAGAACAUGGUAUUGAGAAUCAAAGAGAGAUAAGAAGCCAUCUAGCUUCUAGCUAUGGACCCGUAGGUCUGAGGUAAACUACUCACACUUCAUCGGAAGGGCAAUAGAGUUGAUGUAGAAGCCCUUUGUGAUUGAACCCCCUUCCGGUAGGGUGCCGGAAAAGGUCCCUAGAUGGGAUCUCACGGGUAAAGAAGGUUACAGCGGUGGAAAAGUGUUUUUGUGGAUGCCUCUGGUGGUUUGGGAAUAUAUGUGAAUAUAUAGGCGAAGGAAUUAGGUCAGGGGAGUCACGGGAGGCACAAGAUAGGGGGUGCGCCCUACCCCCCUGGGCGCGCCCUCCACUCUUGUGGCCGCCUCAUGGCUCCUCCGACUUGAGCUCCAAGUCUCCUGGAUGUCUUCUGGUCCAGAAGGUUUUAUUUUGUUUGGACUCCAUUUGGUAUUCCUUUUCUGCGAAACUCAAAAACAAGGAAAAAACAGAAACUUGCACUGGGCUCUAGAUUAAUAGGUUAGUCCCAAAAAUAAUAUAAAAUAGCAUAUUAAUGCAUAUAAAACAUCCAAAACAGAUAACAUAAUAGCAUGGAACCGUAAAAAAUUAUAGAUACGUUGGAGACGUAUCACGCACAUCGGCGCUUAUCUCGUCAUCGAACUCAUGCAACAGACGCCUACGAGGAUAAGAUUUGGGUGCGCUAUGGUGUCACUCUUCGAGAUCUUGUUCAACCGAGAGUACUUCAACCCACUUUUUCUUCAGUGCAUCUAUAUUGUCUUGUAGCUGCCGCUCCUUGCCUUUCAUACUUUGGGCGGUGGCAACGAGGCGUGUAAGUGCAUCUAGUGCCCUUUAGUGAUUUUUGUGUAUUGAAGACUUAUAGGAAAAGGGACUAAUGCGUUUGUGAGUGUACACAAGACUAUAAGUCUAUGAGGAGUUUGAUAUUUAUAGAGAAAGUCGACCCCUAAAAAUGAAUGUCUUCAACUGAGACUUUGGAUUUUUGAAGACUUUCUGAAGACUUUGAAAGUGAAGAAAUUGGUGUGACUGUGAAGACUUGGUAUUCAUGCGAGGAACAUGAAGCGUGAAGACUAUUGUUUUCAUAGUUUCAUUUUCUCUUUCUUGAGUCAUAGGAAACACCGUACUAUUAAACGGGUCGAGGUAAAACUAAGGAAGAGUUUCCAAGUGAUCCUCAUCUCAAAAUCCUACACCUACCAAUCCCUUUGAGUGAAGCCAUUGGAAAUCUCAUAUAGUUCAGUCAAUUUCUUCAGUGAGCAGAGACGAAGUUCUUCUGCUCUCUGAGGAAUUUGUUCUGACUGAGGAGUUAGGAAUUCGCCAGUGCGGAUUGCCUACGAGUGAGGAACAUGGUAGCCCUGAGGAAUUUGAACCUCAAAUUUCUGACCGUUCUUGUGCUAUGCGCCAGCUGUCCCAAAAUAUCUAGUCACCUAACGGUCAUAUCAUUGAAGGGCAUUUAUGUCUUAUCAUGUUGGGCUGCUCCCUAGGCUAUAAAUAGUCGCGCCCCUACAACUACUAGCUGGUUGGCUGCUCCGCGAGAAACUGACACUUGUCAUUGAGAGCAUCCCAUCCUUCGAGGACUUUGAGCGGAAAUCAUCAAGUGAGGAAAAACCAAAACCCCAAACCAAACACCUACAAACCCAAAGUGAUUAAGCAUCACUGAAGAGAUUGUUCAUGUGUGGAACUGACGAUUGUUACCUUUGAGGACUGUGCAUCCUCCAGACGGUUAGGCGUCAUGGUCUAGAGCAUCCAAGAGGAAAUUGUGGAUCACCAAGUGACCGAGUCUGUGAAGGUUUGGAAGUCACCUGAAGACUUACCACGAGUGAUUGGACGAGGCCUGUGUGACCUUAGUUCAAGGAGAAUACGGUGAGGACUGUGUCCUCGGGUUUAAAUACCUAGCCGCUCCAACCAGACGUACGACUGUCACAGCAGUUGGAACUGGUCUACCAAAUCAUUGUCUUCACCGAGCUAACUGGUUCUAUUUCCUCAACCCUUCCAUUUCCUCAUUAUUGUGUUGUGUACCUGUUCAUAUCUGUUUGAAGACUUUGACUGAAGACUUUCUCAAUUUCCUCGGUUCAAUUUCUUCAGUCAGUUUGUCUUCAGCCUGCAUAUCCUGUGUUUACGCUUUCUGUACUCUGCGCUUGCUUUCAUUUCUUCAUGAUGACUGUGCUAUGCUCUGUUAUGUUUGCACCUGAGUACUUAUUCCGCCGCAAGUAGUUCUUCGCUUAGGAAUUUCCUCACCCUGAAAUUCCUCAGUGAAGAAUUCAUAAAAAUCGCCUAUUCACCCCCCUCUAGUCGACUUAACGCACUUUCAAUUGGUAUCAGAGUAAGGUACUCCCUUGUUCUGUGUGAUUUUGGUUUAACUGCCUGGAGUUUUAGUUAUGUCGACCACGGGAAUGAAGACAGUGACAAGCCCCAUCUUUGAAGGUCAUGAUUAUUCCAAGUGGAAGGCCAUGAUGAAGAAGCGCCUCAUGGCGAUGAACAACAAACUUUGGACCAUCACUGAGAUUGGUCUUACUAACCUAUGCAAGAUGGCGGAGGCUGAUGAUAUUCGCAAGUACACUCUACUCAACCUCACGGCGAAAGACAUCAUCUGCUCUCGCUUGUUGCAAAGUCAGUUCAGGAACGUUAUGCAUCUCUGCCAUGCGAAGCUCAUCUGGGACCGUCUAUCUGAGGUCUAUGAAGGUCAUCGAACUCAUCAUGAUCCCUGGUUUGGGGAAUUCAAGGAAUCACGAAAGGCUAUGACCUUCAAUCCGGGAACAUCAUCCUCUUCACCAUGCCUUAUGGCAAAAGGUGCCAAGGUAACUGAAUGUUAUCUAUUUGAGUCCAGUGAUGAUGAAUCUGGUGAGGAAUUUGGACCCAGCUAUACCAAACUUGCUUCCUUGCCAUUAAACAACAAAUAGCUUUGGAAAAAUUUCAAAACAUGUUGGAUGAGAACGAUGAUAUGUUAGGUUAAGAAAUGGAUAGUCGAAAGCUUUGGCUGAAAGUCUUCAGAGACUUCAGACUCAGUUUGAUAAUCUUCAGAGUCAUCAUAACACUCUCUUAUCUGAUCAUGAGAAGCUUUCUUAUGAAUUUGUUCAAAGAAAGCAUGAUUUUGAGAAGUUAAGAGUGAGUUAUGAAGAUCUUCAGAAGGAGCGUGAUUCAUUACUUGCUCAACAAAUCAGCACUACUCAGAAAGAAUGUAUUCCUCCAUGUUUGAAGUGCAUUGAACGUGAAUCUGCUUAUUCUUCACCUGAAAGUUCAAAUGCUUCUAUUUCUGCAAAUUGUUCACCUGACUAUGUUGUCACAAAUUCCUCAUCUGAGGAUGCUGCUAGUAUCACUGACCAUGCAGGGCUAAAGGAAUUGUAUUUGACAGACAUGUACAAAAGCCUCAAAGGGCAUCAGGCUCUUUGUGAUGUGCUUAAGAAGCAGAUCCUCAACAGGAACCCUAGAAAAGAUGGUAUUGCCUUUGAGAGGAAACUCAAUGCUGAUGGGACCUACUGGAAGCCUGAGCAGUAUCCCAAAACCUCAUGGGUUGCUGCAAAGGGACCUUCAAUGGAUCCAUCUACUUUAUCUGGGUUUACAUGUGAAUCUUCGUAUUCUUAUGAUGAGUCAUUUGACUCCAAUUAUAAAUCGUUCAAAAAUCAGAAUGGUGAAGUAUUUGCUAGAUAUGUUGGCACUAACUGCAGGAACGGUCCUCCUAUGAAGAAAAUAUAGGUUCCCAAAAGGUGCCUUGAAAGUCUUCAGGUGAAUGUCAUCAUGACACCACCUGUGAAGAAUAGGAACCCCAGAUCAAAUUCUUCAUAUGGACCAAAGUCUUCUUAUGGACCAAAGUCUUCAUAUGGAUCCAAGUCCUCAUAUGGACCACAUUCCUCACAUGGAUCAAAGUUCUCAUAUGAACAUUAUCGUGCUAACACCUCUGAUUUGCAGGGAAAGGCUAAGGGUUAUGGAUAUGUGCAUUAUUCUUCAAAUCAUUAUGUUCAUAAAUCCUUGAAGAAUUUCUCUGCUUAAUCAUAUGCUUACCCUAACCCCUCUUAUGUGAAACGAAGUGGAUUGGCAUCUAUGCCACCUUUCUCUUAUGGAGCUCGCAGAAUGAUGAACUCUUUGCCACCCCUCCAGAUGUGGGUGGUGAAGAAAAAGAACUAACUUCUUAUGCAUGGUCAGGUCUCCAAACGAACCUAAAUGUCUGAAGAAUUUGCUGGAGACCUGAAUAUGCUUGAAAGGACGCAAGCUAAUCAUGAAGAAAUGAAUUUUCAUUUCUCAUGUCCUCAUACUACUUUACCUGUUCUAUCGCUUGAUGAAAUUGAUCCAAUAAAACUGAUGUCAUAUUCUUCACUGAUGAAGUAUAUGAGAUUGUAGGAUGCACCAAUUCAUCUGCAGGAUGAUUAAGCCCAAGCCACCGAGUGGGGCCUCGAUAGUGGAUGUACAAAUCACAUGACUGGUGACAGGAGCUUAUUGAUGGACAUUGCUUUAUCUCCAUCGCAUCUGAAGCAUAUCACCUACGCUGACAAAGGAAAAAAGCAAGGUAUUGGGUCUAGGUAAGGUUGCAAUCUCAAAGGAUCGACACAUGGAGAAAGUCAUGCUUGUCGAGUCCUUAGGGUUCAACCUCAUGUCUGUCUCAAUGCUUUGUGAUCUUGAUAUGGUUGUUGUGUUGUGAUCAUGGAAGCUGACAAUUCCAAAGUCUUCGAAGGCUUUAGGAGAGGAUAUUUGUAUAUUAUUGAUUUCUCUACAGGACCACAACCUGCUACAUGUCUACUUGCAAAAGCUUUAGAAGGCUGGCUAUGGCAUCGAUGACUUGGUCAUGCUGGCAUGAGGAACUUGCACAAGCUCGCGAAGAAGAAGCAUGUCAUCGGCAUCGAGGGUGUCAAAUUCCUCAAGGACCAUUUGUGUGGAGCUUGUGAAGCUAGAAAGAUGACCAAGGCCAAGCAUCCCUCAAAGACCAUCAUGACUACCACUCGUCCAUUUGAAUUUCUUCACAUGAAUCUCUUUGGCCCUACUCAUUAUGCCACAUUUACCAAUGCUGCAUCUCUAUAUGGCUUUGUCAUUGUUGAUGAUUAUUCUCAUUAUACAUGGGUGCAUAUCAUCACUUACAAAACUGAAGUGCAGGAAGUCUUCAAACGGUUUUCCUCGAGGGCUUCAACCAACUUUUGUGUGAAGAUCAAGCACAUCAGAAGUGACAAUGGAACUGAGUUCAAGAACAUCGUUCUUGAUGACUAUCUUGAUGAACUUGGUAUUACUCAUGAGUUAUUUGCUCCUUAUACUCCUCAGCAGAAUGGCGUCGUGGAGCGCAAGAACGGGACUCUUGUUGAGAUGGCUCGCACUAUGCUUGAUGAGUACAAGAUGCCUUCUCGCUUCUGGCCUGAGGCAAUUGAUAUUGCGUGCCACAUCAUCAACAUGUUAUAUCUUCACAAAUUCUUCAGAAAGACCUCAUAUGAACUCCUCAUGGACAAGAAGCCCAAUGUGAGUUAUUUCAAAGUUUUCGGUGCUAAAUGUUGGAUUAGAGAUCCGCAUCACAAUUCUGAAUUUGCACGGAAAGCACAUGAAGGUUUCAUGCUUGGUUACGGUAAGGACUCACACACCUACAGAGUCUUCAACACCUAUCACCACAAGGUUGUUGAAACUGUAGAUGUGCGGUUCGAUGAGACUCAUGGCUUGCAAAGAGAGCACCUACCUCCUGUGCUAGAUGAAACACCACCUAAGGAAUCCAUUAAGUUCAAGGCUACUAAGGAUGUCAUUCCUACUGAAGAAUCUACUGAAGAAGUCAUUCCAGAACGUGAAGAACAUUAUGCUGGUGCACCUGAAGAAAAUGGCUCUGAAGAAAAUGUUGAGCAAAUUCCUCGUCGUCAACCAGCUCAUCCUCGCGUUGCUAAUGAAGUGCAGAUUGAGAGAAUCAUCAACGACAUCAAAGCACUAGGUCCUCUCACACGCUCAAAAGCUUCACAUUUGUCUAACUUCUGUGGGCACUUUGCUUUCGUCUCUAUCACAGAGCCCACUAAGGUAGAUGAAGCAUUUCUGGAGCCUGAGUGGAUUCAAGCGAUGCAAGAGGAAUUACAUCAGUUCGAGCUCAACAAUGUGUGGGAACUUGUCAAGCGACCAGACCCUCACAAGCACAAUAUCAUCGGCACAAAAUGGAUCUACCGCAACAAGCAAGAUGAAAAUGGCCUUGUGGUGAUGAAUAAGGCACGGCUUGUAGCUCAAGGCUACACACAGGUUGAAGGAAUUGAUUUCGAUGAAACUUUUGCACCUGUUGCUAGACUUGAGGCUAUUCGCAUAUGACUUGCUUAUGCUAACCAUCAUAAUAUCAUCUUAUAUCAAAUGGAUGUGAAAAGUGCAUUCCUCAAUGGUAAGCUUGAGGAAGAAGUAUAUGUUACUCAACCCCCAGGUUUUGAGGAUCCAAAGCAUCCUGACAAAGUCUUCAGACUCAAUAAGGCCCUCUAUGGCCUCAAGCAGGCCCCUCGGGCGUGGUAUGACACUUUGAAGGAAUUCCUCAUGAAGAAAGGCUUCAAACCCGUGAUGAAUUUGCCUAUAUGAUGAGUGAAGAAUAUCAAGUGUCUAUGAUGGGGGAAUUAAAAUUCUUCUUAGGUCUUCAGAUUCGUCAACAACGAAAUGGCAUAUUCAUAUCUCAGGAGAAAUACCGCAAGGAUGUGUUGAGGAAAUUCGGCAUGCAAGAUUGCAAAGGCGUCAAAAUCCCUAUGCCCACAAAUGGCCAUCUAUGCACUGAUGAAAAUGGUAUUGACUUCGAUCAAAAGGUAUAUCACUCCAUGAUGGCUCCUUAUUGUAUUUAUGUGCAUCUAGGCCAGAUAUUAUGCUUAGUGUUUACAUGUGUGCCCAUUUUCAAGCUACACCAAAGGAAUCACACCAUAAGGCUGUGAAGCAUAUUCUUCGAUAUCUAGCUCACACUCCAACACUUGGAUUAUGGUAUCCCAAGGCCUGGACUUUUGAUCUCAUUGGAUAUUCAGAUUCUGACUAUGCUGGUGAUCGUGUGGACCGCAAAUCAACAUCAGGCACAUGCCAUUUCCUCGGACGAUCCUUGGUCUGUUGGUCUUCGAAGAAACAGAACUGUGUAUCAUUUUCUACUGCUGAAGCUGAGUACAUUGUUGCUGGUUCGUGUUGUGCUCAAUUGCUAUGGAUGAAGCAAACUCUCAAGGACUACAACAUCAAUGUGAAGAAUGUGCCACUCUAUUGUGACAACGAAAGUGCUAUCAAGAUUGCUCAUAACCCACUUCAGCACUCAAAGACAAAGCACAUUCAGAUCCGUCAUCAUUUUCUUCGUGAUCAUGUGUUGAAGAGAUUUAGCAUGUUGCGGUGUGAGCUAAAUAUCUUAGAAUCUUCGAAUGUCCUUUUAAAAGGACACACAUCCUAACACUUAUGGAAAUUGAUGACUUAGAUGUGCAACAAGCGAAGUAACAUUUUUCGUCAAUCAAUGAAGACUAACCCUCUAACUGUGAAGAAAUUAAUGAAGAAUUUGAUUUGCAGAGCCCUACGCCAAUUGUACGCGGCAUCUGAAAUCAACAUUCUUAUACAGUGGGUCACGCCACCAACAAAAUUUGAAAAUCUUCAAUUUGAGUUUUUCUUUAGUCUUGAAAUUCCUCAGUUGAUUUCUUCAACUUUGCAAUGUCUUCUAUCUCUCCGUCGUUUUUCUUCAUUGACUAUAUAUAUUUAUAUGAGCUGAUGUCCUCUACAACAUUCACUUAUAGCUAUUUCAACUUGAUCUUUCUGCUAAGUGAAUGUGAUCGGACCCUUCCCCUUCUAUGCUAUACUCAACCCAGUCUGUUCACAAAUUCUUCAUGUGCGUUCUAUUUGAAACCUGUUCAAAAUUUUCACUGUGUCCUUGUCAGCUGAAGAUUCUGCGAACGAAACCUUAAAAUAUUCUAAUCUGAAUUUUCGGCUGUUGCCGCCUAAACCGUUCCACGUCCCACGAUAAUACUUAUCUUUUCACCCAUGAUCUCACACACGAUCUCCACCUCUCCGUACGUGGGUGACACAUGUCACAAGGAUGAGAAAGGUCAGGGGCACGUUCAUCCAUUUUCCUUGGGAGAGCAGUUUUUCGUCGUGGCUAUAAAUACCCCCUUCUCUUCCUCACCCCCUCGCUCGAGCUCUCAAAACCUAGUGCCGUCGUUGUCGGUGUUAAAACCGGCAUAUCUCGGGUAGGGGGUCCCGAACUGUGCGUCUGAGGUUGAUGGUAACAGGAGACAGGGAACACAAUGUUUACCCAGGUUCGGGCCCUCUCGAUGGAGGUAAAACCCUACGUCCUGCUAGAUUAAUAUUGAUGAGUAUGGGGGUUACAAGAGUUGAUCUACCACGAGAUCGUAAUGGCUAAAACCCUAGAAGUCUAGCCUAUCUGAUUAUGAUUGUCUCCAUGGACUAAGCCCUCCGGUUUAUAUAGACACCGGAGGGGACUAGGGUUAUACAAAGUCGGAUAUAGAGAAAGGAAUCUUUAUAUCCGAACGCCAAGCUUGCCAUCCAUGCCAAGGAGAGUCCCAUCCAGACAUGGGUGAGAGUCUUUGGUCUUGUAUCUUCGUAGUCCAUCAGUCCGGCCCAUGUCCAACAGGGCGGACGCCCGAGGACCCCUUAGUCCAGGACUCCCUCAGUAGCCCAUGAACCAGGCUUCAAUGAUGAGGUGUCCGGCGCGCAGAUUGUCUUCGGCAUUGCAAGGUGGGUUCCUCCUCCGAAUACUCCAAUACAGUCUUCGAAUAUGACUAACAUGUCUGGAUCUGCAAAACAAGUACUACACACCACCGCAGAGAGUAUAAUAUUUCACGAGUCCAAUCUACUGACAAUUUUUUAUAAUGUGACACCACGUCAUCACCCGGUCAUUAUUUCGAACCUUUUUUGUCCUGCCACUUCGAGAUGCGGUCUCAUUGGCAUGUCUUGUCAAAGCAGAGAUCGUGUACCCUUAUUACGACAUUCUCAUCAAUACGGGCGUGGGUAAUCAAACCGUGCCAUUUGCACAGCCCUUGGGAACAGGCGAGUUUUAAGGUGAGUGGGGAGGCGCUUGAUAUUCAGUGCCUUUAUAAGGAGAUAAGGAUUCCCUUAUUUCACCCACGACUUCCCUCUCUCUCUCUCUCUGCCCUCCCAUUCUCGAGCUCCAGCACCCAAGUCCUCAUCUUUUUCGCCUCAAGAAAGCACUCGACCAUGUCCGGAUCUGGAGCGCAAGGCAAGUGGAUGGCCUCCUCCGUCAAGGAGAAGGACAUCACCGAUCUUCGGGAGGCCGGGUACCUGGUGAAAGAAAUCGCCCACCGGCUUCCGGCCAAGGGUCAAAUCAUCCCCACCCCGAAGCCCAAUGAGAGGGUGGUGUUCAUCCCCCAUUUCGUCUGCGGGUUAGUGUUUCCUCUCCACCCUUUUGUCCGCGGACUCAUGUUCUAUUAUGGGCUAGAUUUCCAUGAUCUAGCCCCGAACUCCUUCCUCAACAUCUCGACAUUCAUUGUCGUGUGCGAGGCCUUCCUCCGAAAUCCACCCCACUUCAGACUGUGGCUCAAGAUCUUCAACGUGAAGCCGGAGGUGGUGGACGGCCAAUACGCAGAGUGUGGAGGUGCCAUGGUGCGCAAGAUGCCUAAUGUCUAGUGGCCCAAAGGUACCUUCGUGGAGACCAUCAAGGGGUGGCAAAAGCUGUGGUCCUGGGCCACAGCUCCUGAAUUCAAAUCCGGGGGCCCCAACGUGGCUUAUCUCCUGGCAAGAGAAGGGCCUGGAUUGGUCUUCGUCGGACGAGCUGACAGCGCUUCAGGCGCACAUCAGGAGCAUGAUGGACAAGAACGUCCAGCUUGUUGAUGUGAUUCAGGUGAUGCAAAUUCGUCGGAUCCUUCCAUGCUAGAGCUGGGCUUGCCACCAAUGGGAAUUUGAUUCGGCCGAACACAAGACCCUGCAACGGUUCUUCGGGACUACACACGAAGACAUCUGGAAGGUGCUCUUCAAGGACAAUGAGACGUGGCCGAAGACAACCGAAGACCAUGGGCACGACCUGGCUCAUCCCGCCAGUUCGGUAAGUUCUCCAUGUUUCAAGGCAUAUCCCUUACUUGCUUACUCAAGGAGGAUGUCCCAACUUCCCUAUCUGUUUUUUUCAGGGUUGGACGAAGAAGGCGGAGUGGAUUCAGUGUCCGGCUCCGCUGCCUGAGGACCCAGCCAUCCCGUGCUUGGCGAAGAUGCUAGUUCUGACGCCCUACAAGGCACCGAAGAAGAAGGCCAAGAAGAAGGCCAAGGGGACCAGAGGUGACCUCCGCCCCAAGGGUACUUCGGACAUGGUGUCCGAAGACGCCGAAACUCACUCCGCCGCUGAAGAUGACAAGGAGGAGGAAGAGGAAGAAGAAAGCAACUCCCCCUCCCCGAGGGGGGAAAGAAGAGGGCGGCCUCCACAAAUCUGGAGGCGGAGGUGUCCAAGAAGGGGAAGACCUCCCUCAUGGAUAGCUCCGCAUGGGACGUCGACAGCAGCCCAGAACGGCGCCCCGGGAUAAGCCCCUGGUCGAAUCAUGAGUAUCCGAAGACCCCGACACAUUCAUAUACCAGCCUUUUUUACUUUAUGAUUUUAACAUGUUGAACCAUGUACUUGUAGUCCGGCUCAUUCCGCCCUUGAGGGAUCCUCGUCUUCGGGGAACUCGCUGGACCCGAAGGCGAUGGACAGCGGGUCCCUUCCGACGGCCUCCUCUCCCAAGGUCAUGGAUGACACUGAGGUGUUGUCCCGAAGGAUCCCAGGACAGGGAGAGACGCAGGAGGCUGUCAGGUCGGCGCCAGAGGGCAAGACCUCAGCCGCCGAACACAUGGGGGAGCAGAUCCCCAUGGAGACUGGCGAUGGGGGCCAUGUCCAAUUCGGCCCCCAGCCGGAUACGGUCCUGGAGACCUAUACGGCUCCGAAAUCUGGCAGACAGCCUCCUUCAUCAGAAGGAGGUGUGCCUAUUACGCCGGUGAACUCUAUCCAACCAGAGGCACUGGAUACUCUACUGGAAGCACUGCAAAGUGCUUCCAUCGUUGAGGAACACCGUACCCUUACGGGUGUGGUGAUUGAGAAGAUUCAAUCCUUGGAAAGCGGACUGACCGAAGCAUGCACAAGUCUUCUAACAGGCUUUGAGGUAAGCAAUGUAACUUUGUGAAAAGAAAAUCACAGUAUAGAUAGUAGCCCCUAAGACUCUGUUCGGUGUUUGGAAAGAAGAGCCGAACAGAGGAUCAAACAGUUUUUUUGUAGGAGACUAACCAGAUAUGUUUAUGUGAAUAAGCAGGCGUCGCUGUUGGCCGCGACCUCUCAUGCCGACAAAGUCUCCGUACUGAAGCAGAGGUUGGAGCAGACCGAGGAAGAGCUCGGUCAUGCGAAAAAGCAGCUGGAGGACAAUCAAGGUAUUCAAUGUUUUUGUGUAUAUCCGGGAGGGAUGAAUGUUUGUGCACUGACCAUAGUGCCGCGAUAUUUUCGUAGGGGCAGCGACCGAGGUAGAGGCCCUCAAGAAGGCGCUGGCCGAGGCCGGGGAGAGGGCGGCAGAGGAACGAGCCGCCCGAGAGAAGCAUGAGGCCCGGAUUGGUGAGCUCCAGCAGGAGCUCCAAGAUGUCGUUAAAAAAUACGAGUCCUUGGAGCGCCAAAAUGCGAACCAAGAGUACGAACUUGUGAGGGUCCGCCAAAGUGCACAAGAGGCCCGGGCUGAAGACCAAGGCGCCCUCCAGGAAACCCAAGAGGCCAAGAAGAGUGCACCGGGUAAGGCUUUUAUUAUGAAAAGGAAGUAUGUGAAGACAAGAUAUCUCUUACUGACCCGGAUUUGGAGUUCUCCAAGGGCGUUUGCGGACUUGCCGCGCAAUGUUUCUGACGCUCCGGCAUUCUCCCGAGCCGAAGAAGGGAGCUCAACGGAGAAGCUGUUCUGGUCACAAUACCUUGCACCAGAACAUCCGGUGCCCUUUAGCGACGAGCUAAAACAGCUGGUCGAGCUACAUAGGAUCGCCGAACUUGCCAUAAAGGACUUAAUAAUCCGGCUGUGGCCUGCAGAAGCUAUGCCCGGCAGCUACUUCGGACUCGUGAAGCGGCUGGUCCAUGCCUACCCUCGACUUGACGCCGUCAAGCGGUCGGUCUGUAUAGAAGGUGCGCGGAUGGCCUUCGCUCGUGUCAAGAUGCAAUGGGCGAAGAUGAAUGCCAUCAAGCUCGCGACUGAAGGACCGGCCGAGGGAAAGGAGCACCGCACGCCUACGCGGUAUUUCGACGAUGUCCUGGAGGGAUUCGCAUUGUAGCGGAGCAAUGUGCUAAGGACAUUAUUUUCGAAUGAGUAUAUUCAUGUUAUCCCGUCUUGUAGUAUUAAACAGAGCUGUUAUGUAAUAGAAUGCUUGUUUAUUUGUUGAAGUUUUUACCUCCUGUGCGGCCGUUUUUAUUAAAUCUGAGGGUUGGCCAGUCGUCGGCUUCAGCCCCCACGUAGGUAGUACGGGGGUGUUCGGGAUGAAUCUAAACACUUUUUAUCCCAACAUUUGGUCCUUAAAGGAGGUGUUUAGCGCUACGAACCAGGCAAUCAGACUAUGUGGCUUUAUCACCCUCACUUAGCCAUAGGAGUUUGAUAAUAAAAAUUUAGGCGCAGCCCCUAGUAUCCGAACUAGGGUGCUGUAAACACCUGACUGGAAAAGAACCGAUUCAUCACAUAAUGCGGAAAAAAUCGCUAAAGAUUUGAAACCUCCGAAGAGCUGACCGGCUCACGCCGCAUCAUGGCAGUCAGUUUUCAGCUUUCUCUACUGAGGUGCUCAUCCGGAUAAACCAGGACACAAUCGAAGUAGUUCUCCCUUUACUACCCUAGCCGAUAUAGAGGAAUGUAAGGUAGUAAGCACAGCAGCCGGGCAACCCAACUAUUGACCAAAGACAUGAUUCGGAGCCGAUGCAUAUAAUGCUAAAUUCGGGGUGCCGAACUGUACUGUAAAAAGUGUUCGGACUUUGUUGUCGUGUUAUGGGGCACAAUGAAGCCCCUGGCGGAAUAAAGUGUACCAAAGUGUACGGGUGCGAUUUGAUAAGAUAAUAAAAAGAACAAACUAGUGCCGCAGAAGUUGGGCUGCAAACUGUUUCCAUUAUAGUUUGAUUAAUAUGUCAAAGCGUAUUUUGUACAAGUAGUGCGAUAAGCAACAGUGCCUAUUUAACAUGCCAAGACCAAGGAGGAGCUGCGUACGGGUCCUAAAAGCGGGUAGAAUGAUCGUUGAGAAGAACAUCUAGAGAUUCCCCGGCACGUCUAUGCUACUUGCCACCUUGGUGUGUCCGUCCUUCGAAAGGACCAAUUAGGAGGCCGUUGAGACGGGCCUGCGGAAGAGAAACCUAAAAAGGAAAAAAGAAAAAAGAAAAAAAGUGAAAGUAUGUGUGUCCAGGGGAGGUCAAGCCGUAUUAUGGAUCCCAAUCUGGUUAUGCCUCCGUCUAUGCCCAUGGUAUUUUGAGUGCGUAAUUAUGUACGCGCGGCACGAACGCCGCCACUUGGUGGGGUCUGGGACGGAGGCCAAAUUGCUAGUCGAGCUCUUGACGAGCUAGGCUGUCCUGCUGUAGAGUAGUCCGGACUCGUUUGAUAGUGUCCGGGAGUAUGGCCGCAGAAUUAAGGUUUUUGCUUAUGGAGGCCGCUCUGUAUCUCUGGUGCCAGGGCAAUGGUGUGCUCCUCGGUACGGAGGGAGCGCUCCGUGUUUCCAUUGACUGUUAUGACACCGCGUGGUCCGGGCAUCUUGAGCUUGAGAUAAGUGUAGUGUGGCACCGCAUUGAAUCGGGCAAACGCAGUUCAUUCGAGCAGUGCGUGAUAGCCAUUGCGGAAGGGGACAAUAUCGAAGAUUAACUCCUCGCUUCAGAAGUUGUCCGGAGAUCCGAAGAUGACCUCCAAUGUAAUGGAGCCCGAGCAGCGGGCGUCUACACCUGGUAUAACUCCUUUAAAGCUGGUUUUGGUGGGCUUGAUUCUUGAUGGAUCAAUGCCCAUUUUGCGCACUAUAUCCUGGUAAAGCAGGUUGAGGCUGCUGCCACCGUCCACCAGGACUCGUGUGAGGUGAAAUCCAUCAAUUAUUGGGUCGAGGACCAGUGCAACUGACCCUCCAUGAUGGAUGCUGGUCGGAUGGUCCCUGCAAUCGAAGGUGAUCGGGCAUGACGACCAUGGGUUGAAUUUUGGGGCGACUGGCUCUAUCGCAUAGACGUCCCUGAGCACGCGCUUGCGCUCCUUCUUGGGGAUAUGGGUAGCAUAUAUCAUGUUCACCAUUUUGAUUUGAGAGGGAAACUUCUUCUGUCCCCCUGUGUUCGGUGGACGGGGCUCCUCGUCAUUGUUCUCGCUUUGCUACCCCUUCUCCUUGUCUUCGGCAUUUAAUUUGCAGGCCUGUUUGAAGACCCAACAACUCUUGUGGGUAUGAUUGGUUGGUUUAUCAGGGGUGCCAUGGAUCUGACAUGGGCGAUCGAGUAUGCGGUCUAGGCUGGAAGGGCCUUGAUUAUUUCUUUUAUAUGGCUUCUUCCGCUGUCCAGACUUGGAGCCACGGAAUCCGGCGUUAACCGUCGUGUCAUCGGUAUGAUCACCGUUGCUUCGACGCUUGUGGCUGUUGCGUCGGGGCUUGCCGUUGCUAUUUCUGGCUUUCGAAGUGCCAGGUUCGCUUGUGUUGUUAUUGCUACGAGCCAGCCAGCUAUCUUCGCCCGUGCAAAAGCGGGUCAUGAGUGCCGUGAGGGCUGCCAUGGACUUCGGCUUUUCCUGGCCGAGGUGUCGGGCGAGCCAUUCAUCCCGGAUGCUAUGUUUAAAUGCCGCUAGGGCUUCGGCAUCCAGACAGUCGACGAUCUGGUUCUUUUUGGUUAAGAAUCUAGUCAAGAAUUUCCUGGCUGACUCUCCGGGCUGUUGGAUUAUGUGACUUAAGUUGUCGGCAUCCGGAGGUCGAACAUAUGUACCUUGGAAGUUGUCAAGGAAGGCUUCUUCCAAGUCCUCCCAGCUGCCAAUGGAGUUUUCAGGCAGGCUGUUUAGCCAGUGUUGGGCUGGCCAAUUGAGUUUUAGGGGGAGGUAUUUGAUGGCAUCAAGAUCAUCGCAUCGCGCCAUGUGAAUAUGGAGGAUAAAGUCUUCAAUCCAUACCGCAGGAUCUGUGGUUCCAUCAUAUUCACGGGUUUGAACCCUUCUAGGAAUUCAUGUUCCAUUACUUCAUCUGUGAAGCGGAGGGGGUGUGCGGAACCUCUAUAUCGGGCCAGGUCGCGACGUAUUUCGGAUGGAGUCCGUCUGUGAUUUUCGGCUCGGACGUAACUGUGCUUGCCGUGUUCGGCUCGAUAGCCGUUGUCGCGCGUCGGGGCACGCCCCCGUGAUCCAUAGAUCGAUCUGGCCAGACCUGCUUUAUUCUUCAGGCCCUGCCGGAGAUCAUAUGUGUAUCCUUGAGCAAUUUUGUCUCUGUCUUUACGGCGAGGUGGUACGGGCUGGUGUUCGGCUUGGGUUGCCGCUUUGUCCCAACCACAUGGUGGUCGGUCAGCCGCAUUGUGUGCUGAUGUGCAACGCCCCGGACACACCCGCCGGUGGUCGUUACUCCUGGCGGGAUCUAGACUGGCCCCACAGAUCAAUACUAGUCUUUUCUGCGCACUUUGUCCUCACUCAUGCGCACCCAGGAGCAACUUCCCGGUCAGUCACCCAUCCUGAAAUUACUCCAAGCUGAGCACGCUUAACUUUGGAGUUCUGUCCGAAUGGGCUCCCGGAAAAGAAGGAAUUCCUUAUUGAUAUGAGUAGUCUAUCAUCCCUAAUUGGCGUGCUCAGCUUGGAGUAGUUUCAGGAUGGGUGACCGACCGGGAAGUUGGUCCCGAGUGUGCACGAGUGAGGACAAAGUGCGUAGAAAAGACUAGUAUUGAUAUGUGGGCCAGUCUAGAUCCCACCGGGAGUAACGACCACCGGCGGGUGUGUCCGGGGCGUUACAAGUUGGUAUUAGAGCCGACCCUCGCGGUUACACGGAUGGUUGCGGACAGGUGUGUGGUCAUGUUGUUCAUGACAUUUGUGACCCGUCAUGGCACAUGGCAUGGCAUAUGUACUGGACUGGAAGCACAGACGUAUGUGCCAAGAGGGAACGUUCAUGUGGCCCGAUGAGGACGUCGGUUCCUCUGAGUGGGGGUGUAUGUGACGGCCUGGCUUAUUAGGGAUGAUAGACUACUCAUAUCAAUAAGGAAUUCCUUCUUUUCCGGGAGCCCAUUCCAACAGAACUCCAAAGUUAAGCGUGCUCAGCUUGGAGUAGUUUCAGGAUGGGUGACCGACCGGGAAGUUGGUCCCGAGUGUGCACGAGUGAGGACAAAGUGCGCAGCACUAGUAUUGAUCUGUGGGGCCAGUCUAGAUCCCGCCAGGAGUAACGACCACCGGCGGGUGUGUCCUAGGCGUUACAUGAUGGCACGGGCUCCAACGCCUCGUCAUCGAAUUGAGGUAGUAAUUUGCGCUUCGGGUAACUUUUGAGUGGUCGCUUGAGGCCGUACUCCUCGGUUUCCAGGACGUUAGUCCAUCUGUCAUUGAGUAGAUCUUGAUCAGCUUGAAGAUGUUGCUGCUUCUUUUUCAGGCUCCUUGCAGUGGCUAUUAGCCGGCGCUUGAAGAGCUCCUACUCAAGAGGUUCCUCAAGCACGAUAAAAUCCUUGUUGCCGAGGCUCCCUGUCGGUGUCAAAACCGGCGGAUCUCGGGUAAGGGGUCCCAAACUGUGCGUCUAGGCCGGAUGAUAACAGGAGGCAAGGAACACGAUGUUUUACCCAGGUUCAGGCCCUCUUGAUGGAGGUAAAACCCUACGUCCUGCUUGAUUAAUAUUGAAGAUAUGGGUAGUACAAGAGUAGAUCUACCACGAGAUCAAGAAGGCUAAACCCUAGAAGCUAGCCUAUGGUAUGAUUGUUGUAUGAUGAAGUUGUCCUACGGACUAAAACCCUCCGGUUUAUAUAGACACCGGAGAGGGUUAGGGUUACACAAAGUCGUUUAUAAUGGUAGGAGAUCUAAAUAUCCGCAUCGCCAAGCUUGCCUUCCACGCCAAGGAAAGUCCCGUCCGGACACGGGACGAAGUCUUCAAUCUUGUAUCUUCAUAGUCCUGGAGUCCGGCUGAAGGUAUAGUCCGGCUACCCGGACACCCCCUAAUCUAGGACUCCCUCAAUAGCCCCCAAACCAGGCUUCAAUGACGACGAGUCCGGCGCGCAGAUUGUCUUCGGCAUUGCAAGGCGGGUUCUCCAAAUUUCGUGUACCUGCUGAAUAAUGUCCGAUUUUCGUAAUGUAGCGCACCUUGGCUUCCACGCCCAAUAAUGGCCGUCUUCCACGUGUCAAACGAAUGCGAAAAGUCGGGGUGUUUUUACAUUCACACCCCUAGCCGCAUAAAUGAGCCGCCUAUUUAAUGGGAUGGGGAUUCAGAUCCAAACCACACCUUCUCCUCCCCGCGAGUAAUCAUCAGAGCGCCUCCAGCAAAGGUCCAUUCCAACAUGGCCAGCCGUCGCAGCUCCUCCUCUCGCCCUUCCAGUCCUAAACCUGGAUACUGGGAGAGGUGCUCCAUCCCGCACAACGAGCUAGUGUCGCUUCAGGCCAAGGGAUUUCUCCCUUAGGCCUAUAUGGUCCCGGUCCGAGCCGGACUCGCCACCUAUAAUGGCGGAGAGCAAGCGGAGAGCACCCCCAAUCCCUCCAAAGGAGAGCGGGUGUGCCUCGUCCCUUAUCUAAUAAAAGGACUUGGAUUUCCAAUUCAUGCAUUUCUCUGUGGGCUUCUGGAGUUCUACGGCCUCCAGCUGCACAAUCUCAUGCCCGCCUCUAUAUUGCAUAUCGCAGGCUUCAUCGCCCUUUGCGAGCUAUUCUUGGGUGUUGAGGCUCAUUUCGCGCUGUGGAAGAGGUUAUUCUGCUUGGUACCCCGCUCUCAAGAGGGGUCUAUAUAUCAAGUGGGCGGAGCCGAAGUGUGGCGUAUCGCCAAGAUCGGAUAUCUAUCCGGAACCCCAAAGAAGGCGUUCGAGGACUGGCCUUCAGAAUGGUUUUAUAUAGAUGAUGUCCCGCUGCCGGAUCCUAUCCGGGUCGGUCUCCCCGAAUACAACAGUGCUCCCUUAAAGAAACGCCUAAGCUGGCGUCCGCGGAGCUCUCAAAGAGAAAGCAACAGGGACGUCCUUCACCUGAUGGGUCGGAUAAGACUAUUGGCUCAUUCCGGACUAACCAUGAUUGGAGUCAUGGCCGCAUGCAUUAUGCGGGGGGUGCAGCCGCUUCAAUAUAGAGGCCACCCCAUGUGGGAUUUUAACGGGGAGGAUGACGCCACCCGUUACGGUCGUAAGGGGCCAGCCUCAGCUGCCACUCUAGUAAAGACCUUAUCCUCUUUGUACAAGGAAGAAGAGGAGGAAUUCCUCCCCGUCAACCCACAGGGUGGAUUUACUAUGUACAACCCUCCGAGUUGGGUAAGUGGACAAUUGUGCUUACCCAUCCGUUUUAUAUUCCCAUGAUUAAAUAUGUAGUCUAACAAUUUCAAUGCAGGAACUGCGUCAGGAAGUAAAGGAUAUAAACAGCCGUCCCCCAUAGCCCGAGGAUCCAGAACGGUCCCUCGAUCCGGACUCCGAAGAGGAUCUGGACAUAUCGGUGGAGCUGAUUGACGGGGUGUUUCAUUAGCUAAGCAAGGACAAUACCUUGGUGGCCAUUACGGCUGAUUACCCAGGGUUAAUCCCGGCCUCCCAGGUAACAGAGAGCGGAGUCUCAUCCCCUUGAGAAGGAAUCCAUUCUCACGCAUUUUAGUUUUCCUGACACGACCGUGUUUUGCAGGGGAGGUUUCUAAGGCAGGAGGCUGAACCUGCGGCGGCUAGCCAACGAGGGGCCGCAGGGCCCCGUGGGGUAAAAAGGAAUGUAGUCCGAACUGAGAUGACGGCGCAAAGGUAUAGCGCACCCUCUUUUUCCCUGGUGUUAUUCCUUCAGGGCAUAUUAACGUUCGUGCUAUCUUUAGGACGAAGAGACCUCGUCGGACUAUAUCCGGAGAGGUUGCCAAUCGCGCCUCCACCAGCCAAGCUCCAACGCCUGGCCCGGAAGCGGAGGCAAACACAAGGCACGCACCGGACGCUCCUCCGACAGAGGAUGCGGACAGGCUGUCUACCACCAAUUCCGAGGUGGAGAGUGCAAUGAACCACAGGCGUCGCCGGACAGUUCUUCAUGACGCUUGUUUCUCCCAAGAGGCAUUAGAUGCCUUCAAUUCGGGAGAUGCGUACCUCCGUGCCGCUCAAAAUGGUUUAGCCAGAGCCACGGAGCAAUAUGUAAAAGACAUACGGGUAAGAAAAUUUUGGCAAAUAUAUAUAUACCAGUAGCCCCCGAGACUUGAAACAGUUAGAGUAACUGAUUUAAGGAUCAUUUGUUAUGCAGGUUCUUACAGAGAAGAAUACCGUACUGUCCCAGGAGCUGGAAGAGUGCAAAGCCCAACUGGAGGCCGCACUAGCCGCGGCAGGGGAGCCCAAAGAGACCCCCUCUAGUAAGAUACACUUUGAAAGAUUAGUAUUUUGCGAAGUGCGGCGUGGGUGUAAAUCUGACAAAUCAUAUUGCAGAUGGCGCCGGACUGGAUCCGGAGAGGCAAAAACUCUUACGCCGGCUAAAGGCCGGUGAGAGUAUGCUGACAAGGGUGAGGCGGGAGAAGAAUGAUCUUCAGGAUGCCAACACCAAGCUGGACGUUGAACUUAAAGAUGUUCGUGGCCAGCUGUCGGACUCUACUAAGGAGAAUCAGCGUCCUCGACGCGGCAUAUUUAGUAAGUGCUUAAGCGAAUCUUUGAAAGAAAAGAGUUCGGCGAGGAAGUCGACUAACAGAGUAAUGUCUGUAGGUAUGCUAACGGGUCGUCCUGCAGAGGAGAUGCCCGGUUCGAUGGGUGACCUUCUUCCCGAGCUCUUGCAACUGCACGAGCGAGUUCGGCAGGCAAUGCGAGGCAUUGCCCAAGCCUUAUGGCCUUCCCACUCCAUGCCCGAGGGCCUUGGAGAGCUUUCGGAAAAGCUUAAGGGAGCUCGGCGAUGCUUCCGGUUGUGGAAGAUAUCGGCCUAUCGACAAGGCGCUAGGGAGGCCUAGGCCAUGGUGAAGACGCGGUACACGAAGUCUGACCCAAACCACAUGGCCUAGGUCGGACCUGUGGGGCCUGACGGGAAGGAGAUCCCUGUAAGCUUAGUGUACGACCAAGUAGAAUUGGCCGCAAAGUAUUCCCAGCAGGACUGUAAGUUAGACAGCUUGCUAGAUGGUAUUGAAGAGGAAUACAAUCAGUUAGAGUGACUCUGUAAUUUUUAAUUGACAUGUGUAAUGCCUUCUAGCAGGAUUGUAGAUCGUUUGUAGUUGCCGACCUUUUCGCUUCAACCUCAGGACCUGACGGUCUGGAGUGUGUCCGAAUACCCUACCGGUUAUGUAAGAACCGGAGUAUGCAUGGAGACCAGGCGUAGGGGUCAUUACUGCUUUAUCAGACAAGUGCCCAACUAGUUAUGUUAUAUUACAUGGUUAGUAAGAAACAUCUUCUAGAGAGAAUAGUUCCGUUAGGGGUUCCUUUCUCUGGGAGGCAUGCCCUAAAGUGCAUGUCCGGACUGCAAACGCUGGAAAAUCAUCUGGGGGCAUAUAUAUAAAUAAGUAAAAAAGGUCAUCUUUUAGUUCAUCGACUGAAUAUUCCCUUAAGAAUGCUAGCUUUCGGCUUCACCCAGUCUGAGGUACACAUCCGGCUGAUCCGACAGUAACAAUCGCAGAGGUGCUCCCUUUACCACCUAGCCGAACAAUCGGGAAUGUAGGGGUAAGCAUAGGAGCCAGGCAACCCAGCUUGGCCAAAACUUAAGUCAUAUCGAUGCAUAUAAUGGUGAAGAAAAGGUACAUGCGGAAGUUUGACACAUGUGGUGGGCAUGAAGCCCGUAUAAAUAAGCUUCUGUUAAAGAAGCCCCCAGGUUUAAUGAGCGCGAGUAGCACGUCACUUGAGGAGCCUUUAAGGGCUAUAAAAGAAAAGAGGGGAAGGAGAGAAAUGUAAGACAGAAAAUGUAAAAAAUGGACAGAGGAAGGAGACAAACACAGAGUCCGGCGCUAGGCAUAGAAUCUUCCGAGACGGGUUGUGUUCCAUGGGUUCGGCCCGAGUCGGUUAUCCGACGCAUCUCGCAGGCGGUAUGCUCCACCAGUCAGGACUUGGUCGAUUAUGAAGGGACCUUCCCACUUGGGCUUCAGCUUGUCCUUUUUCUUGUCCGGCAGGCGUAGAACUAAUUCGCCAACGUUGUAGUUUUUGGCCCGCACUUCUCUGCUUUGAUAUCUUCGAGCCUGCUGUUGAUAGAAUGCGGAACGGGCUUUUGCCACGUCGCGCUCCUCCUCUAAGGCGUCCAAACUGUCCUGCCGAUCGAGCUCGGCUUCACUUUCUUCAUACAUGUGCACUCGAGGUGAGUCAUGAAUUAUGUCGCAGGGCAAGACUGCCUCUGCGCCGUACACCAUAAAAAAUGGUGUGUAUCUGGUGGUGAGAUUCGGUGUGGUCCGCAGCCCCUAGAGUACGGAGUCGAGCUCCUCUAUCUAGUGCGUGUUAGAUUCCUUGAGGGACCGCACUAAUCUGGGUUUGAUGCCGCUCAUGAUGAGACCAUUUGCACGUUCGACCUGACCGUUAGUUUGUGGGUGAUAGACGGAAGCAUAAUCAAGCUUGAUGCCCAUGUUUUUGCACCAGAGUUUUACCUCAUCGGCCGUAAAGUUCGUGCCGUUAUCGGUGAUGAUGUUGUGGGGGACGCCAUAACGGUGUACGACCCCGGAUAUAAAGUCUAUCACAGGUUCGGAUUUGGCCGUCUUAACAGGCUUGGCUUCUAUCCAUUUGGUGAACUUAUCCACCAUGACCAGUAAGUAUUUUUUCUUGUGGGUUCCGCCUUUAAGGGGUCCCACCAUGUCAAGCCCCCAGACCGCGAAAGGCCAAGUGAUGGGAAUAGUUUGAAGGGCGGUGGGUGGCAUAUGGCUUUGGUUUGCAAAAAGCUGGCAACCGACGCAUCGUUGGACCAAGUCCUGAGUGUCCGCCCGGACCGUUGGCCAAUAAAAGCCUGUACGGAAAGCCUUGCUUACAAGGGACCGGGCUGUGGCGUGAUGGCCAUUGAGUCUGGCAUGAAUUUUAGCCAGCAGGUUCCGCCCUUCCUCUUCGGAGAUGCACCUUUGAAGGACUCCGGUAGUGCUUUUCUUAUAAAGUUCUCCCUCAUGGACUUUAUAGGCUUUAGAUCGCCGCACUAUACAGCGUGCCUCGUUUUGGUCCUCUGGGAGUUCCUGCCUAGUAAGGUAGGCUAGGAAUGGUUCUGUCCACGGGGCGAUAACGACCAUUAGUACGUGGGCUGAGGUUGUGAUUUCAUUGGCAGAGCCUCCGAUUAUGUUAGAUUGUUCGGCGUCGGACAGUGCGGUUGGGUCCGGGCUAAUAUUGCCAUGUUCCCCUUCCCAUACUACGGAUGGCUUGAACAACCUUUCCAGGAAGAUGUUGGGGGGACCGCAUCGCAUUUUGCGCCGAUGCGUGCCAGGACGUCUACCGCCUGGUUGUUUUCCCGGGCUAUAUGGUGAAAUUCGAGCCCCUCAAACCGAGCUGACAUUUUGAGGACGGCGUUGCGGUAAGCUGCCAUUUUUGGAUCCUUAGCGAAGUCUCCAUUUAUUUGGGAUAUCGCGAGGUUUGAAUCCCCGCGCACCUCUAGGCGUUGAAUGCCCAUGGAUACUGCCAUCCGGAGACCAUGUAAAAUGGCCUCAUAUUCGGCUGCAUUGUUGGAGUCCAUGUACAAAAUAUGGAGUACAUAUUGAACUAUGUCUCCUGUGGGGGACGUCAAAACGACGCCGGCCCCUAGUCCGGCCAACAUUUUGGAACCGUCGAAGUGCAUGAUCCAGUUUGAAUAUGUGUCGUACUCUUUAGGGAGUUCGGCCUCCGUCCAUUCUGCGACGAAGUCAGCCAAAACUUGAGACUUGAUAGCUCACCGUGGCCUAUAAGUUAUGUCGAACGGGAGGAGCUCAAUGGCCCAUUUUGCAAUCCGGCCCGUUGCGUAACGGUUGUUUAUAAUAUCGUUGAGUGGUACUUCCGAUGCUACUGUGAUUGAACACUCUUGAAAGUAGUGUCAUAGCUUCCGGGAUGCCAUGAAUACCGCGUAUGCAAUCUUUUGAUAAUGUGGGUACCAUGAUUUGCAUGGGGUGAGGACAGUGGACACAUAGUAAACCGGCUUUUGAAGGGGGAAUUUGUGUCCGUCCGUUUCCCGCUCGACGAUGAGUACUGCGCUGACAACUUGAUGGGUUGCUGCAAUGUACAAUAGCAUUGGUUCGCCGAUGUUUGGCGCGGCCAGGACAGGGUUUGUUGCCAAUAUGGCUUUUAUUUCCUCGAGUUCGGCCGUGGCGGCAUCCGUCCACUCGAAGUGUUCGGUGCACCGAAGGAGGCGAUAGAGGGGUAGCGCCUUUUCUCCCAAACGGGAGAUAAAGCGGCUUAGAGCCACCACGCAUCCGGUUAAUUUUUGUAUUUGUUUGAGGUCCUUUGGGAUAUCCAAUUGUGACAAAGCUCGGAUCUUGGCUGGAUUUGCUUCGAUUCCUCUACCGGAUACAAUGAAGCCCAAGAGCUUUCCGGCUGGAACGCUGAAAACGCAUUUUUCCAGAUUUAGCUUGAUGUCAUAUGCUCGGAGGUUGUCAAAUGUAAGCCUCAAGUCGUCUACUAGAGAUUCGACAUGUCUUGUUUUUACGACCACAUCAUCCACGUAUGCCUCUACUGUUUUGUCGAUCCGGUUUGCCAGACAUGUCUGAAUCAUGCGCUGAUAUGUUGCACCGGUGUUUUUGAGCCCGAAAGGCAUUGUGUUGAAGCAGAAUGGGCCGUAUGGGGUGAUGAAUGCCAUUGCGGCUUGGUCUGACUCGGCCAUCUUGAUUUGAUGGUAACCGGAGUAUGCGUCGAGGAAGCACAACGAAUCGUGUCCUACAGUGGCGUCGAUAAUUUGAUCGAUGCGGGGGAGGGGGAAGGGAUCCUUUGGGCAAGCCUUGUUAAGGUCUUUGAAGUCAACGCACAGGCGCCAGGAUUUGUCCUCCUUUGGUACCAUCACCAAGUUUGCUAGCCAGUCCGGAUGUUUUAUGUCUCUGAUGAAUCCGGCCUCCAAUAGUUUGGCUAGCUCCUCUCCCAUUGCCUGUCUCUUGGGCUCAGAGAAACGCCGAAGGGCUUGUUUGACAGGUUUGAAUCCUUUUAGGAUAUUUAAGCUGUGUUCGGCCAGCCUGCAUGGGAUUCCUGGCAUGUCUGAAGAGUGCCAGGCAAAAAUGUCCCAGUUCUCCCGUAGGAAUUCCCGCAGUGCGGCGUCUACAUCGGGGUUUAAUCGUGCCCCGAUGGAAGCUGUUUUAUUGGGGUCCGUUGGAUGGACCUGGAAUUUGACUAUUUGAUCCGCUGGUUUAAAGGAGGUGGAAUUGGAUCUUUUAUCGAGUAUCACAUCGUCCCUGUUUACCAUGGAGCGCAGCGUAGUCACUUCCUCAGUCGCUAGGGCUUCAGACAGUGCCUCAAGGGCCAAUGCGGCUGUCUUGUUUUCGGCGUGGAGUGCUAUGUCCAGAUCACUAGCGAGAGUGAUGAUUCCGUUCGGCCCGGGCAUCUUGAGCUUCAUGUACCCGUAAUGGGGUAUUGCUUGGAAGAUUGUAAAUGCUUCCCACCCCAGCAGAGCAUGGUGUCCGCUACUGAACGGGGCCACUUGGAAUGUGACCUCUUCGGACCUAUAAUUAUCCGGCGUGCCGAACACCACAUCUAGUGUGAUUGUUCCUGUACAGCGCGCUUCCCGACUGGGGAUUAUUCCUCUAAAGGUUGUGCUGCUUCGCUCAAUGCGGUUCCAGUCUAUUUCCAUUUUUUGAAGGGUUUCCUCAUAAAUGAGGUUCAAUCCGCUGCCUCCAUCCAUGAGUACCUUGGUGAGACGAAAGCCGUCCAGUAUAGGACUGAGUACCAAUGCGGCUGGUGCUUGAGCUGUUCGGAAUUUAGGUUCAUCACUGGCAUUAAAAGUAAUAGCCGUGUCACUCCAUGGGUUUAUUGUUGCUACUUGAUAGACUUCGGCGAGGCUGUAGAGUGUUCUUUUUCGCAUAUUAUUUGAUGCGAAAGUCUCGAAGACUGUUAAGACUGUACUGGAGUCCCUGAGGUGGCUUUCUGCGGCCUCCGGAAUUAGGAGAUCUUCGCCCCUUUUGGCCACCUGCCAGAGUAUCCAACAUGCUCUAAGGCUAUGAGUUGAUGUGGCGUCCUCUGUACUAUGAAUUUUACAGGGUCCAUUGAGCCAUCCCUCCAGUACGGUUCCAUGCCCUGUAGAGGGUUUUGGUUUUUUGGUUUUUAACCCGGGUGUCUGAUGAUGAUGCACCCUUUUAUUUCGGAUGAGGUUUCUAUUCAGGGCCGGAUUGUCCCAAAAUUUAGUUUCGGUUUUCCGGGCGCUUUCCAUCGCACAGUACUUUUGUACUAUGGUCGCCAAGUCAGCGAAGCGUGUAAGAUCACGAUGACCUGUGGCGUUGAGGAUUCCCUUGUCCGUGCAAUUAUUGCAGAAGAUUGAGAUUGCGUCUUCCUCGCGGCAGUCCUUUAUCCUGUUCAUAACCAGGAGGAACCUUGCCCAGUAAUGAUGUACUGUUUCUUCGGGCUUUUGCCUGAUUUGGGAUAGAUCGCUUAUGUUCGGGUGGGUGGGUGGAAUUAAAUCCGGAACUUCACCCAAUCUAAGACUCAGAGUCCAAGGAGUUUCCGAACUCUGAAGUUUGGAUUCUUGGAUGUUGUCCAGUGAAUCUAUCCCAUUGCCUGAUUCUAAGUUCAGGUCUUGAGUUACAUCCUCCCCUCCGCGGGUAUCCGGCUUGGAGGGAUCGGGAAUCCGGACGUAGCUAGUCCUUAAGAUAGAUGAAGAGUCGCCGCACUGUGCCUCUACCACGGCAACAUGAUGGGUGACUUGGGGAGAAUUAAUUUCUCUUAGAUCGAGUUUAAGCCCAACCUGGUCAUAAUCCGUAGUGACCCCCAAGGCGGCGAUGCGAUCCAAGAUCUCGUUUACGGAAGAGAGAUCCAUUGGAUCUAACUGCUCGACGAGUUUCGAGCUGACGUGAAGAUUGCUUUCGAUGACCCGAGAGGUCACCGUCGGUGCAACGGCCGAACAGGCGGUCAUGAGAAAACCGCCUAGCCGGAGAGUUUGGCCGACAGCCAAGGCUCCCUUAGUAACGGCGCCGUCUUUAAAGACGGGAAGAGGCAUCCUUCCUGAUUGCGACGGCACAGAGGAACUCUCAAUGAAAGCACCAAUGUCAGUGUCAAAACCGGCGGAUCUCGGGUAGGGGGUCCCGAACUAUGCGUCUAGGCCGGAUGGUAACAGGAGGCAAGGAACACGAUGUUUUACCCAGGUUCGAGCCCUCUUGAUGGAGGUAAAACCCUACGUCCUGCUUGAUUAAUAUUGAAGAUAUGGGUAGUACAAGAGUAGAUCUACCACGAGAUCAAGGAGGCUAAACCCUAGAAGCUAGCCUAUGGUAUGAUUGUUGUAUGAUGAAGUUGUCCUAUGGACUAAAACCCUCCGGUUUAUAUAGACACCGGAGAGGGUUAGGGUUACACAAAGUCGGUUAUAAUGGUAGGAGAUCUAAAUAUCCGCAUCGCCAAGCUUGCCUUCCACGCCAAGGAAAGUCCCAUCCGGACACAGGACGAAGUCUUCAAUCUUGUAUCUUCAUAGUCCUGGAGUCCGGCUGAAGGUAUAGUCCGGCUACCCGGACACCCCCUAAUCUAGGACUCCCUCACUCCCUCAUCCUCAGAAAGUGGAAGAUAAUUGUUGUCCUCCGAGUCUUCAUGCACAGCCUGUUCAUCACGGCUGACUCGCCCAUCUUCCCGUUCAUCUUGUUCGGAAGUUGCCUCAACAGGGUCUUCAUUGUCUUUGGCACCGUCCGGAGUGUUAUCUUCUCCUGUGCCUGUGUUGUUGUCUUUGUUGCGGCAUGCUUUAGAGCGGAGUCACUGACGCCGGUGUUUUGGUUGUAUCUCAGGAGGUUUAUCCUCAACUGGAUCUUCCUUGUCAUCGCCACUAUUCUCUUUUGGUGCAUCUAGCAUGUAUACAUCGUAUGAGGAGGUGGUCGUCCAUCGUCCGGUGAACGGUGGGUUUUCGGCCUGCUCCUCUCUAGCAUUGUCGUCCAUACCGUCGAUGUCUUCGGAGCCGUAAUCAAGCAUGUCGGUUAAGUCUUCGACAGUGGCUAUUAAGUGGGUGGGGGUGGAAAGCGGAAUUCUUCGUCGUUAGCCUCCAGUUCAAACCGGAUAUAGUUCGGCUGAGAGUCCCCCCGCUAAGGAGAGCAUUUUUAAUGAGUUUAGCACGUCACCUAAAGGCGAGUGCCGAAAGAUGUCUGCAGAGCUGAAUUCGAUGAUCGAUGUCUGAUAAAGCUCGUCGUACGCAGACACGCAUGGUUCGGAACUUGUAGCCGGUAACGGGUCCGAGGUUUCGGUGACACGGAUCCCACUCGAGGUUGGGUCGGUGUGCGGCUCUAACGCCGCUGAGUCUGCGGUUUCCAGGGCGGGGUUGAGCUUCCCGUCCUCGGAUGGCGCAAUAUACUCCAGAUCUAGGGCCAGAGCAGUUACAGGCGCUAUCCCUUGGGAAUGGUCCGAUGACAGAUUUAAGUCAUGUUCAUCGUGGCGAUAGGGAGCGGCUGCCAUGGUCUCGAAUCCAUCGAAGAUCAAGUCUCUGCGGAUAUCCGCGACGUAGUUCGAUCUUCCAAAUCUGACCUGACGGCCAGGGGCGUAGCUAUAGAUCUGCUCUAGAUGGCCACGCGAGUCGGCCUGCAGUGCGAAGCCGCCGAAUACGAAGAUCUUUCUGAGGAGGAAGGUUUCUUUCUAGACAACAUUGUUGUAGACGAUUGACGGGGCCAUCGAACCUCCUGACGACGACAUGGUGGAACUCUCAAUGAAAGCACCAAUGUCGGUGUCAAACCCGGCGGAUCACGGGUAGGGGGUCCCGAACUGUGCGUCUGAGGCUAAUGGUAACACGAUACAGGGAACACAAUGUUUACCCAGGUUCGGGCCCUCUCGACGGAGGUAAAACCCUACGUCCUGCUAGAUUAAUAUUGAUGAGUAUGGGGGUUACAAGAGUUGAUCUACCACGAGAUCAUAAUGGCUAAAACCCUAGAAGUCUAGCCUAUCUGAUUAUGAUUGUCUCCACGGACUAAGCCCUCCAGUUUAUAUAGACACCGAAGGGGACUAGGGUUAUACAAAGUCGGUUACAGAGAAAGGAAUCUUUAUAUCCGAACGCCAAGCUUGCCAUCCACGCCAAGGAGAGUCCCAUCCGGACACGGGUGAGAGUCUUCGGUCUUGUAUCUUCAUAGCCCAUCAGUCCAGCCCAUGUCCAGCAGGUCGGACGCCUGAGGACCCCUUAGUCCAGGACUCCCUCAGCCACUACUCCCAUCGUCACCGGUGAGGAAGAGCUUCGCUGCCUCGACCUCGUCGCCGUCGUACUCGCACCGGCCACGGAUUUCUUCGCUCCGUCGCCGCCGUAGUUGUCUUCCUCUGCCAAGUUAGGGCGUGGAAGAUCUGGACUGAUGAACUUCCAAUCUACAUUCCCAGUUCGUCAUGUUCUUCGUCAAGGGUAAUUAAAAGCUACUUUUAAUGCCCUUAUUGAUUCAAGUGAUUUCUUCGAAAUCUUCAAAAGGUGUUUAUUCUUCAAUCUUCACACUCUAAACACCUCAUACAAACAUUUGUUCUUGAUUUGUUUCCCUAAGCAACAUUUUUCUUCAAGAUUCCUCAAUUGUGUGGAUUUUCAAUCCAUACAACUCUGUAACCUAAGUCAAAGAACGCUUAGUGAAAUUCCUCAAGACACAUCUGGUCAAAUUCCUCAAACUUGUUCUUAUUUGCAAGAACUUCUGAGAACGCAUAUGACCUCUCCAAAUUCUUCGCACCUAUACUCUGUUCACGGGUACUCAUGUCUGCUACUGAAUCACUAGGUUCUCAUCAACUUAACUCAUUUGCAGUGUUCCUUGAAGAAAGACUGCAUACCUCUUCAGAGAACUCAAUAGUUCAUAAUCCUCAGCUGAAGAAAAUGGAAGAUGGCAAGAAACCUCAUAAGAGAGGCAAGAAACUAGAAGUCAACACAGCUUUUGAAAUCCCUGAAUAUAUCUAUGAUGGGUACUGCACACCCCCUCAAGAAACCAAGAAUGAGCGCACAGUGCACAUUCAGAAAAUUGAGAGGAGAUGGGCAAGAGAAUGGAGGGACUACCGAUAUGUCACUCCAAGUACAUGAAGAAAUUCGCUCUUCACCCUCCUUGUCCAAGACCUCCAUUGGCACCUGGCCAAAUUGCAGAUCCCACCGGCCUCAAGCGCGGUGAGGAUUAUCAUGAUCAAUGGGCAAAGCGUCAAGCUAAACUGACCAAGAUAGCAAAAGAAGUAGUGAGGAAAUUCAAUGAAGACUCUGCUGCUGCUACUGCCACUGCUGAGGCCUCUGCUAGCAAGCCCAAGAAGGCCAAAGAAGCCCGCAAAUAAGCCCAAUGCUUCUUAUUCAAUGCCCUCAUGGCCAAGCUCCUCAGCUACGCCCUCAUGGCCCAGUUCUGCAAAGCCCUCACGGCCAAUUCCUCAAGCUGCCCCAGUUCCUCAAGCUUCAAAACCCUCAGGUCCUUCGGCAAAGUUCUCAACACCUGUGCAUAUCGCCUCGUGUCAAAGGACCACGGGCAAAUCAAUUGCCUCAUAAGACUCUACAAGAUCUUCAGCUCCUCCUCAUUCAUCAACAUGCCCCACAUUGCUGAAGACUAAGGCCACUGCUGGACGAGGCACUAGACCAAGUCCUCAAAAAAAGCAAGUCGCCUUCCAAGUACCGUCCACUGAUGACGAAGCUGAUGAUGAGGAACUCGCCGAAAUCAUGAUAGACAGACAACAAAGGGCCGCUAGAGCCAAAGGCACAGAUGUGUCUAUGCUUUUGGAUCCAAAGUUGAUCCUCGACUUCAUUGACCUCUGGCACAAGGAUCCCAACACUCCUAUGCCUAACUUCAACCUCACUCCUGGCCAAAGUCACAUGUUGACCGCCUUCAUAGGCGAAGAAAAGUGGAAAUUUGAAAAGGCCAGGAAAUUGAAGAAAGUGCAGUAUAAGAAGGAGCGCUUUCUGAAGAAGAACAUUGUCAAAAUGACAACUGAUGAACUUGUGGCUAUUCAAUCUGAAAUCAAAAAUCUCAAUGAUGAAUUUGAUGCCUACCAUGCAGAUUGCAAGGGAGCCGAAGUCAUUUUUGUGAAAUUGGCAAAGACAUUCACCUCCAAUGUUGCUACUCAAACGUACAUUGAAAUUCCGCAGGCUGACGCUUCUGCUUAGCCGACUGAAGAACAUGCCAGCAUCGCUGAUGAAAAUCAGGUUGCUGAUGAAACUGCUAGUACCAGGGCUGAUGACUCCAUUCCAGCCUCUGAUGAAAAUGCCAGGGCAACCACUAGUGUUUCGCCUGAAGAACAUGCCAGGCCAGCUCAAGCUUCAACCGCUGUGCUUGAAGAAACUAAAAAUGCCAGAGCAACUGCAUCAGUUGUGCCUAAGGUUACUGAACCAAUUUCCUCUGCUCCUCCUGCACCAACGCCAAGUCCAGUUCUUCCUUCUGCAUCAAAAGUGAAGAAACCCAAGGCUGCGGAGCGAGCAGCAGUGAAGAAAAGGAAAGCAUCUACUCCAUCAGAUUCUUUAGCACCGAAGAAGAUGAAGAAAUUGACAAGCUCUUUUGUGAAUCCAAUUGAUGCUAUUCCAGUUUCAAGCAUGCCAUCAAAGGAACUCGUUCCCUUUGGUGAGGAUUAUGAUAUCCCAAGCGGAUCUGAUGAAGAUGUUCCUUUUGCUGCUUCUUCAGAGCAGUUGGACGAAGAAAUUGAAGCGGAUAAUAUCCCUUCAACCCCAGUCAUCUCAUCGCCUAUGCCUCAGUUCACAGCUGAAGAGGCAGGCAUUGAAGAAUUGAAUGAAGAAGAUGAAGACGUAGACAUUGGGUGCUCCACUCCAGUGCUGAAUGAUGAUUAUUGGGAUAGUCAGCACCCCAACUCUUCGCUCUUCACGCCACUGCAACAAAUUCCUCAGUCCCCAGUGCACACUGAAGUUCAAAUGGGUUCUGCAGAUCAUCACUCCACUCCUUCCAUUCAUGAAGAAAUUCUAGCCACUAGUGCUGAUGUUAAUGUUGAUGAAGAAUUGAAGACCCAUGCUCAAAAUGGCAAUUUUCCCCGUGGGGGCGGGUAUACGUGGGGAUUUACCCGCUAAGAAGCGGUGAUGGGGAUCAAAAUCCCCCCAUGGGUAUAACAGGGCGGGUACCCGAGAAGCUAGCGGGGCGGGGAUGGGGGGCAAACUGGCUCCAUGGAGGCUCCAGGGAUACCCGAGACCCCACCUAUCAAUCAAACAUCCAACUGAAUAUAUAAAGAAGAAACCCUAAACCGCUCACCUCUCCACUCAUUUCCUCCUCGUUCCCCCGACUCGUAGCCGCAGCCGCCUCGGCUCCUCCUCUCGACCUCUCCCCAUUCCCUAGAUCUAGCCGCCUCCUCUCCCUAAGUCCCCAUCACCAGAUCCACCACCACCGGCGGCGGGCGGCACCGGCCGGCGCCUCAUCCGGCCGCCCUUCCCUUAAUCCUGUCGCCCUCUCCCGCUCCUCGCCUCCUCGCGACGUUGCCUCGUCGUCCUUCGCAUCAAGGCACCGUCCGGCACCUCAUCUGGUCUCGUCACCGUCUCCUACUCCUCGCCUCCUCGCGACCCCGUCUCCUCGACUCCUCCUUCACCUCAAGGCCAGGCAAGGCGGCUGCAAGUGCAGGGUGGUGGCAAUGGCAAGUGCUCCUCUUCCUCAUCCUAGGUGACCGGCGGCUUCUUCAUCGACCCAAGAGGCCGAGGCCAUCAGGGUAAGCAGCUGAAACUUUCUGUUCUUGUAGUUGUUAGUUGUUAGUUCUUGUUGUUGCAUCUUGAAUCUUGCUGCUGACUGUGUAGGAUCUUGUAGUUGUUAGUUCUUGUAGUUGUUAUUUCCCCAUGUAAUUGAAUCUUGAUGUUCAAUGUGUAUGGAUCUGUUAUUCGGUCAGUUAUGAGUGGGUUAUGUUCACUGAAUACUACAGUCGUGUUUCGUCCAACAAAUUAAAUCAGUGUGUGCUUCUAAUGUGGAAGAAAUAGGUGUUAGAUUUACUUUUUGGUUGGGGUGGGUGCUUAUCAUUGAUCAAUAUCUGAUAUUUCUCGCCCACAUUAGUUAGUACCUUUUUUAGUUUUAGUUCAUUUUUUGGAGUAUAUUUGAAGUGCUGGCAUUUGCUUCUCAAGAUGGCUUUAGUAACACUGAAAUAUCUUUGACUUGUGACUGGAUUGAUUUAUGUAUCGUGAAUUGAGUGCCAGCAUGUACUUCCACCUCAUAAUUUCACAAAAAAGCAAUGCAUCUGUUUGGUACCCAGAUCAUGCUUCACACUUACCUAAUUCUAUCAUAUGUGUUGUGUCAUACAUUUUUUCCUUACUGCCUUUCAAAGAAAUAUAAUGUUCACUCACUGGAGUCCUACAAUUGUUCUGUGAAUUAUUUGUCAAAAUCAUCUAAAUAUUUGGUCAGUCACAAUUGAAUGUGUAUGUAUCAAUUAUAUGUGAUCCUUUUAUAUUUAUUCCAGUAGUCCACAUAUCCUUUUAUUCCUGAUUAUUGUGUUGCUUAUCUAUGUCAAACUUCUCUAAAUAUUUUGUUGUGUGCCUUUGUAGCUGACCGCGACGACGACCGGCAACUCGCAUCCUCUUCCUCCACCUCAAGCAAAUAUGCAUCAACCCGAGACCAUCAAGGUGAGCAGCUCACCAGCGACCCAAUUAAAUGUCAGGUUCAGGUGAAUAUGUUGAGCAAGAUAAGCCACUUCAUGUGAAGAGAAAGACCACAUCUGUGGUUUGUAAUGAGUUCAAUAGGGUUCUUGUUGAGAAAAAAAUGGAAGGUUGAAUGUGUAUGGUGUCACGGGCUAUUUUGUGGAGAUCCAAAGUAUGGAACCUCACAUAUGCAUGCUCAUUUAGCAAGAUGUGCUUCUAGGCAGGCCAAUGGUAACUUGCCAUCCUCAACCAUCAUCUUAUUCUUUAAUCUUAAGUAAUGUUUCCAUUUGCCAAUGGUAACUUACUAAUGUUUCCACUUGUCUAAUGUUCAGGUUGAGGAACUGUCGACUUACUAUAUGCCUGCACGGAGCAUUGAAGAAUGAAGAUUGAAGUCCUAGAUAUUUGAUGUUGUGGGAUGUGUGUGCUUUGUUAUGUUUGCCAUGCUUGCAUUUGUUAAGUGUUAAAGAUAGGAACUUUCAGUCGGGUAAUCCAUUUGCUGAAUAUUUGGUCAGUCAUAAUUGAAUAUGUAUGUAUCAAUUAUAUGUCAAAAUUAUCUAAAUAUCCAGCAGUCCACAUAUCCUAUUUAUCUAAAUAUAUUGCAAUCCUGAUUAUUGUUAUAAUUGAAUGUGUAUGCUUCCAUAUUAUUGUGACUAUUGUCAUCCUUUUAUAUUUAUUCCAGCGGUCCACAUAUCCUUUUUAUUCUUGAUUAUUGUGUUUCUUAUUUUGUUGUGUGCCUUUGUUUUAGGUAUGCUUGUUUGGAUCAACAAUGGCAUCAAGUCCAACACAAUCAGAUGCAAGUGCAUCGGCUGCGAAUGGAGAUACACCAGCCUCUAGUGCAGCUCCCACUCCAACGCCAAGCUCUAGUGCCAAUACAACGCCAGCUGAAUCUGUUGACUUGGAGGUGCCAUCUCAAACAACAAGAGCAACUAAACCGCAGGAUGCACACAAGUUGGCUGGUGUGAAGAGAAAGCUCAAGUCUAAGGUGUGGGAUGAAUUUGAGAGGGUUCUUGUGGGCGGAAAAUGGAAGGCUGAAUGUGAAUGGUGCCAUAGUAAUCUUGGAGGAGAAACAAAGGAUGGAACAUCACAUCUUCACGCGCAUUUGGCAACAUGUGCUGCUAGGCAGACCACAACAGCCUGGAAGCAAGCAAAGCUGAAACUGACCAAGGCGGAAGAUGGGAAAGUGAAUGUGGAGAAUUACAUUUUUGAUCAAGAACUAUGUAGGAAAGAACUUGCUUUGAUGAUAUGUUGUCAUGAGUACCCACUUGCUAUGGUAGAUCAUGUAGGUUUUAGGAAGUUUUGUGCUAUGUUGCAGCCUAUGUUCAAGGUUGUGUGUAGGAAUCCAUCCGGAAAGAUAUUCUAGAAAUGCAUGAAGGACAAAGAGAUAAGUUGAUCAAGUACUUUGCAAACUUCAAGAAUAGAGUUGUUGUGACUUCGGAUAUGUGGACUGCUGGACAUCAAAAGAGAGGAUACAUGGUUGUAACAGGUCACUACAUUGAUGGUUCUUGGAAUCUAAAAUCAUUCCUUCUAAGGUACAAUACCAUUGCCCCUAUCUUACUGCUUGUCUGAAUACCUUUGCUCUUAUUCAUGCUUUCUAACCAAUAAUUUAUAAUUUUGUAGGUUUGUAUAUGUACCAGCACCGCAUACAUCUGAAGUGAUUUGUGAUGUUCUACAUGAAGUUCGAGGAGAGUAUCAUCUCGAGAGAAAGAUAUCAACUAUUACUCUUGAUGAUUGCACAACCAACGACGAGGCAGUGGAAGAUCUCCUAGAUAAGUUAGACUCCUCCUCUCUCAUGCUAGGUGGUAAACUGUUGCAUAUGUGUUGUUGUGCUCACAUAUUAAAUCUGAUUGUGAAAGAUGGGCUUGUUGUUUUUGGGGAUGGUAUUGAGAGGGGGCGGGAUAGUGUGGGGUAUUGGUCAGCAACUCCAAAAAGACAUGAGAAGUUCGAAAAAACUUGUCGCUUGAUGAACAUUGAGUACUCUAGGAGGUUGAACCUUGAUUGUAAAACCAGGUGGAACUCCACAUACAUAAUGCUUAGUAUUGUUGUGCUGUAUAGGGAUGUUUUUUAUCGUCUUAGUCUGCGUGAAAUGCUUUUUAAUUGCUGUCCAACAACUGCUGAUUGGGAUUUUGCCAAAGAGAUGAUUGUUAGGCUCAAAUAAUUCUAUGAUGUCACUACCUUAUGGUCAGGAACUAGUUAUGUUAGAGCAAAUAUGUUCUUCCCUAAGGUUUGUGGUAUUAAGUUGGCAAUUCGCAAACGGACUACACCUGAUUAUGAGCUGUUGCAAGAUAUGCCCAUUGAGAUGAAAAAGAAGUAUGAACUGAUGCAACAAAUGUCCAAGGAGAUGAAAAAGAAGUUUCAGAAGUAUUGGACAGAUAUCCAUGGUCUGGUGGCUAUUGCCACUGUUCUUGACCCAAGGUACAAACUCCAUAUGGUGCAGGCUUUGUACGGUCCUCUCUAUGGACCUGAGGCUGCAAUUCAAGAGGUUGCGCGCGUGAAGCAAUUGCUCCGCGAACUGUUGGUUCAAUACCAAGAUGCCUCUUCUGCGGGAACAUCAAAUGUUGCUAGUGCUACACAGUCCAUUACUUCAGCUUCACAGGAAGAAGUUUUUGACAUAUUUGAACAGUACAUGUCUUCACAACCUACUGCGUCAUCUUUGUUGGUUCAUACAAAGCUAGACAUGUAUUUAGAAGAGCCAACCUUGCCAAGAACACCAGAUUUUGAUAUCAUCAAUUGGUGGAAGUUUGGGGGGACAAAAUAUCCAACUCUACAACUUAUUGCUCAUGACAUCUUGCCUAUUCUGGUCACAAUGGUAGCAUCGGAAUCUGUAUUCUCUACAAGUGGUAGAAUCCUUAGCCCUCACCAUAGUAGGCUCACACCAAAGAUGGUUGAAGCUAUAAUGUGUAUGCAGGCUUGAUCUAAUGCUGACAUGCUAGGUAAGACAACUCAAAUGUUGCUCUUUUGCUCCUAUUCUACUUUUGUUUUGUUGUUGCUACACUAAUUUUUUCUUGCUUAGAUAAUUUACUAGAAUAUGUACCUAAAUCAGUUACACUACUGCCAUCUAAAGUUACAUUGCUUGCAAUUUUAGGUGAGAACAAUUCAUCACUCUCUACUGAGUUUCAAACUUGUCUUGAUGAUGAGGAUGAACCAAUGGUAACUUGACAUUCUCAACUUUCAUAUUAUGUCUUGAUUUCAUUCGCAACUUUCAUUUGCAACUUUCAAUCUUAUGUCUUGAUUCCAUGCAACUUUCCAAAUUAUCUUGUACUAUUUCCAUUAUCAAGAUGAGGAACUCUCCACUUGCAAUAACUAUUAGGCUUGUUGCUUGCCUCCAUGGACUCAAGAAUGAAGAAAAUGGAGGACCGAGGAGCUACUGUGAUGGGCUCUUCAAGUCUUCAUUUCAUUUCUUCUGCUUACCAUGCUUGUGUUGUGUUAAGAAUUAGAACUUUCGGCUUGUAAUCGUACUAAGUAUUGCCGUCGUUUGUGCCAAUCGUACUUCCAGUUUAUCAAUUAUGUCAGACUUGAGUUGAGAUGAUUGAAUCUAUCAAACUUAUGUGGUCAGACUUGGGAUAAUUAAAUUUGUCAAAAUUAUUGUGUUUGUGUUGUUAAUUUACUGUUGUGUAAUGUGGUUGUGCUUCUGUACAAGAAGAUUGCUGCCAAAAUUAUUUUGGUUUGUUAUGCCAAUGUAUUGUUGUUUUGUUGCUAUAAUGGAUGAUUGAAUCUGUCAAAAAAUAUUGUGGUUUGUGCAAUUGUGCUCCUCUUUUAUUGUUGUUUUGCUGUUGUUGGUCUCCAUGGGGAUCCCCAUGGGGAUCGGGUACCCGUUGUUAGCGGGGAUGGGGACUGCUUCCCCCCACCCCACCACCACCACCAAGGUUGGUGGGGCUAGCGGGGACGGGUAUUAGCGGAGAUCGGGGCGGGGAUGGUGACAUGCCCCCCAGUGAUCCCCGUCCCUAUUGCCAUCUUGAACCCAGGCUACUACUGAAGCAGAAACUGAAAUUCAUCAGCCUGUGAUUCCUGAGGCUGUGAUGACUUUGACUGACACUCCUCAGCCCAAGCCGAAGAAUCCCUUCUCCAAGAAGCAAAAAUUCAAGGCUGAUGACUUCUUCCAUGAGCAGGUAUUCUUCACAGAUUACAAUCCGUAUGACUCUGCUCGUCUGAGAAGGAAGCGUUUCUGGACCGCAAGCCAAGCCAACUUCUAUUCUUCACUGCUUUUCGAUAAGGACAAAGUAUUUGAUCAUGCACAUAUUCCUCAUGUGGGCAUGGAAUCACUACCUUGCUUCACACUGGUCCUGAGUGUUCUUCAUGAAGCUGGGCUACUCAACUUCUGCACCGACAUCGAAGACUGGAAUGAAGAACUAAUUCUUCAGUUCUAUGCGACGUUGCACAUCACAGGAAAUGCUGAAGAUGUGACUUCCUGGGUGUUAGACUGGAUGACCGAUAACGCUCACUUCAAAGCACCAGCAUCUAAAUUGCUUCAUGCCUUGCCUGUCAUUCCUCCCCUUGAAGGUGCGCAUCUGAUCUAUCAUGAACUUGAGCUUUCAGAUCACUACAUGCAAGUGCUGAUGAAACUGCUGAAGCCUGGUCAAGCCCCAAGGACCAAAUUCCUUGUGAAGGAACUGUUGUAUGUGCCACGGACUGUCUAUCGCAUUUUUACCAAGACGUUGAGUCCAAUCAAAGGCCACGACUCGAAUGAAGAAGAGGUCGUUGGCAUCAUGAAGAAUCUACUUUUCAAUAUCAUCCAUGGAGUUCCAAUCAACUACCAUGAUUUCUUCAUGAGGACUCUGGCAAAUGUUGCAUUAUCAGCUUUUGAGUUGAAGCCUUACGCUCCUUGGAUUAUGAGAUUCCUCAGAUCAAGGUCUUCAAUCAAUUACAAGGCUGAUUUGCAGAAUCACGUCAGCUAUUUGCCCCCAAUUGAAGCCUUCAAGCGACCUAUUUCCUCAUUUGAUGAGAAGGGCAAGGCACAUGCUGUUAUUGAUGAAGGCAUUUGUCCAUUGGAUGGCCAGUUCCGCAAAGCUGCAUCUUACUCCACCGAUGAUGACUCUGCCACUCAUGACUCUACUGCCAAUGCUUCAAAGCAAGAUCCUCAAGCCACAACUCCAAGGGUAUUGGCUGAUCGUGAGCUUCUCCUCAGUCUUCACCAGAAGGUCGAUCGCAACCACAAAUGGGCCAAGUGUUAGUUUGGUUCAAUUCUUUGGAACAUGACCAUCACUCAGGAUUCAGUGAAGAAGAACCAUUACUACCUCCAUGAAGUAUUUGAUUGCACCUGGGUUGUUCUGUCUCAUCUCUACGGUGAAGAUGAUCUCAACAAGAUGGGCUUCAAGCAGGACUUUGACUGGUCUCAGCCACCUUCAAAGAAAUUCAAGAAGGUCAAAGUUCCUCACUUGGUGGCCAGCUCUUAUUCUUCAUCGUGCGAGACGGAUGAGCAUGAAGUUUGGACCACACUGCGGCAUGCCCUACUUCAACAACCGACCCCAACAAUGCUGGCGCUCCUCCAUUGACUCAGUGAUGAUAUUCUUCAGGGGCGUUAGUCCUCACUUUUCAUCCCUUUUGGUCAUUCGAUGACAAAGGGGGAGAAAUUUUGAAUGAGUCUUCAAGCGGGGUCUAUUUUUAUGAGCAUUUUUUGCUAAGUUACAACUCUCGUUCUUCUGAAGAUUUAUUGGAACGAGUUGUAAACUUAAGUCUGAUGGUGGUCUGAUACUUUUGAUAUGUUCUUCCGCAUGCUAUUUCCUCAUGUAUGAUAAUGCACGCAUGCUGAAUUACAUCAGCCACCAUAUUUCAUCAUGCAUUUCAAAUUCUUCAUAUCAUAUGUUAAAUGCGUGUAUGAAUUACAAGAUAUAGGGGGAGAUCUCCAUGAUUCCACUCUUCAAAUGUGCAUUGCUUCAAAAGCAAAUUCCUCACUAUGCACAUCUUCAGGGGGAGUUCUUCUAUAUCUUGCAAUCAAAUUCCUCAAUAUCAGUAUUUACACUUCAUAUGCUCAUCCCCGUUGAAAACUUAACUUAUAUUGUCAUCAAUCACCAAAAAGGGGGAGAUUGUAAGUGCAUCUAGUGCCCCUUAGUGAUUUUGGUGUAUUGAAGACUUAUAGGUUAAUGGACUAAUGUGUUUCCGAGUGUACACAGGACUAUAAGUCUAUGAGGAGUUUGAUAUUUACAGAGAAAGUCGACCCCUAAAAAUGAAUGUCUUCAACUGAAGACUUUGGAUUUCUGAAGACUUUCUGAAGACUAUGAAAGUGAACAAAUUAGUGUGACCGUGAAGACUUGAUAUUCAUGCGAGGAACAUGAAGCGUGAAGACUGUUGUUUUCGUAGUUUCAUUUUCUCUUUCUUGAGUCAUAGGAAACAUCGCACUAUUAAAGGGGGUCAAGGUAAAACUAAGGAAAAGUUUCCAAGUGAUGCUCAUCUCAAAAUCCUACACCUACCAAUCCCUUCGAGUGAAGCCAUUGGAAAUCUCAUAUAGUUCAGUCAAUUUCUUAAGUGAGCAGAGACGAAGUUCUUCUGCUCUCUGAGGAAUUUGUUCUGAUUGAGGAGUUAGGAAUUCGCCAGUGCGGAUUGCCUACGAGUGAGGAACAUGAUAGCCCUGAGGAAUUUGAACCUCAAAUUUCCGACCGUUGCUGUGCUAUGCGCCAGCUGUCCCAAAAUAUCUAGUCACCUAACGGUCAUAUCAUUGAAGGGCAUUUAUGUCUUAUCAUGUUGGGCUGCUCCCUAGGCUACAAAUAGUCGCGCCCCUACAACCACUAGCUGGUUGGCUGCUCCGCGAGAAACUGACACUUGUCAUUGAGAGCAUCCCAUCCUUCGAGGACUUUGAGCGGAAAUCAUCAAGUGAGGAAAAACCAAAACCCCAAACCAAACACCUACAAACCCAAAGUGAUUAAGCAUCACUGAAGAGAUUGUUCAUGUGUGGAACUGACGAUUGUUACCUUUGAGGACUGUGCAUCCUCCAGACGGUUAGGCGUCAUGGUCUAGAGCAUCCAAGAGGAAAUUGUGGAUCGUCGAGUGACCGAGUCUGUGAAGGUUUGGAAGUCACCUGAAAACUUACCACGAGUGAUUGGACGAGGUAUGUGUGACCUUAGUUCAAGGAGAAUACGGCAAGGACUCUGUGUCCGGGACUGUGUGUCCUCAGGUUUAAAUACCUAGCCGGUCCAACCAGACGUACGACUGUCACAGCAGUUGGAACUGGUCUACCAAAUCAUUGUCUUCACCGAGCUAACUCGUUCUAUUUCCUCAACCCUUCCAUUUUCUCAUUACUGUGAUGUGUACCUGUUCAUAUCUGUUUGAAGACUUUGACUGAAGACUUUCUCAAUUUCCUCAGUUCAAUUUCUUCAGUCAGUUUAUCUUCAGCCUGCAUAUCCUGUGUUUACGCUUUCUGUACUCUGCGCUUGCUUUCAUUUCUUCAUGAUGACUAUGCUACUACUCUGUUAUGUUUGCACCUGAGUACUUAUUCCGCUGCAAGUAGUUCUUCGCUUAGGAAUUUCCUCACCCUGAAAUUCCUCAGUGAAGAAUUCAUAAAAAUCGCCUAUUCACCCCCCCUCUAGUCGACUUAACGCACUUUCAAGGCGCCGCCGGAAGCGCUCUUGCUCAAAGGGGUCUUCGGGAACGAUAUAGUCCUCGGUGCUGAGGCUUUCGUCUUCCUCGGACUCGGGCAUAUAGUUGUCGACGGCCCCUUCAAAGAGGUCAUCGGGGUCUAGGUCCUCGGGGAUUCCUUCCGGGGUGUCGUGACAUUCUGAGGAAGUUUGAAGAUCUUCCCCUAGGUCAUCAGCCAUCUGCCGCCGUGCCACCGUUAUCGGCGAUGGUGUUGUUCCCGCUGGGUUCCCCGUUGGUGCCCCGCCCGCAUCUGCGUCGACGCCUGGGGGGUUCUAGGAGUGUCGACCAUGUAUACAUCAUAGGUAGAUGUUGCGGCCCACUUGCCGGUAUUUACUAACAACGAAGUGUUUUUGGUGGGGCCAUCGACAUCUUCAUCCAAGUUCGUGGCCUUCUCAUAGUCUAGCACAUCGAUUAAGUCAUCGACCGUGGCGACUAGGUUGGUCGUGGGUGGGAUGUAAAUUUUCCGAUCGUCGGCUUUAAGUCCAAUCUCGUUGUAAACUGAAGUCUUGCCAUUCGAGAUUGACGUGCUCUGGAUACGGUCAAGCAUCCUGUUCAGGUGAAAUAGAUCUUUGCAGUUAAUGGCUUGGCUGUAAGAGGGGCUAACCCGAAGUACGCCCGACGCAUAACUUCGCGUGUUUUCGGCGAGGUGAUGAUCCGAGGGAAAUUCCAGAUCCUGCGCCCGGGUAGGUUCUAAAUCCAACGUUGCUUCCGAGAUGGGGAACGGACUAGCAUCCGGGCCGGUAUUCAAGGUGAGAUCGCCUGGGACCACUAGGCUAGGCGCCUCCAGUGGUGUCAGGGAGCCUGAUCUGAUGUCCUCGAAGGAGAUCGGUUUCAAAGUCGAGCCUCCGAUGCUUGGUAAACCCUCAACCCGGUCCGGCGUCCGGCCUGAUAGGACAAGCUCGCCGCGAGAGUCCGCGGUGUACUCCAGGCCUCCGAAGGUCAUGAUUUGACCUGGGGCAUAGUUCUCGAUGGAGGUCAGAUGGCCUGUCGAGUCGACGCAGAAGAUCAUGCUUCCAAACACAAAGAGUUAGCCGGGGACGUAAACGUCUCCGUGACCGGUGCCGUAGUUGAUCUGCAGAUGAGCGAUCGAUCUUUUUGUUGAUCUCAUAGUAGAACUCUCAAUGAAAGCAGCAGUGUCGGUGUGAAAUCCGGCAGACCUCAGGGUAGGGGGUCUCGAGCUGUGGAUAUCGGAUCAAUGGUAACAGGAACAUGAGAGACAAUGUUUACCCAGGUUCAGGCCCUCUUGAUGGAGGUAAAACCCUACGUCAUGCUCUUUUUUAUAUUGAUGGGGAUGUAUCAAGUACAGAGUUGAUCUACCUCGAGAUCAUAAGUUGUGUUCUACCUCAAGGGCUGGGUGAAUGUAAUUGUGAUUCGGUCCCCUCUACAGGCUAAACCCCUUGCCUUAUCUACAUGCCAGGUAGGGUAUCUAGGGUUACAUGGUCCGUAUCCUGAGGAUCGCAUGGAGGCGGCUGGGGAUAUCUUGGAGUACACGUCAAGUCUUCGGAAGGUACGGUCUUGAUCUCAUAUAGGCGUACAACUUCCGGAGUCUUCCUUAAUGAGAAUGCGGGCCCAUUAGUCCGACUCGGAGACUAGGGGCCGACUAGGUUAGUACCCCCUAGUCCAGGACACCGUCACUCCUCCUGGUUGAGGUGAUAAAGCCUCUUCCAAUGCACAUGUGCUUGGAUGGAGUGCUAGGUGCUUUAAAGAGUUUAGCAACUAAAGACCUCAAUGCAUAGGUGCUUAGUUUGUUGUUGCUAAGCUUCUUUCCUUUAAUUGUUUAAUAACUAAACUCUUUCAUGCAUAGGGCAAACUUCUUUCAUUUAAGUGUCUUGCAUAGGUCUGCGUCGUUCUUCCUGGGGUUAACAUACUCAUCUCUCUCCUCUUUCAUUAUCAGAUUUUUUGCCUAUGUGGCAUGCUCAGCACCCGUACAUAGUGGACCACCAGAAAGGGUCUAAGGGAGCGCUCACGUGAGGCACUGCUGUAUCUAAUGGGUGCGGCCACUCACGUGUCGAGGCAUCUUGUGCCAAGAUUCGCGAAGGGCAUCUGAUGGUAACCAACACGUUCGCUGCGAGCUCUAAAAAUCCGACAGAUAUUUAGCAUUUUUGAAAGAAAAAAAAAGAACACUAGCCUACCACCACAAGGGCAUGAACUAUGAUGGCACUACCUAUCUACUACCUCAUCAUUACCACAUAGAAAAAUAGCAUGGAAACUACUGUCCCAAAAUCCAAUGCCCAACGCAGCACUAUCCUCAGGCCGGUCUUUUUUACUUCUCAUAUUUCUCUCCUAUUUUAUCCAAAUCUCAGCCCAACACUUCGUUAAUCCUCUCUAUUUUCUCUUCCCUUCUCUUGUCUUUCAUUGACUCGUUACACUUUUGUCAGGGAGGAGAUGACCUCCUCUACAAGAUCCUUCUUUAGUCUGUAAGUCUGUAAGCAUCACAAACAGCAAUCAAGGACCGCCCAAACCUACGCGGAGCGUUGGGGCAUCUGUCCACCGUGUAGUGUUGGCCAUGCCUAAAGUCUCCUUGAUAAGUUCGUCGCUUUCCCCGCAAAAAAAAAAACAGUUCGUCCUUUCCAGUUCAUAAAAAAAAAAUUCGGAGUUUUUCCUAUUUACGGUGGCUCCAUCAGCCUUGAAAAAUCGAUAAAAAUGGCCCAGUUAUUAUACGAUCCAGACUUGUUAGGUGAAGGAGGGCCGGCGCGGCUUUGCAGAGGUUGAUCCGGUGGUUUGAUUGCAGUACCAAAAACUGCGCGGAUGUCGUAUAGUCAACAGUACCCGUGGAGAGACAUCACGGAAAAUGCUCAACAGUGCUUCGCGGAAGGUCGCUGUCCUGGUCCAGCGCAGCGCCCCCUCACCUCAAAAUCCCAACCGUCCCUUAAAAUCGACGUGACAUUCAAAUGCUCGCCAAAUCUCGCGAUUCCCUUUUUUGUAAGUGGCGCGGAGGACGGGAGCACUGGAGGGGCCGUUGGCAGGCCACGAUCGAUGGGAUCGAUCGAGAGAGCGGCGCCUCGGUCGAAGCCGUGGCCGGAGUAGAGACGAACUACGCGUCCGCUACGAGAUGGAGAUGGGAUCAUGGGGAGGACUUUUGUUUGGGCGGUCGGCCAGUGGCGCACGCACGGCUGGCCUCGGGCCGCGGAGGCAUCCAUCGCCCCAAACCCCGCGCACGGCGCCUCCUCCUCCCGCUCUCUUUUCUUGGAUCCAACGGCGACGAGAGAAAAGAACGACAGCGUUUUCACGGCGCACUCUCCACCAAGAGUUGGCACGUCACGAAACCCCGAGACUUGGACAUUUUUUUUCCUUCAGUUCACAAAUUCGGUGUCAAAAAUAAAUAAAGUAUAGCAAACGGGGUAGUACUAGUACAGUAUGAUCCAUGCAGAUGCAGAUACAGAUGCGGCCCGUGGCCAGCUGCAGUGGCGCAAAAGAGGAGGGAGAGGUGCGACAUGUCCCAAUCGGUGUUCCGUGGGUGGGUUGCCCUGGCUCUGAAUUCCCGGCGAUGGGUUCGCCCCCGGGCCGGAAAGGGAAGACACAGGAGUUGAGACGAACAAGGCACAAGAUUCGCCCAUUUCCGGAUCAUGCAAUCAGUCGCUGCCAACACCAACUUACGGCCGCGGCGCACAAAUGCUUUCUUGUCCUCUCCUCUCUCCCAAACAACCAAAUUUCGACAGCUUAUUACUACCAUGUGUCGUCGCCUUCCCUCGCAGCAGACGAGACGAGGAUAUACACAUGCAUCGCGUCGCGUCGCGUCGCGUCGCACGCGUGACAAAACUGUUUUUUUGUUUUCUUUUCUUCCGGGUCCCACCCACCCCAACCAACAAAACGCUGCGAGCUUCGCAACAGCGGCGAGACCAAAUAAAUGGGCUCAGAUCUGAGAUAAUCUAGCUGUUUUGUUGGAUUUUAAAAACAUUUCCCCCUCUUUUCAGAUUCAGAAACACUAAAAACAACACGAAAACCCUCGGCUCUUGUCGCCACUCCCUACUUCCUAGUCCGGGCCAUCAAGGCCGCGGCCCACCGACAGCACAAAAGGCAGCCACAUGGCCCCACAGCCUUUAUCACCGACACGCCGGCCCCACCAGUCAUCUACGGUUGGUGCGCGUCGCUGUUGGCUGUGCGAGCCAGCGCAGGCGAUCUGGUGGGGCCGCGGCUCCACUGGGGCGCCCGGCCACUGCAGCAGCGAAGCUCUCCCCUAUCUAUCCAUCUCUCUAUCUAUCUAAUGGCCGGGAAGACAUCCAAAGAACUCGCCAUAAUUCCAAACCACUGUGCCGCUGUAGCGCAGCGCUCCCUCCCUCCUCGUCCUCCCUCCCUCUCUCAAGAACACGGAAAAAAUCGGGGCCUUUUGGGUUCCGGACACCAAGGAUUGGAUAUUUAUUCUGCUUUGCUUUGCUUUGACCGGCGCGGCGGUUCUUCAACUUGGGAUGGAGUUGCAGGGGCCGGGGGAGGGCAGGGGAGGCGCCGUCGCCUGAUGUAGAUUUCCCUUUUUUCCUUUCCUUUGCUUUGUUUAUUCCGGCUCUGGGCGUUCACAUCUCUCGCAGAGCUUUCGCGAUCUGCCAAUUGGAGGCCAUGCGCGCGGGCCAAACAGGUGCUUGCCUUUCUUGCUUUUCUUGAUGUUGAUUUGCUCUUUUGAUGGCCGUGCCCGCCAUGGAUUGAUUGCGUGUGGAGUUGGGUUUGCUGUGCGGUGGUUUGCGAAUUUGAUGGAGGGCAAUUUGGUGGCAGGUUUGGUGUGCGGGAAGAAGUGAUCGCAUUUCGUGGCGGUGGUUUUGGGUGGAGAUGAAGGAGGUGGGCGAGGAGAGGUGCCUGGACCCGCAGCUGUGGCACGCCUGCGCGGGCGGCAUGGUGCAGAUGCCGCUGCCGCGCUCGCGCGUCUACUACUUCCCGCAGGGGCACGCCGAGCACGCCAACAGCGGCGGCGGCAGCGCGGCCGCCGAGCUCGCGGCGGCGGUCGGGCCGCGUCCGCUGCCCGCGCUCGUGCUCUGCUGCGUGGCAGGGGUGCGCUUCCUGGCUGAUCCGGAGACGGACGAGGUGUUCGCCAAGAUCCGGCUGGUGCCCGUCGGCCCCGGCGAGGCGGGGUUCCGGGAGCCGGAGGGGCUCGGGGGCGACCCGGCGGAGGCGCGCGAGAAGCUGGCCUCCUUCGCCAAGACGCUGACGCAGUCCGACGCCAACAACGGCGGCGGCUUCUCGGUGCCGCGCUACUGCGCGGAGACCAUCUUCCCCAAGCUUGACUACAGGGCUGACCCGCCGGUGCAGACGGUGCUCGCCAAGGACGUGCACGGGGAGGUGUGGAAGUUCCGCCACAUCUACCGGGGCACGCCGCGCCGGCAUUUGCUCACCACGGGCUGGAGCACCUUCGUGAACCAGAAGAAGCUCGUCGCGGGGGACUCCAUCGUCUUCCUGCGCACCGAGCACGGGGAGCUCUGCGUCGGGAUACGCCGGGCCAAGCGGGUCACCUGCGGGGGCAUGGAGUGCAUAUCCGGCUGGAACGCGCCAGGGUACGGGGGGUUCUCGGCCUUCCUCAAGGACGAGGAGAACAAGAUGAUGAAUGGUGGCCCCGCCGGUUACGUCAAGGGCAGGGGGAAGGUCAAGAUCGCCGAUGUCGUGGAGGCGGCCACCCUCGCGGCCAACAGCCAGCCAUUUGAGGUGGUCUACUACCCGAGAGCUAGCACGCCGGAGUUUGUUGUCAAGGCCGCGGCGAUGCAGGCCGCCAUGAGGAUCCACUGGUGCCCUGGCAUGAGGUUCAAGAUGGCCUUUGAGACCGAGGAUUCCUCAAGAAUCAGCUGGUUUAUGGGGACCAUAUCUUCGGUUCAGGUUGCCGAUCCACUCAGAUGGCCGAAUUCACCAUGGAGACUUCUUCAGGUUUGUUCGAUCUGAUGAUAUCCAUAGUCGCACUCCAUCCUUUCUUCUCAAUAAAGAUGCAUAGUACAUAACAUGGAACUGCAAGGGAUGAAUGCAGUGCAUCAUUUACACAACGUUAGUAGUAUGGAGGCUUCUCAUUCAGAUGCCUUGAAUGGAACUAGAAGUUAAGGUACUACCAUACAAAACAUGGCCAGCUUGCCGCACAAUGUUGCCAAAUUAGUAGUAAUGGUAAUAAUAAUGAUUCCCAAACCCCUGAUAUCAACAAAUUAACCUAUUAAUUAGUUCAACAACUGGCUUAGAUUUACUGGAGUAAAACAUCACAUCCUCCUUCGAUUUUGACUUUGUAUGAAUUGGUGGUACAAUCAAUAAAGCUGUUGGAAUGCAGAAUUCACAACUGCAUGGUAGUUAUGGAAGAAAAGGCUUGUGGUCCUUUAGUAGCUUUGUUGGUUUCCAAAUUUGGAUUAUCAGUCUGCAUGUUCUUCAAGUACUAGCUCUCUUAUUUAUCAAUAGUGGGCUCCUAAACUUCCGUAUUCCUUUUAGUAUGAUAUCAAAUUCUUGAAUAGUACGUCAUCAUCGGUUGCUCAAAUGUCACAGCUUGAUGUUUGGUCUUUAGCACCCAACAUGAUACUUGGCAUGGGAAUACUUGGCAAACUUUUAACUAGAAACAGAAUCCUUUAGCAUGGUUAGGUAUGACUAAUGUGGAUGAGAAACGAUUUGUCUAAUUACAUUGACCUGGAACAGAAAAAAAUUGUACACAAAUCUAAUGAAAAUGCCGUACACAGUAGAAGGGUCAAACUUUUAUGUACAAGAAUCUACAAGCUACAUCAUCUGUCAGAUUUGUUCAGCUUCUCUUAUGGAAGUUGUUCGUGUACAAAUAGUAAGAGUGCAGCAGAGAAUUGAGAUCGGAGUCUUCAUUGCCAACAGCUUCGUUUCUAGUCAUUCGUUUGUUUCAAAGCCCAUCUAUCAGGGCUCCAUGCUAGUUCUUGCAAAGUUUUUUUAUAGCCUAAUAAACAAAUCCAAUAAAGUUCGGUGUGGAAUACUGCAUCUUUACUAUAAUAAAUACCUGAUGCUGGUACUACGAGUAUUAAAUUUCAAAUGUGGGUAUUGAAUUAAUAUGACGCUCAUGUAGUAUGAUGAUGAUCCCUGUAUAAACUGUUCGUGCUGAAGGUACUUGAUCCUCCCUCUAUUUGAAAGUCCUACCGCACAUUUGUCUAUCUGAUCAGUCCCGUACUCCAACCAUAAGGUUUCUGUCUGUACCUUGGGUAGCAGAUGCUGAAAUUGGUAUAUUUGGCAGUUCAACAUAACAUGCUUGGUCUAUUUAUCUAUCAUUUUUAGCUCUCUCAGCCGUUCAUGCAUAUUGCUACUUCAUUGAAUCUUAUCUCAACGUUUAUGUUACCCACUUACGUAGGAUAGUGAAUGAUGUCUUUCUAGUAGUUUUGAGAUAGUGGAGGUCUAUGUUUUCAUCAGUAUCAUUAGUUAUAUCAGAUUUAAUACGAAAAUGGGUCAUCGAUUUUAGUUGGUGUUGUGCUACUUUGCGCAUUUUAGUUCUGCAAGCACCAGGGUACUUUUUGUUUAGUCGAUUACAGUAAUUCUCUUUAUUAACAUGGUUCAUGGUUGCAAACUUCUUGCAGGUCACAUGGGAUGAGCCAGACUUGUUACAAAAUGUGAAAUGCGUGAGCCCAUGGCUUGUGGAACUUGUAUCAAGCAUUCCACCAAUCCAUUUGGGACCAUUUUCUCCACCACGAAAGAAGUUACGGGUUCCCCAACAUCCUGAUUUUCCAUUGGAUGGUCAUCUGUUUAAUCCAAUUUUCCAUGGGAACCCACUUGGUCCUAGCAACAGCCCCCUAUGCUGUUACUCGGACAACAACUCUCCUGCAGGCAUACAGGGAGCCAGGCAUGCUCAAUUUGGUUUACCAUUAACAGACCAUCAGCUUAAUAAGCUGCACCUUGGUCUGUUCCACGGCGGCGGUUUUAACCGGCUUGACGCUCUAACCCCGUCUUCCCGGAUAUCUAAGGGCUUUGUGCUCAGCAGCGCACCAGCCCAUGACAGCGUCUCUUGCUUGUUGACAAUCGGUACACCACAGAGCACAGAAAAAUCUGUUGACAGAAAGACACCACAUAUAAUGUUGUUUGGAAAGGCCAUUCUUACCGAGCAGCAGAUGACUUCAAGUGGAUCAAGAGAGACACUCUCCUCUGGGGCUACUGGAAAUAGUUCACCUAUCAGUACUGCGCUCAAGGCAGGAAAUGCAUCCGAUGGUUCCGGUUCAUCAAUCUGCAUCGGAUUCUCAUCCCAGGGUCAUGAGGCUUCUGAUCUUGGACUGGAAGCUGGGCACUGCAAGGUAUUUAUGGAAUCGGAGGAUGUUGGUCGCACCAUCGACUUGUCUGUCUUCGGGUCAUAUGACGAGUUGUAUGGCCGUCUGGCUGACAUGUUUGGCAUCGAGAAAGAAGAAAUCAUAAGCCAUCUCCGUUACCGUGACACGGCUGGUGCUGUCAUGCACACUGGUGGAUUACCGUUCAGGUGAGAAGUCCCUGAUGAUAUGUGCAGUAUUCCUUAACUCGUGCGUGAUAAUAUCUUCUUCAUCUUCUAAUGUUGCAGUAAUGUUGUAGUGAUAUGUACCUAAUUCAUUCUGUUCAUGUAACAGCGACUUCAUGAAAGUGGCACGGAGGCUGACGAUAAUAAGUGGCGAAAAGGGAGGACUGGCGAAACCUCUCAUCGAAUGCAUGGUUCAGCGGGUGUGAUAUCUUGAUGAGCUCCAGCACGAGCUUCAUCGAGAAAUAUUAAACCAGAGUGAGGGACUACUCUCCAUAUGCAUGCGUUUUAUUAGCGUUUGUUUACCCGUGCUGUCAAGCGGAACUGCGUCGUCGUUAGUACAAUCUUGUGGAUUGGUUUUUAAUAUGUACUCACUGUAUUUGUCUGUUAGCUGUUUGUUCAGCGCCGUUGAUCGCCCAAGUUAAGGGCUGGUCAUCCGGCGGCUGAGUUGGAAGUCUAUAGGUCAUGAGGCUUCUGAUCUUGGACGGAUUUGCUUUGCUUGGAAUAAAGUUUCAGUUGGGUCUUUGGAAAUUAAAGCUGGCGUUGCCUGGGCAGAUGAAAUGCUUGAGGAUUAGAGCGCGUUUGAUGAGAAUUUAUUGGUGUUUUUUCUUACUUUAUUUAUUUAUUAGGACAUUAUUUCUUGGCCAUUGUUGUCGCUGUUGUGCUUUUUGCCGGCUUGAUGAUGAACAGGUUGCGGUGGUGGUGGUACGAGAGGGAGGGAGGGAGGGAGGCUAGGGUGGCGUAGACGCUAUAGGCGUGACCCAUCCAUCGCCGCACCCGCACGGGGUUGUCAUGCGCGUUCCGACGUCGCCAUCUCUCCGUGACCGUGAGAGAGACACGACCCAACCCUCUCUUUGUUUUGUUUUGUUUUGGGCGGGUGGUUGGCCGAGCCGAACCUCGGUCGGAGCCGUGACGCGAGAAAAACGGCGCGAGGAGGAAGAGAAAGGGGGCCACCCUCGAGUCGACUAGGCUGGACACGCCUCUAGGAUUGGAGGCUUGUGGGUCUGACAGGCUGCAACGUCGUCCUAGUGUGGUGCUGGUGCUACACCGUCGUGUGGUGGCCUGUCACGCUACCGGUUAUGAUCGAGGCCGUCCUAGGUUGAGCUGUUUUACUGACACAAUUGCUCUGUACUACAGUGUCCGUGAUGAUGACCAUGACCAUGACGCCGGCCCCACACUCGCAUAGGUCUCGCCUUUGGAAAAGUCUAUAGGACGUAAACGGCGUUUAGCCCAUUUAUUAUUUACUAGUUGAAUGCCCGUGCGUUGCCACGGACACACGAAAUUCAAAAUAUGAUGUGAAAAGAUUACUCGACAAAGUGAUAGCAUGGACUUGGAUAUUUUAAAUGAGUGCUUUUUAUAGAAUAUAUUUUGACAAAAAACAAUGUUAAAGGUAAUUCAAAAUCCAUGAACAUGGAUAAACUUGUUUUUAAAUGUAGAUAAUAACUAAAUCAUCCGUGAAAUUAGCACAUCUCUUAAAACACCAUAGACACAAACAAACAUGACGAAACAGUCACCUACAUAGUAGAUACAAACCAAGUACGUGAUAACACUUACAGAUUGAAACACACAAUCAUGCGUAAUAGACAUAACCAAUGUCUACUAUAUGUACUACAUGCGCUGAGCUUUCUUUGUAUACAUUCUGUGUCGGGAAUCCUUUGUAGACAACUCGCUUGCUAGGAAAGCCCACCUCCACUCAAUAAAUUGCUGAACAAACUUCAUAUCAAUCAACCCACCAGUUAUUUUCUGGCGAAUAUCUGCAAAAAUAUAUAUCAUAAAUGUUGCAUUUAAUAAUAUUUAAACUUUGUGUACAUAUGUUAAUAACAAUCAUAAGUAAUUGAUUGGUAGUUGAUAAUAAGUCAUGACUACUCACCAUCAAGUGUGCGUGCUGCAGUAUGAUCCGGAUUGAAUGCAAGGGUGGUGUAGUUUGAAGUUUCCGGAAUUCCUAUUGCCAAGAUAAAAAAGUAUUUAAGUCGACAUAACAGUACACUUGAUAAUCACUGUGUAGUUUGAAGUUUCCAGAAUUCCUAUUGCCAAGAUAAAAAAAUAUUUAGGUCGACAUAACAAUACACUUGAUAAUCACUGUGUAGUUUGAAGUUUCCAGAAUUCCUAUUGCCAAGAUAAAAAAAUAUUUAGGUCGACAUAACAGUACACUUGAUAAUCACUGUGAAAGUAAGACCAUGAAAUGGUAAGGUUGAUAAUCACAGUGAAAGUAUACCUUGUGGUGUAAUAUUUGCUCUUCUUGGUUUGUUAUGACGCGAAUUUGCUAUUUCUAUCUGCACAUUGCUCUUGUUGAUAGGUUCAUUUUCAUGGUUAACAAUAUCCAUAUCUAUCAGUCACACAUUCUACGAAGUGAAAUAUAUAUACAAAUAUAUGAAUUAAAUAUAGUACUGCCAUAGUAUGAAUUAAAUAUAGUACUGCCAUAUUUCCCCAGUGCUGCUCGCAGGAAGUGGCGGUGGCGGCGGCUGCCACACCAGCGGAGCUGUCCAAUGCCGCAGCAGGGCCUACCACGGCACCGGCAAGCUGCCUGCACUGCAAGCGGGGAGCGACGCCGGCGGCGACCUGGGAGGCAGCAGAGGUGCUGCUAGCAGGGAGCGGCGGCGGCGGCGACCGACCCUCCAGUGGAGCUAUUCAACGCCGCAGCGGGGCCCUACAACGGCUUCGGCACGUUGCCUGCGCAGGGGCCUACCACGGCGCCGCGAUUUCCUCUGGCUUGUCGACAAGGUGGACUUCUACCUCGGCGCCGUCUUCGGCAGCAUCGAUACGGGGAUGGUGGUGGCUAUGCUCAUCUCAGUGUUGCAGGUGCGGCUCUUCUUGGCGCGGCCGAGGACGAUGGUCAUGGGCAACGUGCCAGAGACGCCCAUCUACCGGUGGAUGGACCAGUACACGACGUGCUCGACGGCACCCUUCGCGAGAAGAUCACCCGNNNNNNNNNNNNNNNNNNNNNNNNNNNNNNNNNNNNNNNNNNNNNNNNNNNNNNNNNNNNNNNNNNNNNNNNNNNNNNNNNNNNNNNNNNNNNNNNNNNNNNNNNNNNNNNNNNNNNNNNNNNNNNNNNNNNNNNNNNNNNNNNNNNNNNNNNNNNNNNNNNNNNNNNNNNNNNNNNNNNNNNNNNNNNNNNNNNNNNNNNNNNNNNNNNNNNNNNNNNNNNNNNNNNNNNNNNNNNNNNNNNNNNNNNNNNNNNNNNNNNNNNNNNNNNNNNNNNNNNNNNNNNNNNNNNNNNNNNNNNNNNNNNNNNNNNNNNNNNNNNNNNNNNNNNNNNNNNNNNNNNNNNNNNNNNNNNNNNNNNNNNNNNNNNNNNNNNNNNNNNNNNNNNNNNNNNNNNNNNNNNNNNNNNNNNNNNNNNNNNNNNNNNNNNNNNNNNNNNNNNNNNNNNNNNNNNNNNNNNNNNNNNNNNNNNNNNNNNNNNNNNNNNNNNNNNNNNNNNNNNNNNNNNNNNNNNNNNNNNNNNNNNNNNNNNNNNNNNNNNNNNNNNNNNNNNNNNNNNNNNNNNNNNNNNNNNNNNNNNNNNNNNNNNNNNNNNNNNNNNNNNNNNNNNNNNNNNNNNNNNNNNNNNNNNNNNNNNNNNNNNNNNNNNNNNNNNNNNNNNNNNNNNNNNNNNNNNNNNNNNNNNNNNNNNNNNNNNNNNNNNNNNNNNNNNNNNNNNNNNNNNNNNNNNNNNNNNNNNNNNNNNNNNNNNNNNNNNNNNNNNNNNNNNNNNNNNNNNNNNNNNNNNNNNNNNNNNNNNNNNNNNNNNNNNNNNNNNNNNNNNNNNNNNNNNNNNNNNNNNNNNNNNNNNNNNNNNNNNNNNNNNNNNNNNNNNNNNNNNNNNNNNNNNNNNNNNNNNNNNNNNNNNNNNNNNNNNNNNNNNNNNNNNNNNNNNNNNNNNNNNNNNNNNNNNNNNNNNNNNNNNNNNNNNNNNNNNNNNNNNNNNNNNNNNNNNNNNNNNNNNNNNNNNNNNNNNNNNNNNNNNNNNNNNNNNNNNNNNNNNNNNNNNNNNNNNNNNNNNNNNNNNNNNNNNNNNNNNNNNNNNNNNNNNNNNNNNNNNNNNNNNNNNNNNNNNNNNNNNNNNNNNNNNNNNNNNNNNNNNNNNNNNNNNNNNNNNNNNNNNNNNNNNNNNNNNNNNNNNNNNNNNNNNNNNNNNNNNNNNNNNNNNNNNNNNNNNNNNNNNNNNNNNNNNNNNNNNNNNNNNNNNNNNNNNNNNNNNNNNNNNNNNNNNNNNNNNNNNNNNNNNNNNNNNNNNNNNNNNNNNNNNNNNNNNNNNNNNNNNNNNNNNNNNNNNNNNNNNNNNNNNNNNNNNNNNNNNNNNNNNNNNNNNNNNNNNNNNNNNNNNNNNNNNNNNNNNNNNNNNNNNNNNNNNNNNNNNNNNNNNNNAGGUACACUCCGACAAUCGGGAUGGUCUGCCCUUGCGCCUUGUUGAUUGUCAUGGCAAAACUGAGCCUAAUAGGGAACUGCUUCCUCUUUAACUUGAAAGGGAAUAUAUCGUCAUCGGAUGGGCAGAGAGGUAUCCGAGGAAGGAACACCCUCCUACCAGCAUGUUGUCCUAGCACGAUUUCUGCAUCGAUGGCGUUCCUUUGGAAACCCCGGACCACAAGCCUUGUGCCGUUACACAACCCAUUAGCUGGAUCAAUGUUUCUCAACAGUAUAACGGGGCAAUUUAACUUCAGUUUGAGCGCAUGCGGAGGCAGCCCGUUGGGAGUCAGGUUGUUCAGGAACUCUGGGGCAUAGUAGCCGUGUGGAUCAUCCUCUGCAAUAUCAAAACUGUGGUAGAUCUUCUCUUCGCCCUGGAAGCGCUCUAUCAUGCGUGUGUUUAUCUUAUCAACGUUGUCAUUCUUGGUGGAGAGGAUCGCUCGAGAUGUCAUGUAAUUUGGAUCAGCCAUGUUGUUGUCUAGAGCAGGAAAUACAUGGUCGAUUAGCUUCUCUAGGUCAACGCCGUCCUCUGUUGGCUGCACACAAAUAUCUUCAGGGAGCCUUAUGUUGCCUUCCUCAUCGGUUUCCUCGGUGCCGUUGCCUACCCUUAGCAAGUAAUCUGCAAACCACGGGUCGUUAUGCGCUCUCAUGUUGGUGACGAGCCUUAGUUGGCGCAUGCCCUUCCAUAGGUACGAACUCCGCAAGGUCGCAUCGAUUAUCUGACCUCGUGACCCCUUCCUGACGACCGGAAGCACCUGCCUAAAGUCCCCACCGAACACGACAGUCUUUCCCCCGAAUGGUCGGUCCCGUCGUCCCAUGAUGUCCCGCAUGCUAUUGUCCAGUGCCUCAACCGCUUGCCGCUUCGUCAUGGUGGCCUCGUCCCAUAGGAUGAGUGAAGCCAUGUGCAGGAGCUUGGCUGUUCCACUUUGCUUGGUGAAGCUGCACGACCCCCCAUCUUCAAUGCUGAGUAGGAUCUUGAACCUCGAGUGGGCUGUCCUUCCUCCAGGCAUGAUGGAAGCCGCGACGCCUGACGUCGCCGUAGCCACCGCGAUCUUGCCCUCGCCUCGAACCUUUGUGAGUAGUGCCUUGUAUAGGAAGGUCUUCCCGGUGCCUCCUGGGCCAUCGACAAAGAAUACACCCCCAUCACCAGCAUCGACUGCUGCCAGUAUCUCGUCGUAUGCAAGCCUUUGCUCAGGGUUUAGUGAGGACGCUAAAGCAGCAUCGUUCGCGUCAACCUCGAUGGAUGACUCCUCGGUGACUUCUCUGGCCUCGCCUCCAGUAGUGUCAUAGGUCUCGUCGAUGUCCGGAAGAAGGAACAACGCUAUGUCUUUGCCCAUGGACUGUAGCAUGCCCCUAAUGUCAAGCAACACCAUCUGUUCCACUGCCUUUGAGCACGUGUGUGAUCGGCGGUAGUCAUCAGACAUCGCCUCUAGGUGCCUAUCCCAUAGACCGCGCACGUCACCUGGCUCGCAGAAUACCAAGAUUGUUGCAAAGAGCCUCCUGAGUGAGGCUGGCAUCGCGAACUGUGUUGACUCUGUAAGACACUCGUCAAGCGUGUUGUCGGCCUCGAUGAGGCCCAAUCUCUCGGCAGCCUCACGGAAGCUAUCACAGAGCACACCGUCCACGGUCCGCAGGUCCUCGAAGGAUGUCUUGCCUGGUACAUGGUUGAGCAGCACUCGCAGAAAGUACCGCUCCCCCUCGGCUGGAUGGGCUGACACGAUUCGACCUACUUGGUGCUGCUUUUCUCUCGGCCUCCAGUACUUAUGUCUCUGCCAUGUGAAACUUCCCGGAAAGUCCUUGUACAGGAUAUCCCGAGCCCACACGUGCUGCUGAUUAGCAAGGAAAUACUCCGUCAGCAUUGAUUUAGAUGCAUUAUCACGGGCAACGACAUCGAUCAGGUCCUCUCCUGCUUUGAACGUGACAAUAUUCAUAUUAGGGAGAUGAAGCGGCAACUGUAGGACCGACGGGAAACUCUCAGAAAGGUUGAAGCCGAAUAUCCUCCACAUCGCCUCCGGUGGAGUAACCCAUCUCGCAUCAACGUACCUUUUAAUCUCGUCUACAACCCCAUUGCUGUCAGGCUGGUCAAUGCUGAAUGAAGCUCGAUCGUGACCCUUGUAUACGUAUUUGUAAAGGUACUUGACGGCCUUGAUGCUGGAGCACACCUCGACAUUUAUGUGGCAGUUGAACAUCCGCAACAGAUAAGGGUUAUAAGGCACGACCCAUCUAUUAUCCAGCAUUUGACGGCGUACCUUAGCCUGACGACCAUCGUCCCGCCGUCGAUAAACCGGGUAUGAAUCCUUCCCCUGUAAGGUGUUCUGGUUGAACGGUCGUGGGUACUUGCUCUUGCACUUCAAGUCUUGCAUGCACACAUUUUUGGGAUUAAGAUUGCCACAUGGUCCGUGCAUCAUAUGCUUCACGACCAUGGCAUAGAGCUCUGGAUACUUAUGCCUGUCCGGGAGCUCUGCCGAUAUGAGGCGAUCAUACUGCUCUGGCACCACGAGUUUAUAAUUUGAAUUCAUGAUCAGCAGGAAGUGUGCAUGGGGGAGGCCUCUCUUCUGGAACUCAACGACAUACACAUACGCUACCACAACACCAAGGAUGUGUUUUUUGAACAACAUUUGUUUCAUGGUCUCUAGCUUGGCCUUGAACACGCGUGCGACAAGAUCUGGUCGGUCCUGGGGUGUCUGGCCAGGAAGCAGCUCAUUCAGUAUCUCCUCCCAGCUAGGAUUGCAUGUCAUAGUCAAAAAGAUGUCAGGCUUCCCAUAUGUCUGCACCAGUGCCAUGGCGUCCAUAUGCCUCCGCUUCAUGUCUCGGUUGCUUCCUUGAUGCGUCCCUGGUAACACAAUCCUCUUCCCAACAGCGCUCGCUCGCAUCUCCCCAACCGCGAUGCUAUCCACAAGGCCUUGGUAUAGAUCGGCACGUAUCUCUGUCUGGUGGUCCCUGAUCCACUUCAGCCUACAUCCCUCAAUCUUGAUGAACAUGUCGACACCCCACUGCUGAAACAGGCGUGCUCCGUGCAGUAUGGGGUUGAAUAUCGCANNNNNNNNNNNNNNNNNNNNNNNNNNNNNNNNNNNNNNNNNNNNNNNNNNNNNNNNNNNNNNNNNNNNNNNNNNNNNNNNNNNNNNNNNNNNNNNNNNNNNNNNNNNNNNNNNNNNNNNNNNNNNNNNNNNNNNNNNNNNNNNNNNNNNNNNNNNNNNNNNNNNNNNNNNNNNNNNNNNNNNNNNNNNNNNNNNNNNNNNNNNNNNNNNNNNNNNNNNNNNNNNNNNNNNNNNNNNNNNNNNNNNNNNNNNNNNNNNNNNNNNNNNNNNNNNNNNNNNNNNNNNNNNNNNNNNNNNNNNNNNNNNNNNNNNNNNNNNNNNNNNNNNNNNNNNNNNNNNNNNNNNNNNNNNNNNNNNNNNNNNNNNNNNNNNNNNNNNNNNNNNNNNNNNNNNNNNNNNNNNNNNNNNNNNNNNNNNNNNNNNNNNNNNNNNNNNNNNNNNNNNNNNNNNNNNNNNNNNNNNNNNNNNNNNNNNNNNNNNNNNNNNNNNNNNNNNNNNNNNNNNNNNNNNNNNNNNNNNNNNNNNNNNNNNNNNNNNNNNNNNNNNNNNNNGUGAAAUAAGAAGGUUAGGUACCAUAUGGAAGGAUAGAGAACUUUUUGUGGCAUAUAAGCAUACCAACCAGGCGCACCUGAAUCGUUAUCACGGUUUCUUCUUGGUUGUUGUGCAACCUCCCAAGGGACAUUGUGCUUAGGGAUAUUUGGAUGCCAACCAAGCUCCCCCCUUGGGAAAAAGAGGGGAUACGAAAGCGGGUCAUAACAGCCAUCUGUGGCAUGUAUACUAUACUUCUCGUUGUUGUCCCCAUAGAGUGUAAUGCUGCGGUUGAACCUGUUUGCUAGAUCGCUUCCCUCGACCCAAAUCGCAGCCACCUCGGAUGACACGGGUCUGUUAUAUCUUCGUUGGUCUAGCUUCUGGUCAAUGUUGAGGUCUAUCCGGUACUCCUCGAGAUUUUCCUUAUGGGCACCCAAACUCCUAAACUGCUGGGAGUAGGGGUUUUCCCUGAGGACGUCCACUAACUUGCUGACAACGUGCUGGUCCAAUUGCUUGGUGGCCUCCUUGCGAUGGUUUAAGCUGGGAUCGUCGUCGUAGAAGUACAACUGCAAAUGUCCAGGGCGAGAUCUUGGACCGAACGAGUGCACCUUGUGGUACAUAGUGCCAUGUGCUCGAAACGUGUACACCCCGGACUUCAUGUUUGUGUAGUUGUUGUCUAGGCUGACGCCAAGGGUAGUGAAGGUGAAGUGCCCGUUGAAGAACCGAAUGCUCUCUCGGAAAUGCCGAGAGUCUGCAUCCGCGCUUGACCAUAACCUCAUCAGCUCUGGGAUAGGCUCGCGUUCAGCUAGCUCAAUCUCCCCGUUCCGACAGCAGAAGCCGUUAGUCUCGUACUGGAACUUCUUGGCCUUGCAAUGGUCGCAGUUUGCCGCGUGCUUCAGGAUGUGCGUGCUGUCUGGGAUGUUCGAGUAGACAUAGUCGAAAGGAUCUAGGUCGAUAGAUCCCGUGUUGGAGGAUUCUACGGGCUCAUCGAGGUCCGUGCUAUCAGUGUCAGAUGUUGCAAGCAUUGUGGAGAUAUAACAAGUCACGAUGGGAUGCACAUCAUAAACCAAUAAUAUAGAGGGACGGGCAGCGAAGGACGCCUGGGAGUACCUUGACCGCCAAAUAGGUAGUACUCAUCAUCCAUGAGGUCACCGGAAAGUCCAUUCUCGUCCAUGAUGCCACUAAGGAAGGCUUCCAUGUCAGCUGCAACAUUGUUGAGCCGGUAAGUAAUGGUUUAGUGUGAGUGGUCACCGGGAGGGGAGUAAAGGUGAGAGGGUUACCAUCGGUCCCGAUGGUGUAAGACGGCGUGCUCGACGAAGGGGAGGAAGCCGGUGAAGCAGCUCCUGUGGGCGGUGUUUCUGAGCUUGUUGCUGCUCUGUUCACAUGCAAGGUACUUGGGUGUGGAGACCUCCGCUUAGCUGCAAAGCUUGCAUUACGACGAUCUAGCAACGCUGACCUCUCACCUUCUACUAUGCUUUUCCUGUGCACUCUUCGUUUUUCGGCACUCCCUUGAAUGUUCUUUACCGCCAUAGCUCGUUUGUGAGCUCGCUCGUGAGCCCUACGUUGUGCUCUGGUCUCCUGGCUCUGCUCAUGGGCUUGAUUCUGGUUUUCAUGUAUUCGCUGAUCAUUGGUUUGCUGCGAGGCAUUUAUGAGUUCGUCGGCGGCCUCAUUAUUGUCCAGGGUACGACUAAUGUACUCGCCUGCACGGUUGAGGAGCUGGUAAAUACUGGUCCAACUCACAUGGACAUAACAAGUAGAGUAGAGAUGGGAGGAUUACCGUCUGAUUCGAAGCUGUAACCAGCCUUACUCACUAACUGGGGGGAAGGAGCUGAAGCGGCGGGGUCUCUGGCAUGAGUAGUCGACAUCAGGUUGGGCGUAGCUAAGGUAGCUGCAUCUGGGCGCGGCAUUGCGAUGGAUUCAGCGCAAGGGAUGUUGCGCCUAGCCGUGAGUAUUGCAUUGCGCUGAGCUAGCAUCUUUUGUUUCUCCUUGGGUGGUAUGUUCUGCACACGUGCUCUUCGGCGGGCGUUUGUCUCCUGCUUCUCCUCGUCUGUCAUAUUUUGGUAUGCCACCCUUCUGCAGUAAUUCCUCUCUUGAUUCUCCUCGACCGGCAUAUUUUGGUAGGACGCCCUUCUGCAGCUGUUUCUCUCUUGCUUGUCCUCGACCAUCAUAUUUUGGUAGGCCGCCCUUCUAAGGGUGUUACUUUGUUGCUUCUCCUCUGCUGUCAUCCGUUGCCUGGCUUCUCUCUGACGGGCAUUCCUCUCCUCGUCUGUUUUCUUCUUCCUAGCUGCUCUGCGGUGUGCAUUGAUUUUCUCCUUCUCUUCAGGUGUUAGUCUAUCCCGCCGUGCUCUGUAUUGUUCUCGCCUUUUCUGUUUUUUGUCAGAUGUAAUGAUUGCAUUUGAAGCAAUGUGUUCAAGACCAGUGUGUGAGGUGUUGAGUCCAACCGCUAUAUCUGAGCCAAUAUUAUGCUCGAUGCUGCUUUGUGUUCCUUGAAGUGAUACACGGUGAUCAUAGUAAGUGGCUUCACGAGAGUGAUUUCCUGAAAAACCAUUGUGUGGACCACUUAGGUUAACAAAUGUAUAAAUGCAAGCUGAAAUUUUUUUAUGCGUAAGGUCGAUACCGAUUGGCGUUUGAACAUGUUGUACUGGCUGAAAGGCUGUGAGAUUGCCGGCUAUGGGAACCAUCAUAGCCACAUGUGUGUGCACAUUGUCAUCAUCAUCGGAAGACGAAACACUGUAGUCAGUGGUGUCCGUUUGUUCUCGUAUGAAGAAACCAGAUGGUGGCCGGGGUGUAUUGGUGGGUUGUGAUCUUGGUGUCCUCUCAUAAUCAAAAACUGAUAAAAUUAAGCUAGGCUAAGUUCUGAAAGCUUAUUGAAGACCUUAUGUUGAGACAUGUGAGUGGCAUACACAUACCUCUUUUCCCUUUAUCAUACAGAUGCCCUCUGUCCUGUGACAUCUCUAUGUCCUAUAACUUUAUGUUCUUAUUACCUGCAUUCUUUUGCAUUACAAAAAUGAUUAGAUGGUUACUGUAAUUAUGACGAUAUUAGCAAUACAGAUUGGGGGAAUAAGUGCCAUUCUGAAACGUUCUGCAGUUGCUGUGAUUUCUUUGCAUUGGGUGUACUUGCUGGAAAGCAGUGUUGGUUUUGUAAAGGAUCUAUAUGUUUUCAUGCAUGAAUUUCACUUCAGUUCAUAAGAAGACGGUGUUGUUCUAACUUUUACUUCUAACAUAUCAGGAUAACUCAGUCGAGAACUUUAAAAGAGCAAACAAGAUUCUGGCUUCGGAGUCUGAGCCGGUAAUUUCUGAUUAUUUUCGCUUGAAUGUGUAAAGUUUUGUGUUUCUUUUCUUCGAUCACAUGUCUAUUUAUAUUUAGGUUCAAAUAUGGGAUUUCUCUGCGCGAACAACCUUCAUAUGGAUGAAUGAAUGGAACCGUAUGCCCCAAGAUCCUCGGUCUAAGAUCCUCGGCCUUCUGACCAGGAGGUCAUAUCUUCUCGAUCUAAUUUGCCAUUCUAUUGCCUAUGCUUAAUUUCUUGCAUAAGAUUGUUAUAAAUUAAUUGUACAGUUGUGUUGGUCAUAGUCUUUUAUCUCCUAGCUACUUCAUAAGGCUUUUCUACUGCAUUACUACUAAUUAGCCAAAUUAAUCACCAUUUCUGUUAUUUCCUCCUGCAACAACGUAAUUUUAUUUGAAUGCGGAGCACUGGAACGCUAUAUUGCUGGUUUUUUGAGUAAACAUUCACUGUCCUAAUGAAAAAUUUCUACUUUAGUGACUUGAAUUUUCAUGUGCACAUGGGUAGCAAGUAAGUAAUAGUUGCUUUUAAGCGGGUUGAAAUUGAAAGUAUGCUUAUAGCCCCCAUCUUCUCCGAGCUUUUGAAAUCUAACCUCGGCUCAAUGCUGGAGUGCUAAAUUCGGCUGAUGCCUGAAGUUCUACUUAUGUCUGGCAAGUUAUAAGCAUGUUUAGCAUUGUAUAUAUUGGUACUGGUACCCCCCUCCCUCCAUAAUAUCAAAGACGAUGACCGAUCUGGAUUGAGCCGGCUUCCUCAAAAUAGAUGAGUUGGCUUCUGCUAGGUUAAUCCAGACUCGACUGGCCUGACUAAACAAAGUAUACACCAUGUUGUACUUAUGCUUUUGUUCAGUCCUUAAAGGUUGAGUUAAGUAUCUUUGUAAUGUAGGUAAUUUGCUCAGACAUCAUGAAUGCAUUUUAUUUGUAGGCAACAGGUGAGGAUGGUGGCAGGAGGAUGUACCUGCGGCGUGAGGAGAUGGGUGCAGGAACAGCCGGCGCGCGGAGGUGGCUGGUUCCGACGGCCUCAGGUGAGGAUGGUGGCAGGAGGAUGUACCUGCGGCGUGAGGAGAUGGGUGCAGGAACAGACGGCCUUGGUGAGCAACACCAUGAGAGGAGAUGGGUGCAGGAACAGACGGCCUUGGUGAGCAACACCAUGAGACGGGAGCAGAGGUUGCUGGUUCCGGCGUGGCCGGACUGGUUCCGUUCCGGCGGAUGUGGCCGGAGGGCGAGUAUGGGUCCAGCGAGAGGAAAAACUGGCGUUCCUGGUGACGUGCGAUGACGGCUCGAUGGAGCUUCCGCACUUGUUUCUUUGUUUGGUUUGGCUGGGACGUGUCUUUUUUUUGGUUUGUUUUUUUGGUCAAUGCAUGGAGUACUGUUGUUUUUCUUUGGCCGGUGCGUGAUCGUGGUACUGUUGUUUUUCUUUGGCCGGUGCGUGAUCGUGGAUUGAGUCGUAACUGUUGUUUUUCUUUGGCCGGUGCGUGAUCGUGGGCUGAGUUGGUGGAGAUGUAUCUGAUCGUGGGCUGAGUUGGUGGAGAUGUAUCUGAUCGUGGGCUGAGUUGGUGGCGAUGUAUCUGGUUCAUGGGCCGUGUUAGCAACGGGAUGCGAUCGAGGGUGGGGUUGCGGUCGAACCAUCACGACGACGACUGCAUAUCCCCCUUUAAUAGUAGAGAUUGGUCUAACGGGUCAAGCAAGCUUUUCUUCCUGGAAAAAACCAACUAUCGAGCUCUAACGGAAUUGCUAUUGCACAUGUAGAUUAAAACGAUCCACCGCCUCGCGGGUCGUUGGAUGUGACAUAAUCCUAUGGCUCAACGUCUCUCUUUACUUCGCAACAAAGAUCUUGUUGCGGAAACAUUUACAAUAAAGAUUAUGUUGCAGAAUAUAUUCUGCAACAUAGGUUGUAUUGCGGGGUUUUUUUUUGCAACAAAGUUUUUGUUGUAGAUUUGUUUUUUGCAACAAAGGUUUUGUUACAGUUUUUUUUGUAACAGAGCUGAUGUUACAAAAGAUUGUCUAAGUUGCAGUCGUCUGGUUCGGAACACCACCGUUGUUCCAGGAUAAGGUAGAGGACACGUGGUAGACAAGAGAAAUAACGGAGUGUGUGUGCGAGUGUGGGUGACGGUGCAUGGAUCAAGGCGAUCCAAGGCUGUUAUGCGUAGGCUGGCGGAUCUUUUAAAAAGGCAUGUCGGCUCGCGAGCCAUCGUAUCAGGUGGAUUGAGCGAUCGAGCAUCACUUUUUAUCAUUGCAAUACAGGUCAUGUUGUAAGAAAUUCCUGCAUCACUGGUCAUGUUACAGAAUUUUUUGCAACAUAUGUUAAGUUGCAGAUUUUUUUACAGCACAUGUCUUUUUACAAGUUUUUUUUUUCUUGUAACAGAGCUCUUGUUGCAAUUUAGUUUUUUUACAAUAUUUUUCUGCAACACAAGUCUUGUUACAUUUUCUUGCAACAUAUAGUUUGCUGCAGAAAGUAUUGUAGAGGACAGUGAACAACGCUCAGCGGUCACAUUGACUGAAAGAAAGAAAAAGAUAAAACCGUCCAGGCAGGACAUGCGCCACAUGAACAAGCCGGCGGAUCGCACCGCGAGUGUUCGCCGGUUGAAGCCAAGCUUUUUCCAUAUAUUUAAGGAAAAGCUUACCUUCAACCGGCCGAUCGCAAGGUCCGUCCGCCGGCUCCGUGUCCGUCAGAUCAUCAGCUGAUCAGACGGACGAGAGCAAGCCCACCCUCACCUCUGUGUACACAUCGUUUCUGCAACUGAGCAGUUGUUUUGGAAGGGAGUCUCAACUUACUGGCCCUUUUUUGCAGCGGCGCUCAGUGACUCUUGCAGCUGGAGGGCAAUGGAGGCAAGGAAUCUCACCAGAUCCGACAAGGAUAGGGUGCGGGCAGGAGGCGGGGACGUCCGGGAGCCAUGAGGGACGGCGACUCGUGCGGCUAGGAUUCCAGCCGGAUUCGACGAGGAUGACCCGCGGGCAGGAGGUGGGGACGUCCAAGAGCGGCGGGGGCUCGUCUCGGCGAGGUUCGGCGGGGUUGACGGUGAGCGUCAUAGCAAGGACCUGCGACGGCAGCGGCUCACGGUGCUCUUUCUGCACAGUAUGUUUUCUGAACAAAGCUCUUGUUGUGAUAGUAAGGUGUGUUUCUGAAACAAUGCUCUUGUUGCAAAGAGAAACCAUAUGCAGAGAUGCUUUUGACAACGUCGUCAAAGUUUCUGAAACAAAGCUCUUUUUUUACAAUAUUCACUGGUGUUUCUGAAACAAAACUCUUUGUUGAAAUAGUCAGCAUUAUUUCUGAAACAACACUCUUGUUGCGAAGUGGGAUAGUAUGUUGAGAAACUUAUAUCAGACGGCUGGCGAGGUGGCGAAUAUUUAAAAAAAAUCCAUCGGCCGACGCGUAGCACUCCCCUUAAUUUAGGACGCCAAUAACUGCCACACGUGUGGCAUAUCGUGAUGCGGAGCAUCCCACAUUUAUCCCCAUGUACACUCCGACUACUCUCCAAGCCCCAAGAGGACAUAUGACAAGACCUCGAACAUACGCCAUCGGACGCAAGGUGAACUCGCUCCUCUUCGAACCAUCACUUUCCAUACGUGAUACGUGGCUACUACCUCAAACAUGUGUGCUAUGCAUGACCAGGAACCAAGAGGAAGCCCAUGAACAAAAAAGUGAGGACACCAAGCGCGAGGAACGAGAAGAAGAGUUGCGGAAGAAGCUCCAGCCACCGGACGACAGGUCUGGACCGGACGUCCGACGCCUGAAGACCCACCGGACGACCGGUUCGGACCGGACGACCGGCGACCCCGCACCCGAGCCAAAAUGAGCGGACGUCCGACACACUCCAGCAUCCGGACGUCCGAUCGUCCCUGGAAAUCCGGUGCCACCUCAUCCGAGCCGAAACGCCGGACGUCCGACAAGUACCGGACGACCGGACCCUCGCAAGCCAUCGGACGUCCGAUACCUAUCAGACGUCCGACGCCUGUCUGUGCACAGAGAUCGGGCCCGAGGGCCAUGUACCCCUUCACUUCACCCCCAUUUGCACUAAGACUAUAAAUAGACCUUCUCCACCUACUAGUGAGGGUUAGCGCCGUGAUAGCUCAUUUGAGAGAUAGAGCUACGCUCAUCCAUAUUGGGUCUCCUCCUUGCGAGAGACCGCGACCUCUUCGGAGAAGAUCCCUUUGGAUUCAAGCCCCCUUUCUAAAGGAAGAUCCCCGUGGAUUCAAGACCUCCCCACGGAGAAGACCGGUUACCAUGUAUCAUCCCUAGUUGAUCGUGUACCGUGUAUCGUUCCAUGUAUCCGAGGAUCUAGCACAUGUGUGACCUAUUCAAGUUGGUUUGAGUGUUUUCUCUCGUUUUCCCCUUUGUGUUCUUCGUGCUCUUCACGGGAUUCCGCUCCUUUCGUGAAAGAUCGGACGAUAGGGUUCCUACCCUACAUCAUCUUGGUAUCAUGAGCCACGUUGAUCACGAUUUCGGAGCCUCCCCUCAUUGUUUUCUAGCCUAAUUUUGUUGUGUUCUUCCCCAAAUUCGAAAAUCCCCACCAAAAUAGCCCCAAUUUUUUUUUGUGAUUUGUUCGUUUGAUGAAGUUUUGUUGGAUUUGAUCCAUGGAUUUGCUUGGUUUCGAGUGGAUCUAGCAUUUCCCCAAUUUUCCCCACUUUCCAUCCACGAAAUCUCAUCAAUUUUGACCCCAAAAUCUCCAUUUUCCGCCCAAAAUCGCGCCCCGGAUCUCGCAUCUCGCGUUGACCCCGACCCCCGGACGACCGGCCCUUUCAAGGACGUUCGAAGCCCCUCGACCGACCGGACGUCCGACCUUUUCCGGACAACCAGAGCCCCUAACCCGAGCCUAAUUUACGGACUUCCGAGCCCGCCCGGACGUCCGGCCCCCGGACAUCCGACACCUGUAGUUUCCCAUUUCAGCAGAUUUUUGUUUCAGCCAUAACUAAUUCAUUCGGAGUUCGAUUUUCGCGUUCUUUAGCUCGUUGAAAAGCUCUUGACAUCCUCCUUCCCACAAAAAUACAACCAACAUCUUUUGACUCCAUCAAAUUUUUUAAACUUUGGCAUCUUUGCCUAGGGCUUCCACCACAUCAUCCGCUACACCACCACCGACUUCCGCAACCUAACCAAUUUUGUUCCCCAUCGCAUUAGUGGUUGCUUGAGGAGUGAUUUGAGUCUCCUAAGGUGUCUAGGCUACUUAGGGAUGAUUGCUUCUUCAUCAACCACCACCACCACCAUAACUUCCUGAUACAUCUUCGUCGUAUCUACUUUUCCAAACACUUUUGCCCUUAUUUUGCACUCUAACUUACAUGAUUUGAAUGGAACUAACCCGGACUGACAUUGUUUUCAGCAGAAUUGCCACGGUACUAUUUAUGUGCAGAAACAAAAGUUCUCAAAAUGACCUGAAACUCCACGGAGCGUAUUUUUGGAAAUAAUAAAAAAUACUGGCAAAAGAUCAAGACCAGAGGAGCCACACCCUAGCCACGAGGGUGGGGGGCGCACCUGCCCCCCUGGGCGCGCCCCCUACCUUGUGGCCCCCUGGAGCUCCUCCGACCUCAACUCCAACUCUAUAUAUUCACUUUCGAGGGAAAAAAUCAGAGAGAAGGAUUCAUCACGUUUUACGAUAUGGAGCCGCCGCCAAGCCCUAAAACCUCUCGGGAGGACUGAUCUGGAGUCCGUUCGGGGCUCCGGAGAGGGGAAUCCGUCACCGUCGUCUUCAUCAACCAUCCUCCAUCACCAAUUUCAUGAUGCUCACCACCGUGCGUGAGUAAUUCCAUCGUAGGCUUGCUGGACGGCGAUGGGUUGGAUGAGAUUUAUCAUGUAAUCGAGUUAGUUUUGUUAUGGUUUGAUCCCUAGUAUCCACUAUGUUCUGAGAUUGAUGUUGCUAUGACUUUGCUAUGCUUAAUGCUUGUCACUAGGGACCGAGUGCCAUGAUUUCAGAUCUGAACCUAUUAUGUUUUCAUCAAUAUAUGAGAGUUCUUGAUCCUAUCUUGCAAGUCUAUAGUUACCUACUAUGUGUUAUGAUCCGGCAACCCCGAAGUGAAAAUAAUCGGGACCACUCCCGGUGAUGAUCAUAGUUUGAGGAGUUCAUGUAUUCACUAUGCGUUAAAGCUUUGGUCCGGUACUCUAUUAAACAGAGGUCUUAAUAUCCCUUAGUUUCCGCUAGGACCCGCUGCCACGGGAGGGUAGGACAAAAGAUGGCAUGCAAGUUCUUUUCCAUAAGCACGUAUGACUAUAUUCGGAAUACAUGCCUACAUUACAUUGAUGAAUUGGAGCUAGUUCUGUAUCACCCUAGGUUAUGACUGUUACAUGAUGAACCGCAUCCGACAUAAUUCUCCAUCACUGAUCCAUUGCCUACGAGCUUUCCAUAUAUUGUUCUUCGCUUAUUUACUUUUCCAUUGCUACUGUUACAAUUACUAUAAAACACCAAAAAUAUUACUUUUGCUACCGUCACCUUUUGCCACCGCUACCAGUACUAUCAUAUUACUUUGCUACUAAAUACCUUGUUGCAGAUAUUAAGUUAUCCAGGUGUGGUUGAAUUGACAACUCAGCUGCUAAUACUUGAGAAUAUUCUUUGGCUCCCCUUGUGUCGAAUCAAUAAAUUUGGGUUGAAUACUCUACCCUCAAAAACUGUUGCGAUCCCCUAUACUUGUGGGUUAUCAAGACUAUUUUCUAGCGCCGUUGCCGGGAGCAUAGCUCUAUUCUUUGAGUCACUUGGGAUUUAUAUCUGCUUAUCAUUAUGAAGAACUUGAAAGUUCCAAGAACCAAGAUUUAUCCCUCAACUACGAGGGGAGGUAAGGAACUGCCAUCUAGCUCUGCACUUGAUUCACCUUCUGUUUUGAGUAAGCUUGCGACACCUAAACCUUCUUCUGCUAUUUCUGAUAUGUCGCAUGUUAUUGAUGAUGCCACUUCUGCUAUGCAUGAUACUUAUGAUGAAACUACUUCUAUGCUUGAUACUACUAUGCCACUUGGUGAAUUUCUUGAUGAACAACUUGCUAGGGUUAGAGAGAAUGAAAUUAUUGAAACUGAUAAUAUUGAUGAAAGUGAUGAUGAAGACUCUCCCCCUAAUAAAUAUGAAUUGCAUGUUGUUCCUGAGGGUUAUGUUAUGGAUGAAGAAGCUACUAGAGCUAUUUUAGCUUGCAAUGAUAGAUAUGAUCUAAAGAGGUUAUUAGCUAAAUGGAAGCAGCAAUCUCUUAAUGCUAGAAUGAAACCUGACCCUGCUUUUGCUACUUCACCUAUCUGUGUUACUGAUAAGGAUUAUGAAUUCUCUGUUGAUCCUGAUAUAAUUACUUUGGUUGAAUUUGAUCCUUUUUAUGGCUUUGAAUCUGAAACUGUUGUGGCACAUCUUACUAAAUUAAAUGAUAUAGCUACCCUGUUCACUAAUGAUGAGAGAACUCGCUACUUUUAUAUCCUUAAAAUAUUUUCGUUCUCAUUAAAGGGUGAUGCUAAGAUAUGGUUUAAUUCACUUGAUCCUGGUUGUGUGCGUAGUCCCCAGGAUAUGAUUUAUUACUUCUCUGCUAAAUAUUUCCCUGCUCAUAAGAAACAAGCUGCUUUAAGGGAUAUAUAUAUAUAUAUAUAUAUAUAUAUAUAAUUUUGUGCAAAUUGAAGAAGAGAGUCUCCCACAAGCUUGGGGGAGGCUUCUCCAAUUACUUAAUGCUUUGCCUGAUCAUCCUCUUAAGAAAAAUGAAAUACUUGAUAUCUUUUAUAAUGGACUAACCGAUGCUUCCAGAGAUUACCUGGAUAGUUGUGCUGGUUCUGUUUUCAGUGAAAGAACACCGGAUGAAGCUGAAAUUCUAUUGAAUAAUAUGUUGACUAAUGAAAAUAAUUGGACACUUCCUAAGCCUAUUCCUAAACCAACUCUGAAGAAGAGAGGUGUUCUAUUUCUCAGUCCUGAAGAUAUGCAAGAGGCAAAGAAAUCCAUGAAAGAAAAGGGUAUUAAAGCUGAAGAUGUUAAGAAUUUACCUCCUAUUGAAGAAAUACAUGGUCUUAAUUUACCGCCUACUGAAGAAAUACAUGGUCUUGAUAACCCGACACAGAUAGUAAAGGUAAAUUCUCUCUAUAGAUAUGAUAAAGCUGAAAUCCCAUUUACUAAGUUUGCUAGCCCAUGCUUAGAUGAGUUUGAUAAAUUUAUGGUUAAGCAAGAAGACUUCAAUGCUUAUUUUGGUAGAGAAUUAAAACACAGUGCUGAUAUGCUUGAACACUUGGGUGACUAUAUGGCUAAUGUCAAAGGUGAACUUAAACUUAUUAGUAAACAUGCUUCUAUGGUUACCACUCAAGUAGAACAAGUACUUAAAGCUCAAAAUGAUUUGCUCAAUGAAUUGAAUAGUAAGAAUAAUGAUUUUGUUGUUAGAGUGGCUACUAGAACUGGUAAAAUGACUCAGAAACCUUUGUAUCUUGAAGGCCACCCUAAGAGAAUUGAAAGGAAGAAAAAGAAGAAUGAUAGGACUUUGCAUGCUUCUAGUGAACCUAUUACUGAAACACCUGAGAAUCCAAAUGAUAUUUCUAUUUCUGAUGCUGAAACACAAUCUGGUAAUGAACCUGAAACUAGUGAUAAUAUUAAUGAUAAUGUUCAUGAUGAUGCUCAACCUAGCAAUGAUAAUGAUAUAGAAAUUGAACCUGCUGUUAAUCUUGAUAACCCACAAUCAAAGAAUCAACGUUAUGAUAAGAGAGACUUUGUUGCUAGGAAACAUGGUAAAGAAAGAGAACCAUGGAUUCAGAAACCCAUGCCUUUUCCUCCCAAACCAUCCAAGAAAAAGGAUGACGAGGAUUUUGAGCGCUUUGCUGAAAUGAUUAGACCUAUCUUUUUGCGUAUGUGAUUAACUGAUAUGCUUAAAAUGAAUCCUUAUGCUAAGUACAUGAAAGAAAUUGUUACUAAUAAAAGAAAGAUACCGGAAGCUGAAAUUUCCACCAUGAUUUCUAAUUAUACUUUUAAAAGUGGAAUACCAAAGAAACUUGGAGAUCCAGGAGUACCCACUGCUCCAUUAAAAGAAACUAUGUUAAAACUGCUUUAUGUGAUCUUGGAGCCGGUGUUAGUGUUAUGCCUCUCUCUUUAUAUACUUAUACUUGAUUUGAAUAAGUUGACACCUACUGAAAUAUCUUUGCAAAUGGCUGAUAAAUCAACUACUAUACCUGUCGGUAUUUGUGAGGAUGUGCCUGUUGUGGUUGCAAAUGUUACUAUUUUAACGGACUUUGUUAUUCUUGAUAUUCCCGAGGACGAUAGUAUGUCUAUUAUUCUUGGAAGACCCUUUUUGAAUACUGCAGGGGCUGUUAUUGAUUGCAAAAAAGGCCAUGUCACUUUUCAUAUUAAUGGUAAUGAGCAUACGGUACACUUUCGGGGGAAACAACCUCAAGUACAUAGUAUCAAUUCUAAUGGAAAAAUUCCAUCGAUUAUUUUUGGAGGUUUUGAAUUUCCUCUACCUACUGUCAAGAAGAAAUAUGAUAUUCUUAUUGUUGGGGAUGUGCAUAUCCCCGUUGAGGUAACCUAGUGUUAUUCGAAAAUUCUCGGUUCCAUGUUAUUCGGAAUGAGUUUGUUAACAAGACUUGAUCAACCUUGUUAAUGGAUUCAUUGUGAUGAUCAUGAGAUGGAUUAAGUUAGAAAGAACAACCCCGUGUACCCUCCUUUUACCUUUUGUUAUUUAUAUUAAAUAAAGUAAAAAUAGUAUUUUCUGUCUGUUAUCUGAAUUAUCCGUGCAAUAUAAAAAUACCUAGAAAAAAAGUUCUCCAAAUGCCCUGAAAUUUAAAUAUGAUUUUUUCUGGAAUAUUUGAGAAUAUUUGGCACUGAGAACACAGCAGGGGAGCAUCCACCUGUCCACGAGGGUGGAGGCCGCGCCCUACCCCCCUGGGCGCGCCCCCCUGCCUCAUGGGCCCACGGUGGCCCUCCUCCACUUAUUCCUGCACCCACACACUCCUUCUUCCUCCCACAAACACCAUUAUCCAGCUCAAGCACGAGUUCUAGAUCAUUUUGCUGUGAUUUUCGAUCUCCUUGCUCAAAGCACCUCUCACAAAACUGCUUUGGGGGAUUGUUCCUUGGUAUGUGACUCCUCCAAUGGUCCAAUUAGUUUUUGUUCUAGUGCUUUAUUCAUUGCAUAUUUUUGCUGCCUAGGUGACCCUGUUCUUGAGCUUGCAUGUCAAAUUUAUGUGGUUCCAAGUAGUUUUGAUGCAUGAUAUAGGCUCUAGGCACUUGUAGGAGUAGUUGAUAUCAAUUUUGUUGAGUUUGGUUCACUUUUAUUUGAAGUUACUAAAAAUUUCAGAUUUUUUCAGAAAAUAAUGAAGAGAUUUUUGAGGGGCUCAUCGAGCCAAAGCUCGAAGGAAAAGCAAAAUGAAGAAGCAAAGAGGCCCAAAUAUAAUCUGCGUCGUAUCGCGGAGGUUCGGCCGUGUGAAUGGCCUUGUGAUGAUUUCUUGAGAGCAGCCGGGAUUUAUGAUGAUUUCUAUGAAUUGGCUGAGAAUGCAUGCCUCACCGCCUUCCUCCACGACUAGCGCGAACAGUAUCUCUUACUCACCAAUAUCUUUGUGCAAAACUUUCAUUUCCAUGAUAGGAGCUCACCACCUACGGUGGAGUUUUAUUUAUAUGAUGAGCAUAAGGAGAUGUCACUUCGUGAUUUUUGUUGGGUUUGUUUGAUCCCUUUUGAGGGCAUCAUAGAGGAACCACAUCACAGCUAUGUGGAUGGGUUUAUUGAUACCAUCACUGCAAGGGAAACGAGGAAGGUUUCCGAUGCACGAACUACUAGCAUACACUUUCCCGUUCUACGUUACUUUGCUAUAUUUGCUAGUAGAUACUUGAUUGGGCGCGGAAACUGUGGAAACCUGAGUGCCCCUGUUAUUGUUAUUUUGUGCCAUGCCUUAUUUCAUGAUGAUACAUUCAGCAUGGGUGCUAUUAUUGCAAAACGGUUAAAUCUUAACCGUACUAAGGGCCCCGUCUUUGGAGGCAUCUUCCCCUCGUGCCUAGCUACACAUUUUAACAUACCUAUUAGGCAUUAUGAGAAGGAAGAAAAAUUGCUACCUCUUGUUUAUUUAGAUUAUAAGAGUAUUGUAGCACACGAUUUUAUUGCUAAGAAUAGGGGAAAUGAGCUCAAAUACAAAUUGUUCUUUGAUAAACAUCAUCCUGGGACUAUUACCCUGCCUGCUCAUUCCUUGUUUGAUUUAUCUGCAGGCAAGUACCUUGUUCCGUUGGAGGCUAUUCACGCCUACCGGAACCCUACAUCAGCCAUAGAGCCAGAGUCGGAACCACAAGUUGAUCCUCCACGACAAUCUAAUUACCAGUGGGAUCCGGAGAUGAUUACCAACAAGUGGCAAUCAGAGUCUUCUUCUUUGCAGUACGACCCCAACUAUUACUAUGGAUAUCCGACAGGCCAACCGUGGCCAUAGACCAACUUAGGCGAAAAGCCUAAGCUUGGGGGAGUAUGUAUUUCCCACUGACAUUACAUUCAUGUUCACACACUCAUUGCAAGAUAUCGGUGCUCAUACUUUUUCAUUGUAAUAUCCAUGCUAGUUUAUUUCUUUUUUGUGCUUUCUUCUUGUGUGUUUGAUAAACCUUAAGAAAACAAAAAAAGCUGUAGCUUUUAAUUAGUUUACUUUCCAUGCUUGUAGUAGUAAUUAAAAAGAAAACCCAAAAAGAUUUCCUGUUCUUCUUUUUGCUUGUUGCGAACUUUCCCGUGUAAAUAGUUUUAUUUCUUUUCUUUGGGGGUCGAUAGGAGAAGACGAUGAUUAAAUUGUUAAAGUGGCUCUUAUUUGCAUUAUUGUUGAUCUAACAAAAGAGCCCAUAUUGCCUUGUCUUCUCCUGUUUAUUGAAUGCUUGCAGAUUCCAGCUUAGUCCAAUGCACAUGCACUGUUAUUAUUAUUCACAUCAUUCGGUCGUGCAAGUGAAAGGCAAUUAUGACGAUAUAUGAUGAACUGAUUGAGAUGGGAGAAGCUGGUAUGAACUCGACCUCUCUUGUUUUUGUAAAUAUGAUUAGUUCAUCAUUCCUGAUUCAGCCUAUUAUGAAUAAACAUGUUUGCAAUGACAAUUAGAGAUCAUAGUUUCUAAUGCCAUGCUUAAUUAACUAGGAGCUUAUAAUGGUUUACCUUGCAUGCCAACAUGUUAUUAAAAUGGUUGUGAUGUGGUAUGAUAGGGUGGUAUCCGCUUUUGAACGAUUUGAGUGGCUUGACUUGGCACAUGUUCACGCAUGUAGUUCAAACAAAAUCAACAUAGCCUCUACGAUAUUUAUGUUCAUGGUGCAAUAUAUCCUACCCAUGCUUGCAUUCGGUGUUGAUUAAUUUUAAUGCAUGUUCAUGACUGUUGUCGCUCUCUAGCUGGUCGCUUCCCAGUCUUUUUCUAGCCUUCACUUGUACUAAGCAGGAAUGCUGCUUGUGCAUCCAAUCCCAUAAACCCAAAAGUUAUUCCAUAUGAGUCCACCAUACCUACCUAUAUACGGUAUCUACCUGCCGUUCCAAGUAAAUUUGUAUGUGCCAAACUCUAAACCUUCAAAUAAACAUUCUGUUUUGUAUGCUCGAAUAGCUCAUGUAUCAACUAGGGUUGUCCGUAUCUUCCAUGUUAGGCGGGUUAUUCUCAAGAGGAGUGGACUCCGCUCCUCACUCACGAGAAAAUGGUUGGUCACCGGGAUGCCCAGUCCCAUGCUUUAUGCAAAUCAAAUCAAAAUAAUUGCAAACAAAACUCCACCUGGGACUCUUGUUAGUUGGAGGCACUCGUUGUUUCGAGCAAGCCAUGGAUUGAUGCUUGUUGGUGGAGGGGGAGUAUAAACUUUACCAUUCUGUUUGGGAACCGCCUAUAAUGUGUGUAGCAUGGAAGAUAUCGCUAUCUCUUGGUUGUUAUGUUGACAAUGGAAGUAUACCACUCAAAAUAUUAUUCAUCUCUAUUUUAAAAUUGAGCUCUGGCACCUCUACAAAUCCCUGCUUCCCUCUGCGAAGGGCCUAUCAAUUUACUUUCAUGUUGAGUCAUCAUCUUCUUAUUAAAAAGCACCAGUUGGAGAGCACCACUGUCAUUUGCAUUCAUUACUGUUAGUUUACAUUGAGUAUGACUUGACUGAAUCUCUUUUACCAUGAAUUACAAUGUCUAGUCAGUCCUUGAUCCUUAAAGGUGUUCUGCAUUUAUGUUUUGCGGUCUCAGAAAGGGCUAGCGAGAUACCAUCUUGUUAUAUCAUAUUAUGAUAGUUUUGAGAAAGUGUUGUCAUCCGAGAUUUAUUAUUAUUGCUCGCUAGUUGAUUAUGCCAUUGAUAUGAGUAAACAUGAGACCUGAGGGUCAUUGUGAAUAUGGUUAGUUCAUAAUCUUUGCUGAAAACUUGAAUGCUGGCUUUACAUAUUUACAACAACAAGAGCAAACAGAGUUUGUAAAAGUUUUUCUUUAUCACUUUCAGUUUGUCAACUGAAUUGCUUGAGGACAAGCAAAGGUUUAAUCUUGGGGGAGUUGAUACGUCUCCGUCGUAUCUACUUUUCCAAACACUUUUCCCUUGUUUUGGACUCUAACUUGCAUGAUUUGAAUGGAACUAACCCGGACUAACGUUGUUUUCAGCAGAAUUGCCAUGGUGUUAUUUAUGUGCAGAAACAAAAGUUCUCGGAAUGACCUGAAACUCCACGGAGCGUAUUUUUGGAAAUAAUAAAAAAAUACUAGCAAAAGAUCAAGACCAAGGGGGCCACACCCUAGCCACGAGGGUGGGGGACGCGCCUGCCCCCCUGGGCGCGCCCCCUACCUCGUGGGCCCCCUGGAGCUCCUCCGACCUCAACUCCAACUCUAUAUAUUCACUUUCGGGGAGAAAAAAAUCAGAGAGAAGGAUUCAUCGCGUUUUACGAUAUGGAGCCGCCACCAAGCCCUAAAACCUCUCGGGAGGGCUGAUCUGGAGUCCGUUCGGGGCUCCGGAGAGGGGAGAAUCCAUCACCGUCGUCAUCAUCAACCAUCCUCCAUCACCAAUUUCAUGAUGCUCACCGCCGUGCGUGAGUAAUUCCAUCGUAGACUUGCUGGACGGUGAUGGGUUGGAUGAGAUUUAUCAUGUAAUCAAGUUAGUUUUGUUAGGGUUUGAUCCCUAGUAUCCACUAUGUUCUGAGAUUGAUGUUGCUAUGACUUUGCUAUGCUUAAUGCUUGUCACUAGGGCCCGAGUGCCAUGAUUUCAGACCUGAACCUAUUAUCUUUUCAUCAAUAUAUGAGAGUUCUUGAUCCUAUCUUGCAAGUCUAUAGUCACCUACUAUGUGUUAUGAUCCGGCAACCCUGAAGUGACAAUAAUCGGGACCACUCCCGGUGAUGACCAUAGUUUGAGGAAUUCAUGUAUUCACUAUGUGUUAAUGCUUUGGUCCGGUACUCUAUUAAAAGGAGGCUUUAAUAUCCCUUAGUUUCCGCUAGGACCCCGUGAUAACCCACAAGUAUAGGGGAUCGCAACAGCUUUCGAGGGUAGAGUAUUCAACCCAAAUUUAUUGAUUCGACACAAGGGGAGCCAAAGAAUAUUCUCAAGUAUUAGCAGCUGAGUUGUCAAUUCAACCACACCUGGAAACUUAGUAUCUGCAGCAAAGUGUUUAGUAGCAAAGUAAUAUGAUAGUGGUGGUAGCGGCAACAAAAGUAAAGACAGCAAAAGUAAUGUUUUUGGUAUUUUGUAGUGAUUGUAACAGUAGCAGCGAGAAAGUAAAUAAGUGUAAACCAGUAUAUGGAAAACUCGUAGGCACCGGAUCAGUGAUGGAUAAUUAUGCCGGAUGCGGUUCAUCAUGUAUCAGUCAUAACAUAGGGUGACACAGAACUAGCUCCAAUUCAUCAAUGUAAUGUAGGCAUGUAUUCCGUAUAUAGUCAUACGUGCUUAUGGAAAAGAACUUGCAUGACAUCUUUUGUCCUACCCUCCCGUGGCAGCGGGGUCCUAUUGGAAACUUAGGGAUAUUAAGGCCUCCUUUUAAUAGAGAACCGGAACAAAGCAUUAGCACAUAGUGAAUACAUGAACUCCUCAAACUAUGGUCAUCACCGGGAGUGGUCCCGAUUAUUAUCACUUCGGGGUUGCCGGAUCAUAACACAUAGUAGGUGACUAUAGACUUGCAAGAUAGGAUCAAGAACUCACAUAUAUUCAUGAAAACAUAAUAGGUUCAGAUCUGAAAUCAUGGCACUCGGGCCCUAGUGACAAGCAUUAAGCAUAGCAAAGUCAUAGCAACAUCAAUCUCAGAACAUAAUGGAUACUAGGGAUCAAACCCUAACAAAACUAACUCGAUUACAUGAUAAAUCUCAUCCAACCCAUCACCGUCCAGCAAGCCUAUGAUGGAACUACUCACGCACGGCGGUGAGCAUCAUGAAAUUGGUGAUGGAGGAUGGUUGAUGAUGACGACGGCGACGAAUCCCCCUCUCCGGAGCCCCGAACGGACUCCAGAUCAGCCCUCCCGAGAGGUUUUAGGGCUUGGCGGCGGCUCCGUAUCGUAAAACGCGAUGAUUUCUUCUCUCUAAUUUUUUUCUCUCCGAAAGCAAAUAUAUAGAGUUGGAGUUGGCGUCGGAGGGUUUCCAGGGGGCCCACGAGGUAGGGGGCGCGCCCUAGGGGGGGCGCCCCCCACCCUCGUGAGAAGGGUGUGGGCCCCCUGGUCUUCAUCUUUGGCGAGGAUUUUUUAUUAUAUUUUCUAAGACGUUCCAUGGAGUUUCAGGUCAUUCCGAGAAUAUUUGUUUUCUGCACAUAAAAAAACACCAUGGCAAUUCUGCUGAAUACAGCGUCAGUCCGGGUUAGUUCCAUUCAAAUCAUACAAGUUAGAGUCCAAAACAAGGGCAAAAGUGUUUGGAAAAGUAGAUACGACGGAGACGUAUCAACUCUCCCAAGCUUAAACCCUUGCUUGUCCUCAAGCAAUUCAGUUGACAAACUGAAAGAAAGAAAGAAAAACUUUUACAAACUCUGUUUGCUCUUGUUGUUGUAACUAUGUCAAGCCAGCAUUCAAGUUUUCAGCAUAGAUCAUAACUAACCACAUUUGCAAUAAUUCUCAGGUCUCAUAAUUACUCAUAUCAAUAGCAUAAUCAACUAGCAAGUCAUAAUAAUAAAUCUCGAAUGACAACACUUUCUCAAAACAAUCAUAAUAUGAUAUAACAAGAUGGUAUCUCGCUAGCCCUUUCUGAGACCGCAAAACAUAAAUGCAGAGCACCUUUAAAGAUCAAGGACUGACUAGACAUUGUAAUUCAUGGUAAAAGAGAUCCAAUCAUAGUCACACCCAACAUAAAUUAAUAGUGAUGAAUGCAAAUGACAGUUGUGCUCUCCAGCUAGUGCUUUUUAAUAAGAGGGUGAUGACUCAACAUAAAAGUAAAUGGAUAGGCCCUUCGCAGAGGGAAGCGGGGAUUUGUAGAGGUGCCAGAGCUCGGUUUUGCAAUAGAGAUAAAUUGUAUUUUGAGCGGUAUACUUUCAUUGUCAACAUAACAACUAAGAGAUGGCGAUAUCUUCCUUGCUACACACAUUAUAGGCGGUUCCCAAAUAGAAUGGUAAAGUUUAUACUCCCCCUCCACCAACAAACAUCAAUCCAUGGCUUGCUCGAAACAACGAGUGCCUCCAACACACAUUAGGACCCAGGGGGAGUUUUGUUUGCAAUUAAUUUUGAUUUAGUUUGCAUAAAGCAUGGGACUGGGCAUCCCGGUGACCAGCCAUUUUCUCGUGAAUGAGGAGCGGAGUCCACUCCUCUUGAGAAUAACCCGCCUAACACGGAAGAUAAGGACAGCCUUGGUUGAUACAUGAGCUAUUCGAGCAUACAAAACAGAAUGUUUAUUUGAUGGUUUAGAGUUUGGCACAUACAAAUUUACUUGGAACGGCAGGUAGAUACCGCAUAUAGGAAGGUAUAGUGGACUCAUCUGGAAUAACUUUGGGGUUUAAGGGAUUGGAUGCACAAGCAAUAUUCCCGCUUAGUACAAGUGAAGGCUAGCAAAAGACUGGGAAGCGACCAACUAGAGAGCGACAACAGCCAUGUACAUGCAUUAAAAUUAAUAAAAAUUGGAUGCAAGCAUGAGUAGGAUAUAAUCCACCAUGAACAUAAAUAUCGUGAAGGCUAUGUUGAUUUGUUUCAACUACAUGCGUGAACAUGUGCCAAGUCAAGUCACUUAAAUCAUUCAAAGGAGGAUACCAUCCCAUCAUACCACAUCAUAACCAUCUCAAUAGCAUGUUGGCACACAAGGUAAACCAUUAUAACUCAUAGCUAAUCAAGCAUGGCACAAGCAACUACGAUCUCUAAUUGUCAUUGCAAACAUGUUUAUUCAUAAUAAGCUGAAUCAAGAACGAGAGACUCAUCAUAUUUACAAAAACAAAAGAGGUCGAGUUCAUACCAGCUUUUCUCAUCUCACUCAGUCCAUCAUAUAUCAUCAUAAUUGCCUUUCAUUUGCACGACCGAAUGGUGUGAAUAAUAAUAAGAGUGUACAUGCAUUGGACUAAGCUGGAAUCUGCGAGCAUUCAAUAAACAUGAGAAGAGAAGGCAAUAUGGGCUCUGGGUUAAAUCAACAAUAAUGCAUAUAAGAGCCACUUCAAUAAUUUAAUUAUGGUCUUCUCCUACUGACCCCCAAAGAAAAGAAAUAAAACUAUUUACACGGGAAACCUCCCAACAAGCAAAAGAAGAACAGGAAAUAUUUUUGGGUUUUCUUUUUAAGUAUUACUACUACAGCAGAAAAAUAAACUACUACUAUUUUUUUUGGUUUUUCUUAAGGUUUGACAAACACACAAGAGGAAAGCAUAAAAAGGAAAAUAAACUAGCAUGGAUGAUACAAUGAAAAAGUAUGAGCACCGACAUCUGGCAAUGAGUGUGUGUGAACAUAAAUGUAAGGUCGGUGGGAAAUACGUACUCCCCCAAGCUUAGGCUUUUGGCCUAAGUUGGUUUAUGGCCACGGCUGGCCUGGCGGAUAUCCAUAAUAAUAGUUGUUGGGGUUGUACUAUGAUGAGGAAGAAGAAGGCUCCGAUUGCCACUGGCUGGCAAUCAUCUCCAGAUCCCACUGAUAGUUAGGUUGUCGUGAAGGAUCAAAUUGUGGUUCCGGUUCUGGCUCCUCGGCUGGUGCAGGGUUCCGGUAGGCGUGAAUAGCCGUCAACGGAACAAGGUACGAGCCUACUAUCAAAUCAAACAAAGAAGGAGCAGGCAAGGUAAUAGUCUCAGGAUGAUGUUUAUUAAAGAACAACUGAUAUUUAAGCUCUCCUGCCUUAUUCUUAACAAUAAAAUCAUGUGCCACCAUACUUUUAUGAUCUAGAUAAACACGGGGCAGCACCUUUUCUUCCUUCUCAGCAUGCCUAAUAGGUAUGUUAAAAUGUGCGGCUAGGCGUGUAGCAUAGAUGCCUCCAAAGAUGGGGCCCUUAGUACGGUUCAUAUUUAACCGUCUAGCAAUAAUACCGCCCAUACUAAAAGUGUUAUCACUGUAUAAACCUUGGAGUAGAAUAAUUAUAUCAGGGAUACUAAGGUUUCCACAGUUUCCGCGUCCAAUUAAACAACGACUAGCAAAUAAUGCAAAGUAACGUAAAACAGGAAAAUGUAUGCUAGUGAUUCGUGCAUCGGAAACCUUCCUGGUUUCUCCUACAGUGAUAUUAUUAAUAAAUCCCUCCACAUCAUCAUGAUGUGGUUCUUCUGUCUUGCCCUCAAAAGGGACUAAACAAAUCUGACAGAAAUCAUAAAGUGACAUCUCCUUAUGCUCAUCAUAUAAAUGAAACUCCACCGUAGGUGGUGAGUUCCUAGAAUGAAAGUGAAAGUUUUGCACAAAGGUAUUUGUGAGUAAGAGAUACUAAUUGCAUUGGUCAUGAAGGAAAGCAGUGAGGCCUGCAUUGUGAGACAAUUCAUGAAAAUCUUCAUAGAUACCCGCUGCUUUCAAGAAAUCAUCAAAAGGCCAUUCACACGCCCGAAUCUCCGUGGUGCGUGGCAAAUUAUACUUAGGCUUCGGUGCCUUUUCCUUCGAGCUUUGGCUCGAUGAGCCCCUCAAGAAUCUCCUCAUUAUAUUCUGAAUUCUGAAAUUUUUAGUAACUUCAAACAAAAGUGAACCAACUUCAAUAAAACUAAUAGCAACUACUCCUACAAGUGCCUAGAGCCUAUAUCAAGCAUUAGAACUACUUAUAACCAUAUAAAUUUGACAUGCAAGCUCAAGAACAUGGUCACCUAUGCAGCACAAAUUUGCAAAGAAUAAAGCACUAGAACAAAAACUAAUUGGACCAAUGGAGGAGUCACAUACCAAGGAACAAUCUGCCCAAGCAGUUUUGCGAGAGGUGCUUUGAGCAAGGAGAUCGAAAAUCACAGCAAAAGUGGCUGGAACUCGUGCUUGAGUUGGUUUUUUGGGUUUGUGUGAGACAGAGGAAGAAGAUGGGUGCUGGGAUAAGUGGAGGAGGGCUAUCGUGGGCCCACGAGGCAGGGGGCGCACCCUAGAGGGGGGGGGCACCCACCACCCUCGUGGCCAGGUGGCAGCUCCUCCCGCGGUAAUUUUUGCACAGUAAAUCCUCAAAUAUUCCCAAAAAAAUCAUAUUAAAUUGGCAUGUCAUUCUGAGGACUUUUAUUUUUGGGAUAUUUUUAUAUUGCACGGAUAAGUCAGGAAACAGACAGAAAAAUACUAUUUUUACUUUAUUUCUACUAAUUAACAGAAAGUAUAGAGAGGGUACAGAAGGUUGUGCUUCUAGUUUCAUCCAUCUCAUGCUCAUCAAAAAGAAUCCACUAACAAGGUUGAUCAAGUCUUGUUAACAAACCCAUUCCAAUAAUCAUGAAACCGGAGAAAUUUCGAAUAACACUAAGUUACCUCAAUGGGGAUAUGCACAUCCCCUAUAAUAAGUAUAUCAUAUUUCUUCUUGACAGUAGGAAGAGGAAAUUCAAAACCUCCAAAUAUAAUCGAUGGAAUUUUUCCAAUGGAGUUGAUACUAUGAACUUGAGGUUGUUUCCUCGGAAAGUGUAUCGUAUGCUCAUCACCAUUAACAUGAAAAGUGACAUUGCCUUUGUUGCAAUCAAUAACAGCCCCUGCAGUAUUAAGAAAAGGUCUUCCAAGAAUAAUAGACAUACUAUCAUCCUCGGGAAUAUCAAGUAUAACAAAGUCCGUUAAAAUAGUAACGUUUGCAACCACAACAGGCACAUCCUCACAAAUACCGACAGGUAUAACAGUUGAUUUAUCAGCCAUUUGCAAAGAUAUUUCGGUAGGUGUCAGCUUAUUCAAGUCAAGGCUACGAUAUAAAGAGAGAGGCAUAACACUAACACCGGCUCCAAGAUCACAUAAAGCAGUUUUAAUAUAAUUUAUUUUAAUGGAGCAAGGUAUAGUAGGUACUCCGGGAUCUCCAAGUUUCUUUGGUAUUCCACCCUUAAAGUAUAAUUAGCAAGCAUGGUGGAAAUCUCAGCUUCCAGUAUCUUUCUUUUAUUAGCAAUGAUAUCUUUCAUAUAUUUAGCAUAAGGAUUUGUUUUGAGCACAUCAGUUAAUCGCAUACGCAGAAAGAUAGGCCUAAUCAUUUCAGCAAAGCGCUCAAAAUCCUCAUCAUCCUUUUUCUUGGAUGGUUUUGGAGUAAAGGGCAUGGGUUUCUGAACCCAAGGUUCCCUUUCUUUACCAUGUUUCCUAGCAAGAAAGUCUCUUUUAUCAUAACGUUGAUUCUUUGAUUGUGGGUUAUCAAGAUCAACAGCAGGUUCAAUUUCUACAUCAUUGUCAUUACUAGGUUGAGCAUCAUCAUGAACAUCAUUAUUAACAUUUUCACUAGGUUCAUGUUCAUUACCAGAUUGUGUUUCAGCAUCAGACAUAGAUAUAUCAUUUGGAUUAUCAGGUGGUUCAGCAAUAGGUUUACUAGAAGUUUGCACAGUUCUAUCAUUUUUCUUUUUCUUCUUUUUAGAAGAACUAGGAACAUCAAUUUUAUUUCUCUGAGAAUCUUGCUCGAUUCUCCUAGGGUGGCCUUCAGGAUACAAAGGUUCCUAAGUCAUUCUACCCGUUCUAGUAGCCACUCUAACAACAUAAUCAUUUUUCUUACUAUUCAUUUCAUCAAGCACUUCUUUUUGAGCUUUAAGCACUUGUUCUACUUGAGUGGUAACCAUAGAGGCAUGUUUGCUAACAAGUUUAAGUUCACCUUUAAUAUUAGCCAUAUAAUCACCCAAGCGUCUAAUCAUAUAAGCAUUUUCUUUUAAUUGUCUACCAAAAUAAGCAUUGAAGUCGUCUUGUUUAUACAUAAAGUUAUCAAACUCAUCCAAGCACUGACUAGCAAUUUUAGUAGGAGGGACUUCAGCUUUAUCAUAUCUAUAGAGAGAAUUUACCUUUACUACCUGUGUCGGGAUAUCGGGGUUGGGAGGUUCUUCAAUAAAUAAAGAAUUGAGAUCAUAAGUUUCUUCAAUAGGCGGUAUAUUAAGACCAUGUAUUUCUUCAGUAGGAGGUAAAUUCUUAACGUCUUCAGCUUUAAUACCUUUCUCUUUCAUAGAUUUCUUUGCCUCUUGCAUAUCUUCGGGACUGAGAAAUAGAACACCCCUCUUCUUCGGAGUUGGUUUAGGAAUAGGCUCAGUAAUUGGAGCAGGAGCUGGCUCAGGAGGUGGCUCAGGAGGUGCCCAAUUAUUUUCAUUUGUCAACAUAUUAUUCAAUAAGAUUUUAGCUUCAUCCGGUGUUCUUUCCCUGAAAUGAGAACCAGCACAACUAUCAGGGUAAUCUCUAGAAGCAUCGGUUAGUCCAUUAUAAAAGAUAUCAAGUAUUUCAGGUUUCUUAAGAGGAUGAUCAGGCAAAGCAUUAAGUAACUUGAGAAGCCUCCCCCAAGCUUGUGGGAGACUCUCUUCUUUAAUUUGCACAAAGUUGUAUAUUUCCCUCAAAGCAGCUUGUUUCUUAUGAGCAGGGAAAUAUUUAGUAGAGAAGUAAUAAAUCAUGUCCUGGGGACUACGCACACAACCAGGAUUAAGAGAAUUAAACUAUAUCUUAGCAUCACCCUUUAAUGAGAACGAAAAUAUUUUGAGUAUAUAAAAGUAAUGCGAUCUCUCAUCAUUAGUGAAUAGGGCAGCUAUAUCAUUUAACUUAGUAAGAUGUGCCACAACAGUUUCAGAUUCAUAGCCAUAAAACGGAUCAGAUUCAACCAAAGUAAUUAUAUCAGGAUCAACAGAGAAUUCAUAAUCCUUAUCAGGAACACAUAUAGGUGAAGUAGCAAAAGCAGGGUCGGGUUUCAUUUUAUCUCUAAGUGAUUCUUUGUUCCAUUUAAUUAAUAACCUCUUAAGCUCAUAUCUAUCUCUGCAAGCUAAAAUAGUGGCAGAAGAUUCCAUAUCAAAAAGAUAGCCCUCAGGAAUAACAGGCAUAUUUUCAUCAUCACUAUCAUCAUCGUAUUCAGAUUCAAUAAUUUCUUUUUCUCUAGACCUAGCAAUUUGUUCAUCAAGAAAUUCACCAAGGGGCACAGUAGUAUCAGACAUAGAAGCAGUUUCAUCAUAAGUAUCAUGCAUAGCAGAAGUGGCAUCAUCAAUAACAUGCGACAUAUCAGAAUGAAUAGCAGAAGCAGGUGUAGGUGUCGCUAGCUUACUCAUAACAGAAGGUGAAUCAAGUGCAGAGCUAGAUGGCAGUUCCUUACCUCCCCUCGUAGUUGAGGGAUAGAUCUUGGUUUUUGGAUCUCUCAAGUUCUUCAUAAUGAUAAACAGAUAUAAAUCCCAAGUGACUCAAAGAAUAGAGCUAUGCUCCCCGGCAACAGCGCCAUAAAUUAGUCUUGAUAACCCAUGAGUAUAGGGGAUCGCAACAGCUUUCGAGGGUAGAGUAUUCAACCCAAAUUUAUUGUUUCGACACAAGGGGAGCCAAAGAAUAUUCUCAAGUAUUAGCAGCUGAGUUGUCAAUUCAACCACACCUGGAAACUUAGUAUCUGCAGCAAAGUGUUUAGCAGCAAAGUAAUAUGAUAGUGGUGGUAGCGGCAACAAAAGUAAAGAUAGCAAAAGUAAUGUUUUUGGUAUUUUGUAGUGAUUGUAACAGUAGCAGCGAGAAAGUAAAUAAGCGUAAACCAGUAUAUGGAAAACUCAUAGGAACCGGAUCAGUGAUGGAUAAUUAUGCCGGAUGCGGUUCAUCAUGUAUCAGUCAUAACAUAGGGUGACACAGAACUAGCUCCAAUUCAUCAAUGUAAUGUAGGCAUGUAUUCCGUAUAUAGUCAUACGUGCUUAUGGAAAAGAACUUGCAUGACAUCUUUUGUCCUACCCUCCCGUGGCAGCGGGGUCCUAUUGGAAACUUAGGGAUAUUAAGGCCUCCUUUUAAUAGAGAACCAGAACAAAGCAUUAGCACAUAGUGAAUACAUGAACUCCUCAAACUAUGGUCAUCACCGGGAGUGGUCCCGAUUAUUGUCACUUCGGGGUUGCCGGAUCAUAACACAUAGUAGGUGACUAUAGACUUGCAAGAUAGGAUCAAGAACUCACAUAUAUUCAUGAAAACAUAAUAGGUUCAGAUCUGAAAUCAUGGCACUCGGGCCCUACUGACAAGCAUUAAGCAUAGCAAAGUCAUAGCAACAUCAAUCUCAGAACAUAAUGGAUACUAGGGAUCAAACCCUAACAAAACUAACUCGAUUACAUGAUAAAUCUCAUCCAACCCAUCACCAUCCAGCAAGCCUAUGUAACUACUCACGCACGGCGGUGAGCAUCAUGAAAUUGGUGAUGGAGGAUGGUUGAUGAUGACGACGGCGACGAAUCCCCCUCUCCGGAGCCCCGAACGGACUCCAGAUCAGCCCUCCCGAGAGGUUUUAGGGCUUGGCGGCGGCUCCGUAUCGUAAAAUGCGAUGAUUUCUUCUCUCUGAUUUUUUUUCUCUCUGAAAGCGAAUAUAUAGGGUUGGAGUUGGCGUCGGAGUGUUUCCAGGGGGCCCACGAGGUAGGGGGCGCGCCGCCCUAGGGGGGUGGGGCGCCCCCCACCAUCGUGAGAAGGGUGUGGGCCCCCUGGUCUUCAUCUUUGGCGAGGAUUUUUUAUUAUUUUUUCUAAGACGUUCCAUGGAGUUUCAGGUCAUUCCGAGAAUAUUUGUUUUCUGCACAUAAAACAACACCAUGGCAAUUCUACUGAAAACAGCGUCAGUCCGGGUUAGUCCAUUCAAAUCAUACAAGUUAGAGUCCAAAACAAGGGCAAAAGUGUUUGGAAAAGUAGAUAUGACGGAGACGUAUCACCCCGCUGCCACGGGAGGGUAGGACAAAAGAUGUCAUGCAAGUUCUUUUCCAUAAGCACGUAUGACUAUAUUCGGAAUACAUGCCUACAUUACAUUGAUGAAUUGGAGCUAGUUCUGUGUCACCCUAGGUUAUGACUGUUACAUGAUGAACCGCAUCCGGCAUAAUUCUCCGUCACUGAUCCAUUGCCUACGAGCUUUCCAUAUAUUGUUCUUCGCUUAUUUACUUUUCCGUUGCUACUGUUACAAUUACUAUAAAACACCAAAAAUAUUACUUUUGCUACCGUUACCUUUUGCCGCCGUUACCACUACUAUCAUAUUACUUUGCUACUAAAUACCUUGCUGCAGAUAUUAAGUUAUCCAGGUGUGGUUGAAUUGAUAACUCAGAUGCUAAUACUUGAGAAUAUUCUUUGGCUCCCCUUGUGCCGAAUCAAUAAAUUUGGGUUGAAUACUUUACCCUCGAAAACUGUUGUGAUCCCCUAUACUUGUGGGUUAUUACUUCCGCAUAGUUUUGCCCACCUCACACUCCCGCCACCCCGACCUAACCCAAUUUUGUUUGUGUUGUGAGUUGUGUCUCCUAAGGUUUUUCGGCUACUUAGGGACCGUGCUUCCAACUCCGACACCGUGUACAGUCCACCACCUUACCCUCCAUUUCUGCAUUGCGUACUCCACAACCCAUCAUUGCAUUUCCGCAAUCCCUUUGAGCUUCCGCAACCACCACCGCAUUCCGCUACCACCAUUUGAAAUUUGAGAUUUUGAGUUCGCGGUUUUUCCAUUUCCUAAGGUGUUUCGGCUACUUAGGGACGAGUCUCCAUCAUCUUGGUAUCUCCAUCAAGAUCACCGCCACUCAUCAUCGACAUGGACGGUAACCUCCAUAUCAUCUUGGUAUCGUGGUAUCCCUCCAUUGUAUAUGCCCUUGCCAUUGCAUUGAUAACCCCUAGCCCAUUUUGCGUCACUUGCCUAUCGAGACUAGCCAUUUGAGUAUUGUUGGCAACGUUACUUGUGCACAUUAGUGAUCUACACCAUACAUUGCAUACAUACCAUACCAUAUCGGUACCAUCUUGGUAUCAUAUGAUCCUUUGUGCCACAAGUUUGUUCCCACAUACAUACAAUUGCUAUCUUGGUUUGUGCAUUGUGCAAAAGUGGCCAUAAAAAAUAAAAAAGAAUAAGCUUUUAAGAAAAAGAGAAAGAGAAAACAAGCUUGUAAGCAAGUGCCAUAGCAUCAUACCACAUUGCAUAUAAGAUCAUAUUGGAUCAUAACACCGGGAGCCAUACAUACAUAGCAUACUUGGGAUAGAAAGUACAUACAUUUUGCAUCUUAUAGGUUGUGCACAAGUGUCAUAUCCGCCUAUAGAGAAAUCAUGCUAGCGUCUCUCUUGAGUUGUGCAACACGAGCGUUUUCUGUGGAUUCCACAUUUUGUGCUCAUUCCUUGGUUGCACGACCCCAUUUAUCUAUCUGUGUGUGUGUUUCCGUGUGCCACAUAUUUCUAUUGGUCUACUUGUUUCACUUGUGAAUUUGUGAAUCUCUUUCAACAUUAUUGACUCUUGCUAACAUUUCGCAUCAAAUUUUUGUGCCACUAUCCUCACCGAGAUCCACCAUAAGCCUUACUUGUGUAGGUGUGAGAAACCGACAAGAAUUGGUACCAAUUGUGCUAUUUCCUUGUCCACAUUGGAGUGAUCAUUGAUCCACUUUCAACUUCGGUCAAGGUACAUUUGGUAUUCGUUCUUCUCUUUCUACCACUCACAUUUUUCUCUUGGAGUGAUGGAUAGGCAAGGCAUUUCAUCUCCGGUCUUCCACAAUAACGACGGCGUGAACCACUACAUCACCAAAGCGUCCAUCUUUGAUCUACAACGACAAAUGCAAGGCACACAAUCAAGAUUGCGAGAGAGCAUCGAGAACCUCUCCAUUGACAUUCGCCACUCCGAAGCGAGGAAAAGGGACUACAUCGACAACAAGCUUUCCGCACAAAAGGAGGAGCAAGAUGCAAGGAUGGAGGAGAUUUGAGCCUUGAUCAAGUCUACUUUCCCUUCGUCAUCUUCAAGGCGGCGACGAGCAAAUCGAUCAUCUUCGGAGCGCCCAAGCGACACAAGCACAAGUCGUCCACGUCCACAUCUCCAUGGCGACCACCAUCACGUUCGUGAUCCACUACAUCAUGAAGGGCAGUCACCUCCAAGCAUCAUGUGCACGACGACAACGAACGCCAUCAAGCUCAAGCACGAAAAUGAAAACAUCAUCAUGAAGAUGCUCGAGAUGCGCCUACCUAUAAGUCCCAACAAGCCCUACUUCACGCCAAGUCCAAACUUCAUGACCACAAGAGAAGACCACGAGACGAGCACCACCAAGACGGCGCUACAUCUACUACCACCACCACUUUGGCAUCUUCGCCAAGUGCUAUCAAGGCAUGUUCGCCUUUGGACGUACAACAUCUUCGCCUACUUCCCGUGAGUUCGCCUACAUCGACAUCAUCAAGUACAAGGCGACCACCUACGAGCGAGGGUGACACUUCCAUCUUCGGAAGCCCCUCAAGGAAGAUGGCCGAGCACGGGAAAUUACCUUUGGUCAUGGAGACGAGCUACGAGGUGCCACAUCAUAUGGGCAUCCUACAACAAGAUGACGACAAGAAGGUCGAGCAAGGGCCAUCCCCUUCGACCAUGACGACGAGCAUGAACCUCUUCAACAACAUGAAGACGGUGCCCAUAUUGGACUCAUACUCCGAGUCAAGUUACGAGACCGCACAUGAGACCUUACCUUUGGUCUUAGAGGAGAGUGAUGAUGUGCCAUCUUCGGCCUUCAUCCACGGCUACAACUACGACAUGAUUGAGCAUGGAGACAUUUGCACCAACAUCUCUUCGACACCCACAUAUAAAGAGAUGCCCCAAUUCCCAUGUGAGGAGAGCCACCCCACCAUGAGUGAUAUGAGUGACUCCACCACUUGUGACAUUGAGUGCAUUUCCCAUGAGAGGAUGAGUGUGACCACCACUAGCCCCAUACUUGAGAGCAUCCAAGAGGGAGUGAGUGAGCCACCACACUUAGUGAGUGAGGUAGUUGACACGGCACGUGAGGCCACUAUGAUUCCUAACGACUUAACCUCUACUCCCAUUGUGUUUUCUUCUUUGGUGCUAGGUCUCCUACAUGACAACAUGCCUAUCCUCGACGAGUCCAUAUCUCCAAUGGAGACAACGAUGGCCAUGGUGGAAGAAGAUGCACCCCACAUGGUUCCAUCAAGAUGAAGAUGACCACGACUUGGUCUUCGACACCUCACCUACAACACAUGAGCGAUGCUCCAAAGGUCACAUAGGUGAUGGUGCUUCUCUUGUCCCACUAGUGGACGAUUUCAUGAAUGAUUGCUUGCAUGAUGUUGAUCCACCUAUUCCCAUGCUUCAUGCUAGUGCGACUUCUUCAUGUCAUGACUUACCUAUCUAUGAUGAAUAUGAUGAUGAGCAUGUUGAUUUGCCUAGUUGUGAUGCUAUGCUCCAUAGGAUAUCAUGUGAAAAUUCUAUUGGUCACAUCAUGUUUGACAAUCCUUUGAACUUGUCAUAUGCUAUGAGUGAGAUCUCACAUAUUGCAUCAUUUCAAUCUCAACAUAGUAACUAUGCAUGCCCCAUUAAAAUCAAUCCCAUUUGCACUUAUGGCAUAGAUGAUGAGGUGAUGGUCAUUGGCUUUUGUUUUUCAUGUGAUGAUAUUGCCAUGCUUCCUUUACAUGAUUUGUGCAAUUCAUCUACUAUGCCAUGCCAUGAUCACAUUGUUCCAAAUAUGCAUUGUUUUGGAUGUUGUCAAUAUUCUUCGUGUGAUGUUUCCAUUAAUGAUCAUGAGGAGAGCCCCAUAGUUUCCUCAUACAUAUUAGGAGAUUUUGAUGCAUUCCAUACUUUGCAUGAUUCUCAUAAUUGCUUGCACCGUAUGCAUUCCAUGAAUAACAAUGCUCUACAUAUUUUCUUGUGAUGCAUUACACAAUUUGAGUCUCCAUUAUGCUAUACAUAACAACAAACCAAUCAUGAUCAAUGGAUGACAUGUUUCUAUAUCACGCAUCUCAUUUAUUUGAGCAUUGGCUAUUUUGUGCUAACGAACACUUGCACGUGCGCAUCAUGAUGGAUGAUGUGUACAUAUACCACACACACACACAAUUUUCUCUUUGUCUUUGUUUUGUGUAGGUACUCACGUAUACUCGUUGAAAGGAUCGAUAUGGUUCACUAGAGGGGGGUGAAUAGGCAACUAACAAUUUUUAACUUUUCUUUACCAAAUUAAACUUUGCAUCAAAGUAGGUUGUCUAGACAUGCAACUAUGUGAGCAAUCUAUAUGAUGCAACAACAAUAAGCACACAAGCAAGCAAGGGAGAUAACACAAUUAAGCUUGCACAAGUAAAGGUACGAGAUAACCAAGAGUGGAGCCGGUGGAGACUAGGAUGUGUUACCGAAGUUCCUUUCUUUUGAGGGGAAGUACGUCUCCGUUGGAGCGGUGUGGAGGCACAAUGCUCCCUAAGAAGCCACUAGGGCCACUGUAUUUUCCUCACGCCCUCACACAAUGCGAGAUGUUGUGAUUCCACUAUUGGUGCCCUUGGAGGCGGUGACCGGACCUUUACAAACAAGGUUGGGGCAAUCUCCACAACUUAAUCGGAGGCUCCCAACAACAACACCACGAAGCUUCACCACAAUGGAAUAUGGCUCCGCGGUGACCUCAACCGUCUAGGGUGCUCAAACACCCAAGAGUAACAACAUCCGCAAGGGAUUAGUGGGGGGAAUCGAAUUUCUCUUGGUGGAAGUGUAGAUCGAGGCCUUCUCAACCAAUCCCUAGAAAAUCAACAAGUUUGAUUGGCUAGGGAGAGAGACCGGACGAAAAUGGAGCUUGGAGCAACAAUGGAGCUUAGGGUUGGAAGAGGUAGUCAACUCGGAGAAGAAGAUACCCCUUAUAUAGUGGAGAGAGAAAUCCAACCGUUAUCCACUUAACCAGCCCGCGAUAAGCGGUACUACCGCGCCUGCCAAGCGGUACUACCGCAAGGCCUUACGUUACUACCGCACACCCUUGCGGUACUACCGCAAGGCAGGGUUGGACCAGCCUGUGAAGGCCGUGGACAGAUAAAUGUCCAUGGCUAGUUCUGCUGAUUACAAAAUAGUGCAAAAAGUCCGACACGGUACUACCGCUGAAGGCAAGCGGUACUACCGCGCGGGGAGCGGAUGUAAAAUAUUACAUCCGCUCCUACUUCCGCUACUGGUGCUGUGCCGGACCAGGUCUCACGGUACUAUGGCUCCCAAGGAGCGGUACUACCGUGACCACCUGCGGUACUACCGCAAGGGCAUGCGGUACUACCGUAGGGGCCUGCGGUACUACCGCUCCGAAGAUCAGUACUACCGCAAGCCUCAGAACAACAACAGAUAGGAAGACUUAUUUUUGCACAGACAAGAAGAAACGAAGGAUGCUCCAAGGUGCUAAAGGAAAGGCGGUGCAAAGAGGAGUAAACGUGUACGUGAUGAUUCCACCCAAACCUUUCCAAAGCGGACCCCCUCUUAAUAGUACGGCUUUCCUACGACUCAAAUCGACCGAAAAAGGAACGUAGAAAAACGUCGUCUUCAAUAAUCUUUGAGGGGCUCCUAACCGUCUCGUGCCUAGUCAUGAAAUAUCUGAAAUACUCGAGACACACGAUUAGUCCGCAAAUGCAUUGUCAUCAAUCACCAAAACACCUUAGGGAUAAAUAUGCCCUUACAAUCUCCCCCUUUUUAGUGGAUUGAUUACAAUACGGGAUUUGCACAAGGGAGAAAGAAUAGAACAUGAGCAAACCAUACAUCUCUAAAAUAUAGACGGGCUCCCCCUAGAUGUGUGCUAGUUAGAUGAGUGCUUUGGACUGCACGGCACACAUACUAGGAUCAACACUCCCCCUAUAUUUUAUAGACAUGGCAUAUCUUGCAAUAACAAUGCUAACACUAAGCAUGAUAGUAGAUAAGAGCAUGAACUAAGUAGCACAACAUAUCAUAAGCUCAGUAAGGUGCGAUAGAUAGAGUGCAUAUGUCUAACACCAUAUGAUAGAUAAGUCUCACACGCUCAAAUAAACUCAAACCAAACCAAAGCAAACACGGUUCAACAAACCAAACACAAACAAAGCAAACAUGACACGACACGGCAAAUCCCUACACUCUCUCCCCCUUUGGCAUCGAGACGCCAAAAAGGCAGAGAGGACAGCUACAACACAAGUGGUGCCUCAAGCAGAGUAGUUGCUCGCACGCUCCUCGUUAGACUCGGCCGCAGGAAUGUGCUCCUCCUCAGAAUCAGUCCACCUGUAGCCUUGUUUUGCCAUCCAUUCAGCCUCUGGAGUGAUGUGCUCCUCAGAGCUGCCAGAAACAUCCUCUCCAAACACCCUCAUGAUCUUCUUGUCGCAGCGGUGACUCUCCUUGGAGGCCACGUGAGUCUGAUACUGCCCCUUGGCCUGCAUGCAGAACAAGGCCUUCAUCUUGGCAUUCAGCUUCUUCGCCCAUGAGGGAUCAAUGGAGGGAGGUGCAUAUCCCGCAGAGCUGUCCUCAGCCGCACUCUCCUCCUCAAUCUCCUCCUCAUCAGCUGCCCUCUUAGCAGCCUCAGCCUCGGCACGAGUAGUAGUGUUAGCCCACUGGGGCUUGAUGCGGAGUCUGAUGGAGUCAUGACGGAUCCAGUCAGGGGCCAGAAACUCCUCAUUGGGAUAGAUCUUCUCCCAAGUCUUCGAUAUCAGGAGGAACAUAUAAGGACCAUAGAUGGGUACCUUGCGGGUGAACACCGCGAACCGAAGCUCACACCACAUGAUAUGUGAGACAUCAAGUGGUUGAGUCUGAGAAACUCGGGCCUCCUCACAAAUGAGCAACAUGUCCACAAGAAAGGCAUGCACCUUGUCCUUGUCCCCAAUGCGAGGAAAGAGCGAGUGGCGGAAGAUCCGGUGCAUGAUGUCAAGAAACGAGUUGAGCACCCACGUCGACUUGCCACUGGCCAGCUUCUUCUCAACGUAGAAUGGCAUAAGCUUGUCCUUGCUUGCUGACUCGGAGUUGGCAUGAGGGCGAACACUAACAGGUGUGUGGAGCCCCUCAUCAGGCACUCUGAGCAAAUCCAUGAACUCCUUCCAAGUAGCAGUCAACUGACGUCCAUUGGUCAUCCAGGCCAUCCUCCGAUCCUCCCCAGAGUGAAAGUGGACCGAGGCAAAGAACUGUGCCACAAGCUCGGGGUCAUAGUCCAGAUGAAAAGAGAUCACAUCCUCAAUGGCAAACUGCUCCACAAGGUCCAAGGCCUCACCAAAGUAGUGACGAUGCUUCUCCUCCCUCAUGUGAUGCAUGUCGACCCAGUGCACAUCCACAUACAGAUUCUACUUGGCCUUGAUCACAUCCAAGUAAAUGAGAUUCUGCUGCUUGGUCCAAAAUAGUUCAUUCCCUCUGAAGUUUGCAUGAGGAUGCGCAUAGGGGUUGAUCUUCCCGAGAUAGACAAACUCAGCAAGAGGUAUCUCAUCCAUGUCCCUUGUUCGUUCCUUGACCAUGCUAGCAGUGGUCUUGACAUUGCGCUUGGGGGCAUUGGAGCCCUCUAGAACAUCCUCUUGGUUGUGCAGACGCUUGGAACCCGUGUCUCGGCUUGGAUUGGAACGACAAGCAGGGACACCGGAGCCACCACCUGAGACACACAACACAAACACACACGAGAAGCGAGACGGGUCAAAACAAGGACCACAACAAAACACAAGAAACCAGUAGAAAAUGAAUAUGGUAAUUGCCAUGAAGAAGGUUUGACAGCAGCGGUAGUACGGCCUGGUCGCGCGGUACUAAAAAAUUAAUGCCGCUCCUAGUCGCGGUAGUACUGCACGGUGGCACGGUAGUACUGGGGCUCGGAGCGGCAGUACAGCUUUAGUACCGCGGCCCGUGUGGUAGUACCGCGCCUAAGGGGUGGUAGUACCGUACGAGCGGUAGUACCGCACCUGCUAGGCGGUAGUACCGCACGUCAUCAGAUCCGAACAGAUGAAUCUGAGAACAACCGCGACAACGAGGCGGUACUCCGAUUGAUCAAAUCUACCAUGGGACAACAUAUCAAGCACACUUUCUACGCAUCACUACUCUCCUACAUCCUACUCUUGCAAAGAUUUGGCCUAAAAUCUCAAUAAUCAACAUGCAUCUCCCCAAAACCUAGAAGCGAAAGGAUGAACAAAAGAGAGAGGGAUUUGGGGAGAGACCUUGAUUCAUGGCAAGAGGAAGUGGUGGGGAACGAUCCCACCGGUCGGAAUCUGAGGAGAGCAGCCGGGGACGGAGAUCCGACGAGGCUCUCCGGCGCCGUUCUUGAGCAGGAGAGAGAGAGGCAGUAGGGAGAGAGACAGGCGAAUGGGUAUGGGGGAGUUGGAACUCCCCCUGCCCGGGUCUUAACCCCACGCGCCCUCGGCAGCGCGAUAGUACCGCAUCUCAUCGCGGUAGUACCGCUUGGGCGGAAGAGCCGCACCAGAGCGGUAGUACCGCUCCCCCAGGCGGCAGUAAAAAAAUACUGCCGCGCUGGGUGCGGAAGUACCGCGCACUCCACAAGCAGUAGUAUCGUGGUAGGCUGCAGUAGUACCAUGAGCUCAAAAUGAUGCAAGUUUCAAACAAAAGAAAGGGGCUACGCGAAAGAGGAAAAAAACGACAAGCGAACGAGACAACACAAGAACACGCUCAGCAUGGAGAAAGAAAGAAAGGCAAGAGACAACAAGGACCAACCAUGAGAACCUCUCCAAGGAGAGGGCGGUGGCCGGAGCCACCUAUUUUUGAGUCGAUUGGUAUGGCACCGCGAAGAAUUAUCCUUGGGCACAUGACCAAAACUCGUCUUUGAAGAACAAGUGCCACCAAAAAUGGCUAAUGUGAAAGAGUUGAUCAAUUUAUGCAUAAUGGGGGGGGGGAGAGUUCAUUGAGAGAACAACACUCCCCCUAUGUCCAUGCCUAUACCUAAACAAGAUAACAAGUUGAGUAUGGUGAGGGGUGUGCACGGGUUCAAGCAAGAUUGCUCGAAUCAACGAUAUUUAGCUCAUGCCUUAACUCGCGAAAUCUUGCUUCAUCCAAGGGCUUCGUGAAGAUGUCUGCAAGGUUAUCAAGAGUGUUGACAUAGUUGAGCUCGAUCUCUCCUCACCUAAUAUGAUCCUGGAUGAAGUGAUACCGGAUCUCAAUAUGCUUCGUCUUGAAGUGUUCCACUGGGUUGAGAGAAAUCUUGAUUGCACUUUCAUUGUCACACCAAAGAGGCACUUUGUCACAAAUGACACCGUAAUCCUUCAAAGUUUUCCUCAUCCAUAAGAGUUGUGCACAACAACUACCGGCUGCCACAUACUCCGCUUCAGUGGACGAGAGAGACACGCAACUUUGCUUCUUGGAAAACCAACUCACCAAAGAGCAACCAAGAAAUUGGCACCCUCCGGAAGUGGACUCCCUAUCCACUUUGUCUCCCACCCAAUCCGAGUCCGAAUAACCUAAAAGCUUGAAGUUUUCCCCCCUUGGGUACCAUAAGCCAAAGUUUGGGGUAUGAGCCAAAUAUCGAAAGAUUCGCUUGACCGCCACAAAGUGACUUUCCUUAGGUCCAGCUUGAAACCAUGCACAAAUUCCCACACUCAACAUGAUAUCUGGUCUAGAUGCACAAAGGUAAAGCAAAGAGCCAAUCAUGGAGCGAUAUACCUUUUGAUCCACCACUUUACCAUUGGGAUCGAUGUCAAGUUGGCAUUUGACUGGCAUAGGAGUGGACGCCGGCUUGACAUCACUUAGCUUGAAUCUCUUGAGCAUGUCUUGAGUGUAUUUGGCUUGGUUGAUGAAGGUUCCUUCUCUUGUUUGCUUCACUUCGAACCCGAGAAAGAACUUCAACUCUCCCAUGGAAGACAUCUCGAACUUUGAGGUCAUGAGAGCGGCAAAUUCCUCAUUGAAAGCUUUGUUAGGGGAACCAAAGAUAAUAUCAUCAACAUAUAAUUGGCACACAAACAACUCCCCUUUGACCUUCUUAGUAAAAAGAGUGGGGUCGAUUAGUCCUACUUCAAAACCACGGUCUUGUAACAACUCAGUAAGGUGGUCAUACCACGCACGUGGGGAUUUUUAAGGCCAUAGAGUGCCUUAUCGAGUUGAUACACAUGAUCGGGAAAGUAGGGGUCCUCGAACCCGGGGGUUGCUUGACAUAAACCAACUCAUUAAUGGGACCAUUAAGAAAAGCACUCUUCACAUCCAUUUGUUGUAACUUAAAGUUAUGAUGAGAAGCAUAUGCAAUCAACAUGCGAAUGGAUUCAAGACGAGCAACGGGGGCAAAGGUUUCACCGUAGUCGAUACCCUCAACUUGGGAGUAGCCUUGUGCAACCAACCGAGCCUUGUUGCGAAUGAUAAUCCCAUGAGCAUCUUGCUUUUUCUUGAAUAUCCACUUGGUUCCAAUGACAUUGUGGUUCCCCGUUGGCCUUGGCACCAAUCUCCACACUUUGUUGCGCUCGAAGUUGUUGAUUUCUUGAUGCAUGGCAUUGAGCCAAUCCGGAUCUCUAAGCGCCUAAUAGACCUUUUGGGGUUCAACACAAGAGACAAACGUGUGAUGUUCACAAUAGUUUUCUAAUUGUCUGCAAUUGCUUACCCCCUUUCUUAUGCUUACAAGCACAUUUGUCAUGAGAUGAUCCUUGGUGGAGAGCUUGGAAGCAAUCUUGGUGGCAUGACGCUCCAAUUCCUCCUCGGGGUGAGACGAGGAGUGGACACUUGAUCAUCUUGAGCGCCGUCUUGAGCUUGUUCUUGAUCUAGAAGAAGCUCUUGAUCUUGAACUUGCUCGGAGGAGAGAACUUGACCUUGGGAAUCACUUGAUGUUACAACACCAUCUUGAUAUUGACCUUACCCUUGGUCUGGUUCUUGAGGUUGAGGGCCUUCACUAUGUUCUUCGGAAGCGUGUGGGCCUUGGGUUGGUGAUGGCUCCACAAGAGUGGAGCAUUGUCCUUCUCCUUAGGCCACAAGGGGUUCCUCAAUGGGUAGGAUAAAGGGACAAUUGCAUUUUUACCCCUAGUUGGUUCCUACCCACGGGUUUUGCCCUUACUUUUCGAGCUUGCUCAGUUUUGCCCUUACUUUUUCCAUCAAGGUCCCUCGAAUGCCCUUUGACCGUUUGACCAAAACUUUGAAAAUUCAUAACUAAUUCAUAUGAAGUCAGAAAAAUACAAAUAAGAUAUCAAAAUGUUCAGAUAAACAUUACCUUUAUGGGCAUAUCAUUUGCAUUCAGAACAAAAUCAUCAUUUAAACUACCCAUGGUAAUUAAUGUUAUUAACAUUAUUAAAAAUAAAUAGGUAUAAUCAAUAUUUUUUCAUGAAUAAAAAAUACAUGCAAAUGUAGGUGAUGUUUUCUGAACAUCUUGAUAACUUAUUUGCAAUUUUCUGAGUUUGUAUCAACUUGUUAUGAAUGUUCUAAUGACUUUGACCAUUAUUUGGAAACUUCAUAACAAGUUGAUACAAACUCAGGAAAAUGCAAAUAAGGUAUUAGGAUGCUCAGAAAACAUCACCUACAUUUGCAUAUAAUUUUUAUUCACGAAAAAAAUAUUGUUUAUACCUAUUUUUUUAAUAAUGUUAAUAAUAUUAAUUACCUCGGGUAGUUUAAACGAUGCUUUUGUCCUGAAUGCAAAUGAUAUGCCCAUAAAGGUAAUGUUUAUCUGAAUAUUUUGAUAUCUUAUUUGCAUUUUUCUGAGUUCAUAUGAAUUAGUUAUGAAUUUUCAAAGUUUUGGUCAAAUGGUCAAAGGGCAUUCGAGGGAUCUCGACGGAAAAAGUAAGGGCAAAAUUGAGCAAGCUCGAAAAGUAAGGGCAAAACCCGUGGGUAGGUACCAACUAGGGGUAAAAAUGCAAUUGUCCCUAGGAUAAAACCAACACCCAUUCUUCUUAUGGCUUGGGGAGGAAUUUCAUCACCUACAUCACAAGUGCCACUUUGCUCCACUUGGGAGCCGUUAUUCUCAUCAAACUCCACGUUACAUGUAUCCUCAAUAAGUCUAAUGAAACACUUACACCCGAACACCCGGAAGUACUUGAGAUUGGGCUUGUUCCCGGUGAGUAUCUCAUAUGGAGUCUUGUUCAAGCAUUUGCGGAGGUAGAGCCGAUUUGAUGCAUGACACACGGUGUUGAUGGCUUCCACCCAAAAGUUGUAUGGAGACUUGAACUCCGCCAUCAUGGUCCGUGCCGCAUCCAUCAACAUCCGGUUCUUCCUCUGCGCUACACCAUUUUGUUGAGGGGUGUAUGGUGCGGAAUAUUUAUGCUUGAUCCCCUCAUCUCUAAGAAACUCAUCCAAGGUGUAGUUCUUGAACUCGGUGCCGUUGUCACUUCUUAUUGUCAAGAUCAUUGCAUUGUGUUGACGUUGAGCCUCUUUUGCAAAGUUGAUGAUGGUUUGUUGGGUAUCAUUCUUCCUCUUGAAAAAGUAUACCCAAUAGUAUCUUGAAUAAUCAUCCACAAUCACCAAGCAAUACUUCCUACCCCCAAGACUAUCAAAAGAUGGAGGCCCGAAGAGAUCCAAAUGAAGGAGCUCCAAAGGCCUCUUCAAGUAGAUGAUAGUCGUGGGAGGGUGAGCCUUCUCACGUAGCUUUCCUUCGAUACAAGCACUGCAAGCACGAUCUUGGGCAAAACUAACAUUUGUUAGUCCACGGACAUGGUCCCCCUUGAGAAGACUUUGCAAAGAUCUCAUAUUGACGUGGGCCAAACGGCGAUGCCAAAGCCAUCCCACGCCAACUUUAGCCAUUAGGCAUGUCGCGGUCUUAGUGGGUCACUCCGAAAAGUUAAUCACAUAGAGACCAUUCUCGACAUGCCCAACAAAGGCUACUUUAAGAGUCUUGCUCCACAAGAGGGCCACGAUAUCAAUAUCAAAGAAAGUGGCAAAGCCCAUAAGUGCUAGUUGACGAACGGAAAGUAAAUUGUAUGCAAGGGACUCAACAAGCAUGACCUUCUCGAUCGUAAGAUCAUGAGAAAUGACAACUUUGCCGAGUCCCAAUACCUUAGAGGAUGAGGCGUCACCCUACUCAAUGUUGGUGGGCAUGGAUGGAAUCUUUUGCACGUCCACCACCAAGUCCUUGCUUCCGGUCAUAUGAUUAGUAGCUUCACUAUCGAGCAACCAUGAUCCCCCACUGGAAGCAAACACCUACAAGAGAUCAAUGCUUGGUUUUAGGUACCCAUUUUGUAAUGGGUCCUUUGAUGUUAGUAACAAGGGUAUUAGGAACCCAAAUAGACCAUUCAAUGUACUCAUAAGGAUAACCAAAAAAUUUGGCAAAAUCAUGCCCAUCUCUAGCACGGCACAACACAUAAGAAGGGUUAAAGUCACCGGCUUUGUUGGGAAUGGAAGCGUUGACCUUCUUGGCAUCACUACCCCUCACGGAGUUCUUCUCCUUCUCUUUAGUAGCACCCUCUCCCUCCUUCACAAAGGUUUUCUUGAGAGGAGGAGGUCAUUUGGCCUUGUCAUUCUUCUUCUUAUUCUUGGACUUGGGCACGUACCCAGUCCCUUCCUUGGCCACAACUCCCUUUUGGUUGGUCAAAAGGUCGUUGAGGUUCUUCUCGCCUUGUAUGCAAGAUACAAGACCUUUCUCAAGUUGCACCUUUAGCUUAGCGUUCUCCUCAACAAGAUGCACAUGCUCACAACAUGGGUUAGUAGCAUUUGCAUUAUCAAUUAACAUCAUACGAGGAAUAGUGGCUUUCUCCUUGGUUAGCUUUACUUGAAGUUGAUCAUGAGACUCUUUGAGGCUAGCAUGAGCACCCUUCAAGACCUUAUGAUCCUUGUCAAGUAGAUCAAACUCCUCUUUGAGUCUAGGAAGAUCAACCCCAAGCUUGGCCUUUUUGGAGUUUAGCACAUGAGAGACAACGAGAGCAUGAUCGAAAUCUUUCUUUAACUUAGUGUGAUCAACGUUGUGUGACUCCUCAAGAGCCAAACGAAGACCACGCUCUUCCUCAAGAGCAUUGGAAAGAUCUGAAAUCUCAUCGGCAUAGUCACGACUAUGCCCCUCCAUCUUGGUGAUAGUAUCUUCGUGAGCCUCGAUCAUGUCAUUGGCUUCACCAAGUUGUUCCAAGAGAGCAACAAAAUGCUUCUUGGAUUUACCCUUGAGUUUACCCAUAAAGGACUCAAACUCAUUUUCCUCCACAUUAGAUCCCUCAUAUUCAUCAAUGCAAUCUGUCAAGGAAGGAUUAUCAAUGAUGGUAGUUUUGAUGUUGGGGGUUACCUUGUUGGUGGCUUUAGCCAUGAGGCACUUGGCGGUGAUGUUCUCAUUGGGUGAGUCGAAGAGAGACACUCGUGGAGUUUUUGCAAUGGCAACGGAGGCCAUGGCAACCGACUCACCAUCUUCAUCAUCAUCAUCCUCAUGGUACUCUUCGUGAACCACCAACGCCUUGUGAGGUGUCUUCUUGGUGAAGUUGCUCUUGUUGGGGAAAGACUUGGCUUUGUCCUUUCGGAUGAGCUUGCCACCAUUGUCUUCCCUCUUCUCAUACGGGCACUCCGCAAAAAAUGGCUCACAUUGCCACAAUUGUAGCAAGUCCUCACACGUUGCUUGCUCUUCAUGCCACUUGAGUUGUUCUUGUUGAAGUUUGGCCUUGAGUUCUUCUUGCUCCAAAAUUGCCUUGCAGCAAGUGCCAUGUGUUCAUGAUAGGCAUACUUUGUAUCUUCGGGGUUGCUUCCCUCUUCUUCCUCCUCUUCUUCUUCAACGCAAACCUUGGCCUUCAAUGCAAGGUUGGGCUUCUUUGCCCUUUGAGAGUGAAGCACCGCAUUGUCGGUGGUCUUGUCCAAGAUGUUCAUAGCCACAAACUCAUCCAACACUUCACUUGAGGUCAAGGUGUGGAAGUCCGACUUUUGAUGAAUGACGGAGGACAUGGCCUUGUGGUAAGGCAUCAUUGCCUUGAGGAAUUUGCGCUUGAUCCAAUUGUCAUUCGUGUCCUUGCUCCCAUGAUCUCAGAGUGAGACCGCGAGUUUGGUUACUCUCCGAUAAAGCUCACGAGGUUCUUCAUCUUCUUUCAUAGCAAACUCAUCGGCUUCAUCUUGCACUACUUCAUAGUUGGAGCGUUGAAUGCUUGCGCUUCCCCAGUAGAGAGAGACAACACAAAGCCAUGCAUAUUUGGCCAAGGCGAAGGGCCGAAGAUGAGGUAGAUCUUCGGGUGGAAUUGCAUCUUGGAUGAUGAAGAGAGCAUUCUCAUUGAAUUGAUUAUCCACGGCUUCUCGAUGAGUGAAGUUGCUUGGGUCAUGCAGAUAGAAACCUUCUUUAAUGAUUCUCCAAAGAUUAGUAUUCACAUGAUUUAAAUGACGCUUAAAGCGAUAAACCCAAGAAUCAAAGUCCUCAUUUUUCACAAUCUUAGGGGGAGGACCGGCAUGUUUCAAAUGAGUGGAAGGAAUUGGUCCACCAUAAACAAGUGGUGGUUCCACAUGGGCAAAGAUGCCGGUGCCAUUUUACCACUAGAAGAAGGAGCCUUUUCACUACUAGCUUCCCCCUUGUCGGAGUUAGCAUCCGUCACCUUGUCAGUGGGAUCACCCACUGUCAACGGUGUCGUGGAUAGUUUAAGCCCUUCAAUGAAUUUAGUAAACAUGCUUUCAACCUCGGUCGUCAUUGAGGUUUUCAAUGUCUCCAAUGUUGGAAAUAUGCCCUAGAGGAAAUAAUAAAUUAGUUAUUAUUAUAUUUCCAUGUUCAUGAUAAUCGUUUAUUAUCCAUGCUAUAAUUGUAUUGAUAGGAAACUCAGAUACAUGUGUGGAUACAUAGACAACACCAUGUCCCUAGUAAGCCUCUAGUUGACUAGCUCGUUGAUCAAUAGAUGGUUACGGUUUCCUGGCCAUGGACAUUGGAUGUCAUUGAUAACGGGAUCACAUCAUUAGGAGAGUGAUGUGAUGGACAAGACCCAAUCCUAAGCCUAGCACAAGAUCAUGCAGUUCGUAUGCUAAAGCUUUUCUAAUGUCAAGUAUCAUUUCCUUAGACCAUGAGAUUGUGCAAAUCCCGGAUACCGUAGGAGUUCUUUGGGUGUACCAAACGUCACAACGUAACUGGGUGACUAUAAAGGUGCACUACAGGUAUCUCCGAAAGUGUCUGUUGGGUUGGCACGAAUCGAGACUGGGAUUUGUCACUCCGUGUAAGCGGAGAGGUAUCUCUGGGCCCACUCGGUAGGACAUCAUCAUAAUGUGCACAAUGUGAUCAAGGAGUUGAUCACGGGAUGAUGUGUUACGGAACGAGUAAAGAGACUUGCCGGUAACGAGAUUGAACAAGGUAUCGGGAUACCGACGAUCGAAUCUCGGGCAAGUACCGUACCGAUAGACAAAGGGAAUUGUAUACGGGAUUGAUUAAGUCCUUGACAUCGUGGUUCAUCCGAUGAGAUCAUCGUGGAACAUGUGGGAGCCAACAUGGGUAUCCAGAUCCUGCUGUUGGUUAUUGACCGGAGAACGUCUCGGUCAUGUCUGCAUGUCUCCCGAACCCGUAGGGUCUACACACUUAAGGUUCGAUGAUGCUAGGGUUAUAAAGGAAGCUUGUAUGUGGUUACCUAAUGUUGUUCGGAGUCCCGGAUGAGAUCCCGGACGUCAUGAGGAGUUCCGGAAUGGUCCGGAGAUAAAGAUUUAUAUAUAGGAAGUCCUAUUUCGGCCAUCGGGACAAGUUUCGGGGUCAUCGGUAUUGUACCGGGACCACCGGAAGGGUCCCGGGGGCCCACCGGGUGGGGCCACCUAUCCCGGAGGGUCCCAUGGGCUGAAGUGAGAAGGGAUCCAGCCCAAAGUGGGCUGGGGCGCCACUUCCCCUAGGGCCCAUGCGCCUAGGGUGAAAGGGGAACCCUAAGGAAGAGUCCCAAGGAGGGAAGGCACCUCCUAGGUGCCUUGGGGGGGAGGGAAACCUCCCCUGGCCGCCGCCCCCUAGGAGAUUGGAUCUCCUAGGGCUGGCGCACCCCCCCCCUUGGGCUCCCUAUAUAUAGUGGGGGUAGGAGGGCCUCUUGACACACCCCUUAUGCCUUUGGUGCAGCCCCUCCCUCUCUCCUAAGUCCUUCUCCUCUCCCGUGGUGCUUGGCGAAGCCCUGCAGGAUUGCCACGCUCCUCCACCACCACCACGCCGUUGUACUGCUGCUGGAUGGAGUCUUCCUCAACCUCUCCCUCUCUCCUUGCUGGAUCAAGGCAUGGGAGACGUCACCGGGCUGUACGUGUGUUGAACGCGGAGGUGCCGUCCGUUCGGCACUAGGAUCAUCGGUGACUUGGAUCACGACGAGUACGACUCCAUCAACUCCGUUCACUUGAACGCUUCCGCUUAGCGAUCUACAAGGGUAUGUAGAUGCACUCUCCUUCCCCUCGUUGCUGGUCUCUCCAUAGAUAGAUCUUGGUGACACGUAAGAAAAUUUUGAAUUUAUGCUACGUUUCCCAACAGUGGCAUCAUGAGCCAGGUCUAUGCGUAGUUACUAUGCACGAGUAGAACACAAAGUAGUUGUGGGCGUUGAUUUUGUUCAAUAUGCUUGCCGUUACUAGUCUUAUCUUGAUUCGGCGGCAUCGUGGGAUGAAGCGGCCCGGACCAACCUUACACGUAUGCUUACGUGAGACCGGUUCCACCGACUAACAUGCACUAGUUGCAUUAGGUGGCUGGCGGGUGUCUGUCUCUCCCACUUUACUCGGAUCGGAUUCGAUGAAAAGGGUCCUUAUGAAGGGUAAAUAGCAAUUGGCAUAUCACAUUGUGUUUUUUGCGUAGGUAAGAAACGUUCUUGCUAGAAACCCAUAGCAGCCACGUAAAACAAGCAAACAACAAUUAGAGGACGUCUAACUUGUUUUUGCAGGGUAUGCUAUGUGAUGUGAUAUGGCCAAAGGAUGUGAUGAAUGAUAUAUGUGAUGUAUGAGAUGAUCAUGUUCUUGUAAUAGGAAUCACGACUUGCAUGUCGAUGAAUAUGACAACCGGCAGGAGCCAUAGGAGUUGUCUUAAUUUAUUUAUGACUUGCGUGUCAACAUAAACGUCAUGUAAUUACUUUACUUUAUUGCUAACCGUUAGCUGUAGUAGUAGAAGUAAUAGUUGACGUGACAACUUCAAGAAGACACGAUGAUGGAGAUCAUGAUGAUGGAGAUCAUGGUGUCAUGCCGGUGACGAUGAUGAUCAUGGAGCCCCGAAGAUGGAGAUCAAAAGGAGCAAUAUGAUAUUGGCCAUAUCAUGUCACUAUUUGAUUGCAUGUGAUGUUUAUCAUGUUUAUACAUCUUAUUUUCUUAGAACGACGGUAGUAAAUAAGAUGAUCUCUCAUUAAAAUUUCAAGAAAGUGUUCCCCCUAACUGUGCACCAUUGCGACAGUUCGUAGUUUCGAAGCACCACGUGAUGAUCGGGUGUAUAGAUUCUUACGUUCGAAUACAAUGGGUGUUGACGAGCCUAGCAUGUACAAACAUGGCCUCGGAACACAUGCAAACACUUAGGUUGACUUGACGAGCCUAGCAUGUACAGACAUGGCCUCGGAACACAGAAGACCGAAAGGUCGAGCAUGAGUCAUAUAGAAGAUACGAUCAACAUGAAGAUGUUCACCGAAGUUGACUAGUCCGUCUCACGUGAUGAUCGGACACGGCCUAGUUGACUCGGAUCAUGUAAUCACUUAGAUGACUAGAGGGAUGUCUAUCUGAGUGGGAGUUCAUAAGAUGAACUUAAUUAUCCUGAACAUAGUCAAGAGAUCUUUGUAAAUUAUGUCGUAGCUCGCGCUUCAGUUCUACUGUUUAGAUAUGUUCCUAGAGAAAAUUUAGUUGAAAGUUGAUAGUAGCAAUUAUGCGGACUAGGUCCGUAAACUGAGGAUUGUCCUCAUUGCUUCAUAGAAGGCUUAUGUCCUUAAUGCACCGCUCAGUGUGCUGAACCUCGAACGUUGUCUGUGGAUGUUGCGAACAUCUGACAUACACAUUUUGAUAACUACGUGAUAGUUCAGUUAAACGGUUUAGAGUUGAGGCACCAAAGACGUUUUGAAACGUCGCGAAACAUAUGAGAUGUUUCGAGGGCUGAAAUUGGGAUUUCAGGCUCGUGCCCACGUCAAGAGGUAUAAGACCUCCGAUGAUUUUCUCAGCUUGCAAACUGAGGAGAAAAGCUCAAUUGUUGAGCUAGUGCUCAAAUUGUCUGAGUACAACAAUCAUUUGAAUCAAGUGGGAGUUGAUCUUCCAGAUAAGAUAGUGAUGUUUCUCCGAAGUCAUUACCACCAAGGUGCUAGAGCUUCGUGAUGAACUAUAAUAUAUCAGGGACAUAUAUGAUGAUCCUUGAGAUAUUCGCGAUGUUUGACACCACAAAAGUAGAAAUCAAAAGGGAGCAUCAAUUGUUGAUGGUUUGUGAAACCACUAGUUUCAAGGAGGGCAAGGGCAAAAGGGAUGCUUCAUGAAACGGCAAAUCAGCUGCUGCUCUACUGAAGAAACCCAAGGUUGAACCCAAACCCGAGACUAAGUGCUUCUGUAAUAAGGGGAACAGCCACUGGAGCAGAAUUACCCUAGAUACUUGGUAGAUGAGAAGGCUGGCAAAGUCAAUAGAAGUAUAUUGGAUAUACAUUGUGUUAAUGUGUACUUUACUAGUACUCCUAGUAGCACCAGGGUAUUAGAUACCGGUUCGGUUGCUAAGUGUUAGUAACUCGAAAUAAAAGCUACGGAAUAAAUGGAGACUAGCUAAAGGUGAGCUGACGAUAUGUGUUGGAAGUGAUUCCAAUGUUGAUAUGAUCAAGCAUCGCACGCUCCCUCUACCAUCGAGAUUGGUGUUUGCGUUGAGCAUAGACAUGAUUGGAUUAUGUCUAUCGCAAUACGGUUAUUCAUUUAAAGAGAAUAAUGGUUACUCUGUUUAUUUGAAUAAUACCUUCAAUGGUCUUGCACCUGAAAUGAAUGGUUUAUUGAAUCUCGAUCAUAAUGAUACACAUGUUCAUGCCAAAAGAUAGUAAUGAUAGUACCACCUACUUGUGGCACUGCCACGUAAGUCAUAUCGGUAUAAAACGCAUGAAGAAGCUCCAUGUUGAUGGAUCUUUGGGCUCACUCGUUUUUGAAAAGUUUGAGGCAUGCGAACCAUGUCUAUUGGUGUAUAUGCAUGAAGAAACUCCAUGCAAAUGGAGCGUUUGGACUCACUUGAUUUUGAAUCACUUGAGACAUGCAAAUCAUACCACAUGGGCAAGAUGACUAAAAGCCUCGUUUUCAGUAAAAUGGAACUAGAAAGCAACUUGUUGGAAGUAAUACAUUUUGAUGUGUGCAAUCCAAUGAGUGCUGAGGCAUGUAGUGGAUAUCGUUAUGUUCUUACUUCACAGAUGAUUUGAGUAGAUAUUGAGUAUAUUUACUUGAUGAAUCACGAGUCUGAAUUAUUGAAAGGUUCAAGUAAUUUCAGGGUGAAGUUGAAAGAUCGUCGUGACAAGAGGAUAAAAUAUCUGUGAUAUGAUCAUAGAGAUGAAUAUCUGAAUUACGAGUUUGGCACAGAAUUAAGACAAUGUGAAAAUUGUUUCACAACUAAUACAGCCUAGAACACCAUUGUGUGAUGGUGUGUCCGAACAUCAUAACUGCACCCUAUUGGAUAUGAUGCAUACCAUGAUGUCUCUUAUCGAAUUACCACGAUAGUUUAUGGGUUAGGCAUUAGAGACAACCACAUUCACUUUAAAUAGGGCACCACGUAAUUCCGAUGAGAUGACACCAUAUGAACUAUGGUUUAGAGAAACCUAAGCUGUCAUUUCUUAAAAGUUUGGGGCUGCGACGCUUAUGUGAAAAAGUUUCAGGUUGAUAAGCUCGAACCCAAAGCGGAUAAAUGCAUCUUCAUAGGACACCCAAAACAGUUGGGUAUACCUCCUAUCUCAGAUCCGAAAGCAAUAAGGGAUUGUUUCUAGAAUCGGGUCCUUUCUCGAGGAAAAGUUUCUCUCGAAAGAAUUGAGUGGGAGGAUGGUGGAGACUUGAUGAGGUUAUUGAACCGUCACUACAACUAGUGUGUGGCAGAGCACAGGGAGUUCUUCCUAUGGCACCUACACCAAUUGAAGUGGAAGCUUAUGAUAGUGAUCAUGAAACUUCAGAUCAAGUCACUACCAAACCUCGUGGGAUGACAAGGAUGCGUACUACUUCAGAGUGGUACGUAAUCCUGUCUUGGAAGUCAUGUUGCUAGACAACAAUGGACCUACGAGCUAUGGAGAAGCGAUGGUGGGCCCGGAUUCCGAUAAAUGGCUCGAGGCCAUAAAAUCCGAGAGAGGAUCCAUGUAUGAAAACAAAGUGUAGACUUUGGCAGAACGGCUCGAUGGUCGUAAUGCUAUUGAGUACAGAUGGAUUUUAAAAGGAAGACGGACAAUGAUGGUAAAUGUCACCAUUAAGAAAGCUCGACUUGUCGUUAAGAUGUUUUCCGACAAGUUCAAGGAGUUGACUGCGAUGAAACUUUCUCACUCGUAGCGAUGCUAAGAGUCUGUUGGAAUUAUAUUAGCGAUUACUGCAUUAUUUAUGAAAUCUUGCAGAUAGGAUGUCAAAACAUUGUUUCCUCGAUGUUUUUUUUAGGAAAGGUUGUAUGUGAUACAACCGGAAGGUUUUGUCAAUCCUGAAAGAUGCUAAUAAGUAUGCAAAGCUCCAGCAAUCCUUCUGAGGACUGGAGUAAGCAUCUCGGAGUUGGAAUGAAUGCUUUGAUGAUGAUCAAAGAUUUUGGGUUUAUACAAAGUUUAUGAGAAACUUGUAUUUCCAAAGAAGUGAGUGGGAGCACUAUAGAAUUUCUGAUGAGUAUAUGUUGUUGACAUAUUGUUGAUCAGAAAUGACGUAGAAUUUCUGGAAAGCAUAUAGGGUUAUUUGGAAAGUGUUUUUUCAAUGGAAAGCCUGGAUUAAGCUACUUGAACAUUGAGCAUCAAGAUCUAUAAGGAUAGAUCAAAACGCUUAAUGGUACUUUCAAAUGAGCACAUACCUUGACAUGAUCUUGAAGGUGUUCAAGAUGGAUCAGUCAAAGAAGGAGUUCUUGCCUGAGUUGUAAGGUAUGAAGUUAAGACUUAAAGCUCGACCACGGCAGAAUAGAGAGAAAGGAUGAAGGUCAUCCCCUAUGCUUAAGACAUAGGCUCUACAGUAUGCUAUGCUGUGUACCGCACCUGAAGUGUGCCUUUCCAUGAGUCAGUCAAGGGGUACAAAAGUGAUCCAAGAAUGGAUCACAGGACAGCAGUCAAAGUUAUCCUUAGUAACUAGUGGACUAAGGAAUUUUCUCGGUUAUGGAGGUGAUGAAGAGUUCGACGUAAAGGGUUACGACGAUGCAAGCUUAACACCUAUCCGGAUAGCUCUGAGUAGAGAUACCGGAUACGUAUAAUGGAGCAACAAUUUAGAACAACUCCAAGUAGAACAGUUAUUUGAAAUGGCUCCAAAUAGAGCGUGGUAGCUGCAUCUAGGAGAUGACAUAAAGAUUUGUAAAGCACACACGGAUCUGAAAGGUUCAGACCCGUUGACUAAAACCUCUCUCACAAGCAACAUGAUCAAACCCAGAACUCAUUGAGUGUUAAUCACAUAGUGAUGUGAACUAGAUUAUUGACUCUAGUAAACUCUUGGAUGUUGGUUACAUGGCGAUGUGACCUGUGAGUGUUAAUCACAUGGCGAUGUGAACUAGAUUAUUGACUCUAGUGCAAGUGGGAGACUGUUGGAAAUAUGCCCUAGAGGCAAUAAUAAAUUAGUUAUUAUUAUAUUUCCUUGUUCAUGAUAAUCGUUUAUUAUCCAUGCUAUAAUUGUAUUGAUAGGAAACUCAGAUACAUGUGUGGAUACAUAGACAACACCAUGUCCCUAGUAAGCCUCUAGUUGACUAGCUCGUUGAUCAAUAGAUGGUUACGGUUUCCUGACCAUGGACAUUGGAUGUCAUUGAUAACGGGAUCACAUCAUUAGGAGAAUGAUGUGAUGGACAAGACCCAAUCCUAAGCCUAGCACAAGAUCAUGUAGUUCGUAUGCUAAAGCUUUUCUAAUGUCAAGUAUCAUUUCCUUAGACCAUGAGAUUGUGCAACUCCCGGAUACCGUAGGAGUGCUUUGGGUGUACCAAACGUCACAACGUAACUGGGUGACUAUAAAGGUGCACUACAGGUAUCUCCGAAAGUGUCUGUUGGGUUGGCACGAAUCGAGACUGGGAUUUGUCACUCCGUGUAAGCGGAGAGGUAUCUCUGGGCCCACUCGUUAAGACAUCAUCAUAAUGUGCACAAUGUGAUCAAGGAGUUGAUCACGGGAUGAUGUGUUACGGAACGAGUAAAGAGACUUGCCGGUAACGAGAUUGAACAAGGUAUCUGGAUACCGACGAUCGAAUCUCGGGCAAGUACCGUACCGAUAGACAAAGGGAAUUGUAUACGGGAUUGAUUAAGUCCUUGACAUCGUGGUUCAUCCGAUGAGAUCAUUGUGGAACAUGUGGGAGCCAACAUGGGUGUCCAGAUCCCGCUGUUGGUUAUUGACCGGAGAACGUCUCGGUCAUGUCUGCAUGUCUCCCGAACCCGUAGGGUCUACACACUUAAGGUUCGAUGACGCUAGGGUUAUAAAGGAAGCUUGUAUGUGGUUACCGAAUGUUGUUUGGAGUCCCGGAUGAGAUCCCGGACGUCAUGAGGAGUUCCGGAAUGGUCCGGAGGUAAAGAUUUAUAUAUAGGAAGUCCUAUUUCGGCCAUCGGGACAAGUUUCGGGGUCAUCGGUAUUGUACCGGGACCACCGGAAGGGUCCCGGGGGCCCACCGGGUGGGGCCACCUAUCCCGGAGGGUCCCAUGGUCUGAAGUGAGAAGGGAUCCAGCCCAAAGUGGGCUGGGGCGCCACUUCCCCUAGGGCCCAUGCGCCUAGGGUGAAAGGGGAACCCUAAGGAAGAGUCCCAAGGAGGGAAGGCACCUCCUAGGUGCCUUGGGGGGGAGGGAAACCUCCCUUGGCCGCCGCCCCCUAGGAGAUUGGAUCUCCUAGGGCUGGCGCACCCCCCCCUUGGGCUCCCUAUAUAUAGUGGGGGUAGGAGGGCCUCUUGACACACCCCUUAUGCCUUUGGUGCAGCCCCUCCCUCUCUCCUAAGUCCUUCUCUCUCGUGGUGCUUGGCGAAGCCCUGCAGGAUUGCCACGCUCCUCCACCACCACCACGCCGUUGUGCUGCUGCUGGAUGGAGUCUUCCUCAACCUCUCCCUCUCUCCUUGCUGGAUCAAGGCAUGGGAGACAUCACCGGUCUGUACGAGUGUUGAACGCGGAGGUGCCGUCCGUUCGGCACUAGGAUCAUCGGUGAUUUGGAUCACGACGAGUACGACUCCAUCAACUCCGUUCACUUGAACGCUUCCGCUUAGCAAUCUACAAGGGUAUGUAGAUGCACUCUCCUUCCCCUCGUUGCUGGUCUCUCCAUAGAUAGAUCUUGGUGACACGUAAGAAAAUUUUGAAUUUAUGCUACGUUUCCCAACAUCCAAGGCUACAUUGAAUUCCUCACGGGAGAUCAAGGUCCCCCCAUCACCCGUAGACGAGAUCGGAUUCACACCGGAGUGCUCCUCCACACCGUCUACGGUGUCAACCAUACUCUUUGGAUGACACAGUCCUUAUUAAAGAGACGAGGCUCUGAUACCAAUUGAAAGGAUCGAUAUGGUUGACUAGAGGGGGUGAAUAGGCCACUAACAAUUUUUAGCUUUUCUUUACCAAAUUAAACUUUGCAUCAAAGUAGGUUGUCUAGACAUGCAACUAUGUGAGCAACCUAUAUGAUGCAACAACAAUAAGCACACAAGCAAGCAAGGGAGAUAACACAAUUAAGCUUGCACAAGUAAAGGUACGAGAUAACCAAGAGUGGAGCCGGUGGAGACAAGGAUGUGUUACCGAAGUUCCUUCCUUUUGCGUGGAAGUAUGUCUCCGUUGGAGCGGUGUGGAGGCACAAUGCUCCCCUAGAAGCCACUAGGGCCACCAUAUUCUCCUCACGCCCUCACACAAUGCGAGAUGCCGUGAUUCCACUAUUGAUGCCCUUGGAGGCGGCGACUGGACCUUUACAAACAAGGUUGGGGCAAUCUCCACAACUUAAUUGGAGGCUCCAACAACAACACCAUGAAGCUUCACCACAAUGGAAUAUGGCUCCGCGGUGACCUCAACCAUCUAGGGUGCUCAAACACCCAAGAGUAACAAGAUCCGCAAGGGAUUAGUGGGGGGAAUUGAAUUUCUCUUGGUGGAAGUGUAGAUCGAGGCCUUCUCAACCAAUCCCUAGAAAAUCAACAAGUUUGAUUGGCUAGGGAGAGAGAUCGGGCGAAAAUGGAGCUUGGAGCAACAAUGGAGCUUAGGGUUGGAAGAGGUAGUCAACUCGGAGAAGAAGAUACCCCUUAUAUAGUGGAGAGAGAAAUCCAACUGUUAUCCACUUAACCAUCCCGCGAUAAGCGGUACUACCACGCCUACCAAGCGGUACUACCGCAAGGCCUUAUGGUACUACCGCACACCCUUGCGGUGCUACCGCAAGGCAGGGUUGGACCAGUCUGGGAAGGCCGUGGACAGAUAAACGUCCGUGGCUAGUUCCGCUGAUUACAAAAUAGUGCAAAAAGUCCGACAUGGUACUACGGCUGAAGUCAAGCGGUACUACCGCGCGGGGAGCGGAUGUAAAAUAUUACAUCCGCUCCUACUUCCGCUACUGGUGCUGUGCCGAACCAGGUCUCACGGUACUACGGCUCCCAAGGAGCAGUACUACCAUGACCACCUGCGAUACUAACGCAAGGGCAUGCGGUACUACCGCAGGGGCCUGCAGUACUACCGCUCCGAAGAGCAGUACUACCGCAAGCCUCAGAACAGCAACAGAUAGGAAGACUUCUUUUUGCACAGACAAGAAGAAACAAAGGAUGCUCCUAGGUGCUAAAGGAAAGGUGGUGCAAAGAGGAGUAAACGUGUACGUGACGAUUCCACCAAAACCUUUCCAAAGCAGACUGCCUCUUAAUAGUACGACUUCCCUACGACUCAAAUCCACCGAAAAAGGAACGUAGAAAAACGCCGUCUUCAAUAAUCUUCGAGGGGCUCCUAACCGUCUCGUGCCUAGUCAUGAAAUAUCUGAAAUACUUGAGACCCGCGAUUAGUCCACAAAUGCAUUGUCAUCAAUCACCAAAACACCUUAGGGAUAAAUAUGCCCUUACACUCGUCAACCUCUCAAUCCCAUGAGUUGACGAAACGAGCUCUUGAGAGCAAAGAUGACUUGGGAUCCCGUGGACUAUCCUUCCCACCGCUCUCUUCGCGCAACGACUACGCGCAUCUCUCUCACUUGGCUCUCACACGGCUAUGGGCUAUAUACCGCUUGUCGCUUCAUGCUCAUUUUCCCGUUUUCACUUUGCAUGCUAUGUUGGCUUUGCCAUGCAAUUGUGACCCUUGCUUGCAUCUACCCAUGAUUCACCAUUAUGCUACUACUAUGUGUAUUUGCAUGCUCGGUGGAGAUCCUUGUUGCUUUUGGCAUGUUUAUCAUGUGCACCAUGCUAUUGAUGCUAUUUUGGUCAUAUACUCCUUUCACGCUUAUGCUAUGUCAUGUGAAUUAUUCAUGCACACUAUUUGCACCCAUGCCAUGAUUGCUAUGUUUCCCUCUAGUAUGUUGCAUCUUCGCACUACUAGCUCACACCACUUGAUUGCUAUGAUUGCUUGCUUUGUCGCAUCACCCAUGUUCCAUUAUUACUUGCUUUCUUGGGUUGAUGACGCAUAUGUUCAUGCCUGUCACAUGAUAUAUUUUGUUCAUUGUCGCUUGCCUCCAAUUGUUGCAUCUAUGCUUAUUGAUCGUGGAGACUUGGACACCUUACUUGUGAUGCAUGCUUGCUUGAUUAUGCCUAUUCUAUUUGGUUGUUCUCCCAUCAUAUACCUCCAUACUAUGAAAUGCUCCCUUGUCCUUUCUUAUGAUGAGCAUGAUGCAUACACUUGUUGGGUAUCUUACCACACGAAUGAUAGGUUUUGCACUGCCGCUAACCUCAUUUGUUUUUCCGAGUGUUUGUCAUGUUGUUUCGUUUUGAAGGAUUCACAAGGUGGUACCAUCACGAGACAACUUGGUCAGGUGAAGGCGUACACGAUGCGCGACACCAACAUUUUUGACAUUCUCAUAAAGGUCAACUCCUUCCCUUUGAGCCAUCCUCAAAUAUGCAUAUUGGAUGGGUCACUCUUUCAUUGUUGUAUCCUUCUUGUUGUCUACAUGAUACAUCUCGCGAACGGAGGACCGACAUUGAAGAUUGGCUCUAUGGACCUUCGCAUUGAAGAGCGCUCGGACUUAUUGGAUGCACCUUCGAACCUCCACUCAUACCACGACAUCGAGCAUUGGUACACCAACACCUCCAAAUUUGUUGAUUGUGCUCACACUUGUCAUGCUCAUUGGACAUCUUACACACAUGACAAAUUUGCAUCUUAUGCAUGGAUUGAAUCCCAUUAUGAUUGGCUAGUUGCAUCUUGUAUUCCCGUGUCAUCCAUGAUAUAUGAGCUUGUGCAUUUCCUUAGCAAAUUUGUUGUGAUCAACCUUGAUGGCAUAUUCAUACAUCAUGAUCUUAUUUCCUACCAUCAAUUGCAUGAUCACAUCACAUUGAGCAUCCAUUACCAUAUUCAUGCUAUUGAUAAACCGUCUCACUAUGACAUCAUUUUUCAUCGUGGUUGCAUUGAUCAUAUUCAUGCAUUUGCUCCCAUGAAUACUUUGCAUGCCAUUCCAUCUCUUUUGGAUAAGCUUCAUGCACCUUGUCAUGAUCAAUAUUGUCGCACAGACACAUGUUUACUUGAUGGACACUUUGCGUGCGCUAAUGAUACAUCUCCAACGUAUCUAUAAUUUUUGAUUGCUCCAUGCUAUAUUAUCUACUGUUUUGGGCAAUAUUGGGCUUUAUUAUCCACUUUUAUAUUACUUUUGGGACUAACCUAUUAACCGGAGGCCUAGCCCAGAUUUGUUGUUUUUUUGCCUAUUUCAGUGUUUCGAAGAAAAGGAAUAUCAAACGAAGUCGAAACAGAACGAAAUCAAUUGGAGAAGUUACUUUUGGAAGGAAAGCAACCCAGGGAACUUGGAGUGCACGUCAGGGGAGACACGGGCUGCCCACGAGGGUGGGGGGCGCGCCCACCCCCUAGGGCGCGCCCCCCUGCCUCGUGGGGCCCCCGUGGCUCCUCCGACGUACUUCCUGCACCCAUAUAUAUCGUCGUACCCUAAAACUUCCAGAACGGAGAUUAGAUCAGGAGUUCCGCCGCCGCAAGCCUCUGUAGCCACCAAAAGUCAAUCAGGAACCUGUUCAGGCACCCUGCCAGAGGGGGGGAUCCCUCACCGGUGGCCAUCUUCAUCAUCCCGGCGCUCUCCAUGACGAGGAGGGAGUAGUUCUCCCUCGGGGCUGAGGGUAUGUACCAGUAGCUAUGUGUUUGAUCUCUUUCUCUUGUGUUCUUGAUUUGGCACGAUCUUGAUGUAUCACGAGCUUUGCUAUUAUAGUUGGAUCUUAUGUUUCUCCUCCCCCUCUUAUCUCUUGUAAUGAAUUGAGUUUCCUCUUUGAAGUAAUCUUAUCGGAUUGAGUCUUUAAAGAUUUGAGAACACUUGAUGUAUGUCUUGGUGAUCAACUUGCGGGUUUCGUGACAUUGGGAACCUACGCAUAGGGGUUGGCACACGUUUUCGUCGUGAUUCUCCGGUAGAAACUUUGGGGCACUCUUUGAGGUCCUUUGUGUUGGUUGAAUAGAUGAAUCUGAGAUUGUGUGAUGCAGAUCGUAUAAUCAUACCCACGGAUACUUGAGGUGACAUUGGAGUAUCUAGGUGACAUUAGGGUUUUGGUUGAUUUGUGUCUUAAGGUGUUAUUCUAGUACGAACUCUAGGGCUGUUUGUGACACCUAUAGGAAUAGCCCAACAGAUUGAUUGGAAAGAAUAACUUUGAGGUGGUUUCGUACCCUACCAUAAUCUCUUCGUUCGUUCUCCGCUAUUAGUGACUUUGGAGUGACUCUUUGUUGCAUGUUAAGGGAUAUUUAUGUGAUCCAAUUAUGUUAGUAUUGUUGAGGGAACUUACACUAGUGAAAGUAUGAACCCUAGGCCCUAUUUCCCAUCAUUGCAAUACCGUUUACGCUCACUUUUAUCAUUAGUUACCUUGCUGUUUUUAUUAUUUCAGAUUACAAAUACCUUUAUCUACUAUCCAUAUACCACUUGUUUCACCAUCUCUUUGCCGAACUAGUGCACCUAUACAAUUUACCAUUGUAUUGGGUGUGUUGGGGACACAAGAGACUCUUUGUUAUUUGGUUGCAGGGUUGCUUGAGAGAGACCAUCUUCAUCCUACACCUCCUACGGAUUGAUAAACCUUAGGUCAUCCAUUUGAGGGAAAUUUGCUACUGUCCUACAAACCUCUGCACUUGGAGGCCCAACAACGUCUACAAGAAGAAGGUUGUGUAGUAGACAUCAAGCUCUUUUCUGGCGCCGUUGCCGGGGAGGUUAGCGCUUGAAGGUAUAUCUUUAGAUCUUGCAAUCGAGUCUUUUAGUUUCUUGUUUUAUCACUAGUUUAGUUUAUAAAAGAAAAUUACAAAAAAAUGGAAUUAAGUUUGCCUCAUACGCUUCAUCUUUUUAAUAUAUUUCAUGAGUAUGAUGGAAAGGAAAAUUGUGCUCAAGUGCUAGAAGAAGAAAUCUGUAAAAUGUUUGGCACUAAAUAUUUGAAUGAUGAGCAUGAUUGCAAUGUUGUUAGUAUGAAUUCCUUGAAUAUCCAUGAUGCUAAUGAUAUGCAAAGCCACAAGCUUCGGGAAGCUAUGUUUGAUGAAGAUGAUAUUUUUUGUCCCCCAAGUUCUGAUGAGCAAAUUUAUUAUGAUGAAAGCAUGCCUCCUAUUUAUGAUGAUUAUAUUGAUGAAAGUGGAUUUGGAGAGGUCAUGACUUUAUUUUGUGAUGAAUCCACUAUUUCGAAAGAGGUUCCAAUUGAUUAUGAGAACAAAGUUGCUAUCUAUGAUGAUUAUUGUGAUGGCUUGUAUGCUAUAAAGAAUAAUGAUAUCCAUGAAACUUGUCAUAUGCCUCACAUGAUAAUUAUUUUGUUGAGUUUGCUCCCACUAUUAUUCAUGAGAAGAAAUUUGCUUAUGUGGAGAGUAGUAAAUUUUCUAUGCUUGUAGAUCAUGAAAAGAAUGAUUUAGGUGCUGGUUAUAUUGUUGAAUUCAUUCAUGAUGCUACUGAAAAUUAUUAUGAGGGAGGGACAUAUGCUUGUAGGAAUUGCAAUAAUAUCAAGUUUCCUCUCUAUGUGCUUAAAGUUUUGAAGUUAUGCUUGUUUUACCUUCCUAUGCAAGUUGAUCCUUGUCCCCACAAGUUGUUUGCUCACAAAAUCCCUAUGCAUAGGAAGUGGGUUAGACUUAAAUGUGCUAGUCAUAUUCUUCAUGAUGCUCUCUUUAUGUUACAAUUCUUAUCUUUUAUGUGAGCAUCAUUGAAAUCAUCAUGCCUAGCUAGGGGCAUUAAACGAUAGCGCUUGUUGGGAGGCAACCCAACUUUAUUUUUGUUCCUUGAUUUUUGUUCCUGUUUAGUAAUAAAUAAUUCAUCUAGAAUCUGUUUAGAUGUGGUUUUAUGCUUUUAAUUAGUGUUUGUGCCAAGUAGAACCUUUGGGAAGACUUGGGGAAAGUCUUGUUGAUCAUGCUGUAAAAAUAAUAGAAACUUUAGUGCUCACGAGAACUACUGCCAUUUUUAUUUGGAGAGUGCUAUUUAGUUAAUUCUUUUUUAAUAUGAUUAAUAGAUAAAUUCCUUAGGUCCAGAAAUUUAUUUGAGAAUUUUAUGAGUUCCAUAAGUAUACGUUUGAUCCAGAUUACUACAGACUGUUCUGUUUUUGACAGAUUCUGUUUUUCGUGUGUUAUUUGCUUAUUUUGAUGAAUCUAUGAGUAGUAUCGGAGGGUAUGAACCAUAGAUAAGUUGGAAUACAGUAGAUAUUACACCAAUAUGAAUUAAUAAUGAGUUCAUUACAGUACCUUGAAGUGGUGAUUUAUUUUCUUAUACUAACGGAGCUUACGGGUUUUCUGUUAAGUUUUGUGUUGUGAAGUUUUCAAGUUUUGGGUAAGGAUUCGAUGGACUAUGGAAUAAGGAGUAGCAAGAGCCUAAGCUUGGGGAUUCACAAGGCACCCCAAGGUAAUAUUCAAGGACAACCAAAAGCCUAAGCUUGGGGAUGCCCCGGAAGGCAUCCCCUCUUUCGUCUUCGUUCAUCGGUAACUUUACUUGGAGCUAUAUUUUUAUUCACCACAUGAUAUGCGUUUUGCUUGGAGCGUCAAUUUAUUUUGUUAGAAUUUGCUUUCUGUUAUUUAGAACAAUGUUUUGCAUCUUUUAUUUCAAUAAAAGUGGCAUUGAUAGCCUUUACUAUGCCUAUGUUACAAGUAUACAUGUUGCUGUUUGAAAACAGAAAGUUUACCGCUGUUGCAAUAAUUCCCUAGAAAAGUCAGAAUGUGAUAAAAUGUUGAAACCUUUUGCAUAUUAAGCUUUGAUAAAUUUACUACAGUGGUAAUUUUAUUUCAUAAUUUUUGGAGCUAGGGAAGUAUGGAUGUUGCAGCAUUCUUUACAGACUAUCCUGUUUAGGCAGAUUGCUGUUAUGUUUGCAUUGUUUGCAUAUAUUUGCUUCUUUAAUAAUUCUAUUUGAGGAUAGGACUAUUAAAUAUGCAGAGGCAUUUAUUAUGCAAUGUUGAAUAAUAAUUUUAGUGAUUUGCUACAGUAGAGUAUGAUAAGGUUUUGGCAAUGGUUUAUACUAACUUAUCUCACGAGUCCUUGUUGAGUUUUGUGUGGAUGAAGCUUUUGAGAUUUAGGGAGACUGUGAUAUGAGAGGAAUUAAGGAGACACAAAAGCUCAAGCUUGGGGAUGCCAAAGGCACCCCAAGAUAAUAUUUCAAGAAGUAUCAAGCAUCUAAGCUUGGGGAUGCCCCGGUUGGCAUCCCACCUUUCUUCUUCAACAAUUAUCGGUUAGUAUCGGUUAAAGACCCACCGGACGACCGGCCCGGACCGGACGACCGGCGACACCGCACCCGAGCCAAAAUGAGUGGAUGUCCGACAAGUCCCGGAUGUCCGACACACUCCAGCGUUCGGACGUCCGACCGUCCCCGGAAAUCCGGCGCCACCUCAUCCGAGCCGAAACGCCGGACGUCCGACAAGUACCGGAUGACCGGACCCUCACGAGCCACCGGACGUCCGAUACCUAUCGGACGACCGACGCCUGUCUGUGCACAGAUCGGGCCUGAGGCCCAUGUACCCCUUCACUUCGCCCCUAUUUGCACUAAGACUAUAAAUAGACCUUCUCCACCUCCUAGUGAGGGUUAGCGUUAUGAUAGCUCAUUUGAGAGAUAGAGCUACACUCAUCCAUAUCUGAUCUCCUCCUUGCGAGAGACCGUGGCCUCUUCGGAAAAGAUCCCUUUGGAUUCAAGCCCCCUUUCUAAGGGAAGAUCCCCCCGUGGGUUCAAGACCUCCUCACGAAGAAGACCGGUUACCAUGUAUCGUCCCUAGUUGAUCGUGUACCGUGUAUCGUUCCUCGUAUCGUUCCAUGUAUCCGAGGAUCUAGCACAUGUGUGACCUAUUCAAGUUGGUUUGAGUGUUUUCUCUCGUUUUCCCCUUUGUGUUCUUCGUGCUCUUCGCGGGAUUCCGCUCCUUUCGUGAAAUAUCGGGCGAUAGGGUUCCUACCCUGCAUCAUAUCGGGUGAUAGUGUCGCAUGCCUUGUGUGGCACGGAGUCGACCCCGCCCGCACGACCGCGUCCGGGCGCGCGCAGCCACAGCACGCAGGUCCAGUGUGUGGCAUAACCGCCCACACGUCCGGGCGAACGACCGCGCUGCCCGCACGACCCAACACGCCCGUCGUCCUGGCCUCAUUUCAAUCCCCAAUGCGACCUACACCGUCGUCUCCUACCUCUCGAUCCCCUACUUCCAUCACCUUCCUUCUCUAGUUGGCAUGGCAACCAGAUCAGAUCCCUAGCGCCCCCCCACCGCUAACCAACACCCCCAACCCCGCCCUCCCAAGACGACGAUCUAAAAUAGGUGGAUCUCCGAUCUCCUUCUGUUUCUCGGCCUUCUUCUGUCCAGAAAUUUGGAAUUGCAGAUUGCCCACGAAGAUGCCAGCUAGAUCCAUGCUGUCUGGGCAAACACACCGUGGGUUUUGUGUGUAUUCACAUUUGCCCACCAGAAUACGCCAGAUCUGCCAUAUUCUGUACUAGAGUUGAGCUAAGCUUCUGGGUUGGCUUGGUGCGAGCAGUUGGUACUGAAGGAUGCAUAGGAAUCACUAAAAGUAGGGAGAGAAAGGAGGAAUUUGGCACAGGGAGGGAGGAAAAAUAAUUGCCACUUGUAUCUAACAUCAGUUGCCACCUAUCGUUGUUGUUAGUUGCCACCAUGUUAUGUUGUUGCUUGUCAUCCUAUUUUACUGGCUGUUGCCGUCGCUUCAAAAUGAUAGCUGGCAUCCAGAUUUUAGAAAAGAGAAUUAAUGUGCAUGUCCUACUUGCCAUGAUGUGUUGGUUGCCUACACAGGAAAUGUGAUAAGAUUGCCGUGUUAUCUUCUAUGUGCAAACAACAAGGAUGCAUUUUGUGAAUUAUUGAUGCGUUCUUGUUCAUGCAGUGACAUAAAACACAGUGGCAGAAAAAAAGCGGAAGAAUGAAUCACGAAGACGGCACUGAUCCUUGGUUUUCUCAAAGGCCGGAAACGCCCCCUUGGGAUGCAGCAGAGUACAAUCAACUCAUUUCUGCAGGGCCGUUGCUGCCACUACUAGAGCAGUACGCGGGCAUUGGUACGAUGCAUGAUUUUAAAAAAGGAAUAGUUGCCAUGUUUGUGACGAGGAAGGUGUCAUUCUACUUAUGUCCUACAAUCAUUUUUCGCAAGUUCUUAUGAUCCAACCACACUCACGGGGAUACCAUGGCAAGUUCAGUUACAGGGCGCUAACGCUGACAAAUGUACGGGUGACCAACUUCAAGUAGCUAAUGUGGAAAAUUAAGGUAACGCAUACGAAAAGAAACAUACUGGUGUGGCCAUGAAAUUAAACUUGCAAAGAUGGCAAAGGACUCACGUGGCAUCAAGCGGCAACCAUGUACCUGCCAUCAACGUCGUACACAGGUGAGUCCAUGAAGUGAAGUUGUGAGAAGUGAAUUAGGAGAAGGAACAUAGGUGACAUUGGGGUUGCCAUGCCUGGACAGCUGCAGUUGCCAUGCUUGGACAGCUGCAGUUGCCAUGCCUAGACAGCUGCAGUUGCCAUGUGUCAUAAAAUGUGAUUGCAAAAUGUCUAAACAACUGUGGAUGACAGGUGUGAACAAAUCUGUGUGGCAUGGAUGCACCACUACAUGUGCCAUGUUGUACAAACUACAGUUGCCAUGCAUUGACCAAAUACUAAAAUGAUCAUAGGUUGUUAUGGUGAAACCACAUCGGCAAACGUCUCAUCGCAAGCUUCAUAGCUGCAGGCCAACGCUAUUGCAGAUAGAGCACAUCAAAUUGGAAUGACAAACCAGAUACGAUCAACACAUGCGGCACAACAAGGUAAAAAAUGUGAAACAAAAAAACAGUAGUGGAUUUGCUUUUGUGGGAAAAGCAUGGGAUGAAAAGUAGAUUUGUCACGGUGGUGGUGGAAAAAACAAACAAAAAAUGCUACCAAGUGGUGCGUGCAAAAAGUCAUCUAUUGUCUUCAGGAUUUGCCAACUGCUAUAUGAUUGUGCGCAACAUUCAUGAUUGAUCGCAUUUGACUAGUGAGCUCGUACCUAGAAUACAAGUUUUGAUGCUACAAGAUAUUGGUUGCCAUGUCUUGGCAACAGUAGUUGCCAUGUAUGUUGGACUAUAGCUAUCAUGGCUGUAGAAUCCAAGUUUUGAUGCUAAAAGAUGCUGGUUACCAUGUGUUGGCAAUAGUAGUUGCCAUGUUUGUUGGACUGUAGCUGCCAUGACUGGAAAACUACAGUUGCCAUGCAUGGCCAUAUGCAGAUUCCACGGCUUGCUGUGUGAAUGAUGUCAUGCCAAAUCACAUGUAGAUGUUUUAUUACGUUACGAUAAACAUGCCAUUCAAGCAAUGCUUGCACUUGUACCUGCUUUUUAAUUGCAGGACCUUCAACUACAAUCAACAGCAGCGCGGGGACAUCUACUGCGGGAUCCUCUGAGCACGCGAAAGAAGAGUUCCACCAGCCAGCCAAGAAUCCUGCCACAAAUAAUGCAGAGUCAGUGUCGGAAAUGGCAACCGUUCCAGCAAUGCCGACAAGCACACCUUUGCACACCAGCACAUGCAACACUCAAGCAGAUGAAACAUCCAUUGAUACUGAAGUGAAUGAUGAAACUGGUGACGAAGCACAAGGGGAUGAAGAAGAUGGGCAAUCAGAAAUCAUGGUACCUCAGCCACCGUAUGUUGGGCAGAGAUUUGAUUCGUUCGAAGAUGCCAAGGAAUUCUACCAGAGAUAUGCAAUGUUCCAUGGGUUUGCAGUCAAUACCGAAUACCAUAGGAAAAUUAAAAAACUAACGAGUACAGCAGAAGGUGAGAUGAGGUGCUACAAGGCACGAAGGAACAAGAAGGAUAAAUGUGUUGCGCUUGUCGUUCCGGAACGAAAGAGAGGUAUCAUUGUCAAGACGGAAUGCCCUGUCCGGUGUAAGCUAAACAUAGAUGGAGCACGGUGGGUGGUCACUGAAUAUUUUGAUGAGCACAACCACGAACUCAUAAAGAAGUUUGACCUGGUAAAAUUUUUGAGCGCCCAUAGAGGAUUCACCCCCCUCGAGAAGAAAUUCAUAAAGCUGCUACAUGAUUGUAACGUCGGUCCAUCAAGAAUGGUCCAAAUAAUGUCCCUCAUCCACAGCGGAGAUGGUAGACUGAGUAGCAUGCCCUACAUACCGGCAGACGUCACAAACCUAAAGGCAAAGUACCGUAGAGAGAGCAGGUUGGCUGACAUAGAAGACACGAUAGCCUACUUCGAUGAGAAAGCAAAAGCAGAUCCAGAUUUCUUCUACAGGAUAAGAUUGGACGACGAGGACUGUGUCAGGAACAUGUAUUGGGUGGAUGGUGCUGCAAGAAGAGCCUACAAACAUUUCCGAGAUUGCAUUUCGUUCGACGCGACAUAUCUCACUAAUAUGUACAAGAUGCCAUAUGCUCCAUUCAUAAGAAUAAAUAACCGCAAUCAGUCAUUGCAGUUUGGAUGCGGGCUCGUUCGGAAUGAAGACACGGAUGGAUACACUUGGCUAUUCAAAACCUUCUUGGAGUGCAUAGGUGGACUUGCUCUGAUGAACAUAAUAACAGACCAGGAUUUUAGCAUGCGUGCAGGCAUAGAGGAGGUCUUUUCGUUGGCAGUGCACAGGCACUGCAGGUGGCAUAUUAUAAAGAAGGCUGAGGAGAUGCUAGGACCGUUCUUUGCUGACCGUCCAGAGCUGCACAAGGCAUUCGAGUUGUGCAUGGACCACAACUUGAUGGUGGAGGAGUUUGAACGAAGCUGGACAACUAUGAUUGAAACAUAUCAAGUCCAAGACAACGAGACGCUUGCUAGCCUGUGGGAGAAGCGAAUGUACUGGGUGCCGGCCUACUUCAUGCAGUGCUUCUUCCCAUUUCUGCAGACUACGCAGCGCAGUGAGGGGUUCAAUGCUGUUUUGAAGCAGUACGUGAGCCCUGGCAACUCAUUGUUGUAGUUUGCCAAGCAAUACAUAGCUUUGCAACAAAAAAUACUAGGAUCUGAGCUGCAGCAAGAAGCAAACACCGUGCUCAAGCGACCUAAAUUGCUAACAUAUUUACCAAUGGAGAGGCAGAUGAGCAAGACAUAUACCAACAAAAUUUUUAACAAGCAAGUUAGUUGUGUUACCAUCUUAUUUGCACAAAGCAUGAAGGUAGUAGGUGCCAUAUAGAAUGCAAUGCAGUUGCCAGCUUUUUUGAAAUGCUGAUAUGUUGAAAGUAGCCAUUGAGUACAGGUAAUCAUGAUAUGUAGUUGCCAUGUUUAAUGAACUGUAGUUGUCGUGUGAAGUCAACUAUAGUUGCCAUGUUUACUUAACUGUAGUUGCCAUGUUUAAUGAACUGUAGUUGCCGUGUGAAAUCAGCUAUAGUUGCCAUGUUUAAUGAACUGUAGUUCCAUUUGCCAUGAUGGAAUGUAAUGCACUUGCCGAUUAAAAUGUUAUGCAUUUGCCAUGUGAAAAUAUCAUGCAGUUGCCGUAUGGAAACAAACAACACAAGAACAGAUGUGGGCAAAAAAACAAGAUUUCCAUGCCAUCAUUCAUUUUAGAUGCCUUUGCUACGUUACAACCUACAUCAGCAUAAGGUGCUGCAAAACAUCAUAUAGGAGUUUAAAAAUCCACAAAAACUUGCAGAUUCCAGGAAGAAAUAAAGCGUGCCAGCAUGUACACGGCUUACCAGGUGGACGAAUAUGUUCAAGGUGUGUUCUCUCUUGGGCAUGUCGGAUUCAGAACCUGAAGACCCAGACAAAGGAAGGAACUAUUUUGUGAAGGCCUCGAUAAGCGAAGGUGAAUACUACUGCCAAUGUUGCAAAUUCGAAUGGGAUGGGAUUGUGUGCUGUCACAUACUAAAAGUAAUGGACAUGAACGCGGUGACACGAAUGCCCCGCCAUUUCAUACGGCGGCAAUGGACUUGGGACGCUGACGACGCGUUGGGGCCACAAACAUCAAAUGCAGUUUUGGCUAUGCAUGAUGAGAGACCAGAGUCAACCAUGGAAGCCGUUAGGCACGUUGUGUUGACAAAGAACUAUUCUGAACUAAUAGAUGAAGCGUGCAAGAGUGAUGAGACAGCGAGGGUUGCAGAAAAACACAGGAAGGCACUGAAAAGAGAGCUUGAUGAGAUCAAGAAGAGGAAACCUGAGGAAGCCUUACACAAGUUCCCCCGCACCUCAAGUGUGCCUUCGUCCACGGGGCCAUCAUCUGAAAACUCGGAGGUAGGAUCUGGAACAGCAAGCACACAAACCUAGGUCAGGAACCCGCCCCGUUCCAUCACAAAGGGGCAUCCAAAAUAGAUAAGAUACAAAUCGGGAUUGGAGAUUCAAGCAAAACACAAGAAAACAAAGAAAGGGUCGGGUAAUCCGUAAGCAACAUUGGAGCACUGUGACUUGGUUGUUGUUGACAUUUUUUGUAAGGUAGAUGUUCUAAAUUUUUAAAAAUGGGAGAAUGACUCUGGAGGGGUAUCAUAAUUUGAAGGAAAAUGCCAUGAAUGAAUAACUGUAGUUGCCCCGUGUGUGGUACUGAAUUUGCCAUGCCUUUUCUACUAAAUCUGCCAUGCCUUUUUUAUUGAAUCUGCCAUGUUAGUUCUAUUGAAUAUGCCACGUUAUUUGUACUGAGUCUGUCAUCGCAUAGAUUUCCAUGUUCAAUCAAUGCAUUUUAGUCCACACAUGUUGUAUUGUGUGCCAACUAUGAAAAACAAGUUGAAACAAUCACGUGCAAAAACCACACGGUUACGGCUGCGUACGAACUACCAUGCUAAUUGAUAUAGUUAGAAAUGUAAAAACCGCAAAAAGCCAAAUGAAAAAAUGAUAACUUUCACUAACCGUGUCUGAUCAACUACAUUUGCCAUGUUUUCAGACAUCAUAGACGUAUUCAAGACACCAAACUGGCACUACCAACCACGAACGCAUAAUAGUACUGAAAAAACAUAAAUACAGCUGCUGUCACACCUAAGUAGGUUCACAUCCAGACAUAUAUUACAAAAAUAUUCAAAUGUCGCUCACACACCACCACUAUAUACUAGGCUAUGGGGAGAUGCAGUCAUAACUUAGUACACAGACAUAGUUUUGAAAGAACAAGGUAAUACCUUACAUUCCUCGAC
rnacentral:lncRNA from 1 species